rnacentral:lncRNA from 1 species
AAGGAUUACCCUGAAAGCCAGCAUUACACUUGCACAAAUAUCCAGGACCAUUUUCUGGAACUGUACAAUCACUAUUUUCCUUGCAAGCAUAAUUUUUUGGAUCCAUUUUAGCUUGUUCACAGGUUUGAUUCCCGAUUGUCCAAUCAAGAAUAACCGGGUAAUUAUUUUUGCCGAAAUUUGUGUCCCAAAGAUCUGAUGCGUGGAAGUUAUAGGCUCCAUCUUCAACAAGAAACCCAUAGCUGCAAGGAUUGAAGUUCAACACAUCGGAGUGAUUCCGACGGCUACCAAAAACGAAUAACAACCCUUUCAAUCCUUUAGGGAUAGCCGUCUGGCAGCAGCCAAUACCGGAGCAAGACCCUUUUAUCACAUCGCCCACGUCGCCACAAAAUGUUAAACAUCCGGUUGAAAAGUUUUUUCUUGAAAUUCCGUGUGAAGAGUCAGGUUCGAAGAAACCCUCGAUGUAGGCGAUAGUGUCACAACCGAUGGCCGUGAACUUGUUUCUGGUAUGAGAUAUGGUAAAUUUCAAAAGCUGGAACCAGGAAUCGGUAUAUAGACUACGCCCUGAUGAAUUAUAACAGUCAUGACCCAUUAAGUAAUUAUAACUAAAGCGCAAAGAGCCAUCCAGAGAGAUGUCGAGAACUUCUAUAUCACUGACGCGUAAGAAUGCUUUUGGGGGGUUAAAAGAGGUGCUACAAUUAAUGAAGAAGUCGCUGCUGAUGUUGCAAUCAUUGCCUGUACCGAAAGGGUAUGGGAUGCUUAUCUUUCCGCAGUGGCUUUGACAUCCUGGUUUUGCUUGGGCUGCUACUGAAGUUGUUAUAAGUGUUACCACAACUGCAAACACAGAAAGCUCCUUAAACAUACAAACAAACCCCAUCACCCCUCUUGUUUUUUUUUUUUUUUCCCACUCUCUGGGCUAUGUAAAUAUAGAAUAUCUUAUGGGUAGGAAUAGCAUGAAUGUUUGGAGAUUUAGCGCCAUUUUAAUAGACAAGUUGUAGCGGACACGUGAUUCAUUAUUACUCCUCCAUUGCCUUUAAAAACUUUCCACUUUCUUUUUCGAUUUAGAAAGUUUUCUUCAUUUUCAUAAAAGAAAAAAAAAAAAAAGGCUAAAAUGAACCUUCCCGCAAAUUUAACCGUGUUUAUGGGUAAAUAAUUUCUUUCAGUAAACUAUUCUAUUAAUAUUCAUCUAAUUAUGAAAAAUUAUAAAAUAAUCAUUUAACUAUUCAAUUUUAUCUUUUUUAGUCACCAGUUAGAUAAUAUUUAUACGUUGUGUUAAUUUAAUUUUGAUUCUAAAAAAUUAAACUCUCAAUAUUUACUUUUCUUUAUGACCAUUUCGUCUAAAAGAUAAAAAAACAAAUUAACUAAAUUUAAUCUCAAUCUCAAAAUCUUUCAAGCACAUAUAGAAAUCACAUACAUUGAGAGUAUUGCUUCAACAAGAAUGUCGUAUGUCUAGCUUACUUAUUCUCUAAUGGCAAGCUCGUGCUGAUUACAUGUUAUAAAAUAAUAAUACAAAGAACGUACAAGAAUUAUAGAUAAGAAUAAAGAGCGAUUUCUAUUGUCAUUUUAUUCUUUUUCUUCUUUAUUACAAGUAGUAUAUUCCUAUAUAAAGAGAGAUUAAACUCAUUAUUUUUUAAUACAUAAAAAAAUUAAAAGAUGAUAAAAACUGAAGAGUUAAGGAAGAUGAAAGGUGAAUAAUUAAUUAUAAUAAACUUUCACUUAAUAGUAUUUAUAACAUAAUAUUUUAUAUUUUUUAAUAAUUAAAUAACAAAGUAAACUUAAUAAUAGUUAAAUAAUUAGUAUUUUUCAUAAACAUUCCCUUUUAAAAAGCUACAAUUCACCCCGAGAACACAACAAAUUUAAGUGGUGUACUUAAAUCUGACAAGUCUUCUUCGUUAGUGUAUUUCUUUUUCUUUUUCUUUUUCCCUUUUUCUUUUGCUUUUUUGCUUUAUUAUCUCGGAAUAAGUAUAAUCAUCAUUUUGUACCCCAAUAAUUUGGACCAUUUUACUAAUAAAAACCUAUUUCCAACUUUAUUUACGGAAAUGAGCCACUUUUUUUAUUAUUUAUCGGAAUGGGCCGAAAACACCAAAACGCGUCCAUGUAGGAGCAUUUUCUGAGCAAAACGCGUCCCUGAGGGAGCGAUUUUGCCAUGUCAGCACAAAACACGCUUACAUGGACACGCUUUGCUGAUGUGGCAAAAUUGCUCCCUCAGGGACACGUUUUAGCCUGUGUUUUUGACCCCCAACGAUCACCUCAACAGUCAUUUAAAAUUUUGACUGUUGGGGGAACCAAUGGUCAAACAAAAAAAAAAACUAUAAAAACCCCUCCUAUUUUUUUCACCCAAACAUUUCUUUCAAAAUUCUCAAAAAAGCUUUCAAAUUUCUCCCUAAAUUUCUCAAAGCUCUCUUUAAUUAAUUAUUUUCUUUAAUUUUUUUCUAAAUUGUUUUUUUUAAUUUCAAAAAUAUUUGAUUGUGUUAGCAAUAGUCGUGGAAUUAAUUCAUCUUGAUCAUAAACAUUUCUCCAACGAACAAAUGAAAAUAGUAAGGGUUAAUUUUAAUUUUUGAAUAUUAUUUAAUAUUUUUUAUUUAUGUAAUUUUAAUUAAUUUUUAUUUUAUAAUUUUUUAUAACAGCCUAUAGAUUGGGUGUUACAAUGUUAUAUUCGAAAUAUGUCUGGUCCUCCAUCACCAUUGAUAGAAAAUUACUUGAGGGAAACGGGUUUUUGGCACGUGGCCAAUAUAGGCCGGGGGUGCAAGUUGGACCCGAAACUCAUCAGCGCAUUCAUAGAGAGGUAGAGACCCGAGACGUACACAUCCCAUCUUCCAUGCGGAGAGUGUACCAUCACUUUGGAGGACAUGCAGUUACAAUUGGAUUGUCAGUGGAUGGGUCCGUACUCACCGGGUCCGUUUAAUUUAUUGAUUGGGGAGCCAUAUGCUACGAUCUUUAGGGUGCGAUUUCGGAUAAUAUUUACGAAGGUCUGAUCGGGAUGGGCUGGUUACGAGACACAUUCCAAGAGCCGGGGAAUGAUUCAACUGAAGUAAAAAGAAUACGAUAUGUUCGGGCAUACAUCCUUGAGAUCAUUGAAGGUUAUCUGAUGCCGUGUUGGCAACAUUGUACUGGGAGAUGCGUGUGGAGACGAAACCAAAUAAAGCCAAAAUUGGAGGUUGCCUAUACUAUUAUAAUCAUGGGCUCAAUUUCGCUUUCCAUUUUUAUGUUCUCGAGUGAACCACUCAUAUACAUUCCCACUCAUAACGAGGUAAAAUUUAUAUUAGAUUUUACAAUUAUUAUGUAGAUUUAAAAUAUAAAUUUAUGUUAAAAUUUUAUUUAAUUAGGUGGAACCAUUCGGCGAGUUAUGUUGGAAUACCUAUCGCUCUUGAAGGUAUACAACUUCUAUUAGACCAACAGUUGGAAGCGCAUGUAAGUAUUAAAUAAAAUAUAUAUACAUAACAUAGUAGUUUCAUAUUUAGUAUUUAGUAUUAUGUAUAUAACUAAUAAUUUUAUCACGUUCAUAUAGUUUCAAUGGACACCAUACGAGGAUCUGAUAAUUCGGGCAGUAAUUCCGGAUGAAUUCUUUUAAAAUCUGAACAUUUAGCAUGUUAAGGUCUCAUUGGUCAACUAUGCUACUGUCGACAUGCAGCAAACGGAUAGAGUGUUGCUGUAAUUUAGAUUUCAACAACCGAUUCCCGUGACACCUGAGGUGCUCGAUGAUAAGUACAAAAUUGACUUACGCAAUCGAAUACGCAUUAGCAGGUAUUCUUCUCAGAAUUUAUCAAAAUUUGGAAAAAUCGGUAUGAUCAUAUACCUACUCGCAAAUCGAUCAUCGGAACAUACAUUGAUUUUUUAAAUAUAUUUGUACAAACUAUUUUUAUAUUGUUUCAUUUAAUAAAAUAAAAGUUGUUUUGAAUAUUUUAAUAGUAAAUUAUUUUUAUAUUUUGUCCUAUUUAAUAAAAAUAGAAGUUCUUUUGAAUAAGGUAAUAGAAAUAAUGCAACAUAGUUUCAUUUAAGCAAUUAUCAACUAUUUCAAUUUGGACAUGUUCGAAUUGUAUGACCUGGGUUCAUACACUAUCCGCACAACUUCUAUUGGUUUUUUCUUUCCCGGAUAUUCAUAUUAUCACGUAUUCUACUCAAGCAAGGUCGAUCUUUUGGUUUGCGAUACAAUUCUUUAUUCGGUAACAACUUAAAUGGAGCAAGAUAUACAAACAACCACUUACGUUCAUCUGGGAUCGGUGGGAAUAAGUGCCUCCACACAUUGUACAUGAAUUCUAUUUUGUACACUUUGUCAACAUAGCUCAUGGGAUUCAAACAAUGAUUCUGACAAGCUGUAAUUGCAUGAGCGCAUGGAUUACGAAGUGCGUCAAAUGUCCCACAGUUGCAAGUCCUAUUUCUCAAGUGUUCAUAAUAUUGCCCGUCGAUAAUACCUUGGUUCGGUCUGUCGAACUCCAUCACAUGAAACCAUAGGUUGUUCAGAUCGUGACACAAUGUGUGCAUGGUGUUGGCCCGUACCUUUGCCUUGUUAAUUUCUUGCAAUACCUUCUGGCACCAAACAUGACCUCCCUACAUUUGGCCUUCAUAACUUGCUGCUCGUUUUGGAAAUAGUGCCGCCAAACUAAAAUAUGUCUCUCACACAAUCGAGGUUAUCAGCAAAUGGCGCGUUCCUUUUAGAACAGGAUUUAUCCAUUCAGCUAGGUUUGAGGUCUUAUGACCAUAUCGUAGGCCGUCGUCGUAUGCUUGUGUCCACUGAUAGAAAGGUAUGUUACAGAGGUAGUUUGUGCCUUGAUUAUUACCUGACCGUAAAAUCACCAACAUCUCAUUAAAUUGGUCCUUAUUGAUCUCGUAUGUUGUCAAUAUAAGUUUAUAGUGAAAAUUACAUACCACUCUUCCAUUCAAAAUAAAUUGAAUAUUACAAACAAAAUUAUAUUAAUAGAGAUUAAAUACCCAUGUUGGUCACUUACCAUCAUUCAAUGGUAAUAUUGCUUGUAGUAGUUGGGCGUAACGUGCCUUAGACAAUACUGAUGGUGUAUGCGAUCCCAUAGGUUUCCAUGUCGCUCAAUUACGGCUAGUAUUCUAGUGCCCCGAUCGAUAUAAUGCAGAUAUCAGGCUACGGGCAAACAUGCCUUCUUAACCGAGAAAGAAAGAAAUUCCAAUCAUCACCUAGCUCCCCCGAUGUUAUUGCAAACGCAAUUGGAAGGAUUCUCUCACCACCAUCCUAUGCCACAGCUAGCAAUGGCCGAUGGGUAUAUCUACCAUACAUAAAGGUACCGUUAAUUUGUACCAAAUGUUUGCAGUACACAAAUGUGUCCCAACAUUGCUUAAAGCUCCAGAACAGAUGCGUGAACACUUGGCAUCCACGAAACAAGUUGUCGUUGUAAUACGCAGGGCCCGUUUCAAGGUCUGUUAUGCAACCUAGGACGUACCUCUCUGGGGCCUAACACUGCUGUCACACCUCAUUAUAUGAAGCGUCCCACCCACUAUGCAUAUUUUCCAAUACCUUCUACUUAGCUAUCCAAGCCUUACGGUAAGAGGGUGUGUACCUCAAUUGGCUAGAAUAUUGGCAAUUAAGACCAACACAGAAGUUCUGAAAUUUGCCUUCACCAUCAGUAAUAUUAACCUAGCUAUCAUAUCUGAAUCCAUCUUAGGAUGACCUUGUGAAACACCUGUCAAUGAAGUACGUUAAAUAAUGCAACAUUAAGUAAUAACAUUAUUAUUCAAAAAUCCUAAACACCCAGUGAUACUAUACCAACAACACAGGCAUGUAGACCUUUGUACUUUUUUUAUCUCCUACAAGCCUAUCUUUUUCUUAACUGAAGCCAUGAUUUUCCAUGAACAUGUACCGUCUUGCACUGCACACUUGGCCUCAAACUUCUCGGAUUUGAAUUUAACCACGUGCUAGUUAGCCCCGUUUAUGAUGCUAUGUUGUUUUAAUACACCAAUAAAACUAUCCUUACUGGAAAACUCAUUACCAACUUCCAAUUCACCCGAACCUAAUGACGAACUUGUAUGGUCAUGCCUUCUGUGAGGUAGAUCUAGAAACUCCAACGCAUCAUUUAUCGAUAGAUCGACAUUAUGUGUAACAGCCUGAUUUAGACCCUAAUCGAAAUGGUGGUUUUGGGACCAUGAAUCCGAGUCAGAAAAAUAUUUUUAAAUUAUUUUCCAUGUUUAUUUUGUGUGAAUUUACAUCUGUGAAAUUUUCGUGAUUUAAUUUUAUCGUUUGGUUAUCUGAUUAAAUGAAAGGACCUAAUCACAUAAAUUGAAAAUUAGCUAGUUUUAAUUGUAAGGACUGUUUUGGUAAUGGAUUCUUAAAUGGAAGCACUCAUGAUGCAAAAAGUCUAUUUUUUUAUAUAUAUGUUAGUGGAUGACAUUAGUUAAGUUGAAUGUAUAUUUUUAUUUAAUAUGUAUAAUAUAUAUAUGAUAUAAUAAUAUGUAUAUAAUUAUAUGUAUAUAAUAUAAGUUAUGAGUUAGAAACCAUGUGCAUGUGACAUGGACGAAUAUUUCCUUGGCUUAUAAGCUUUAGUUGUUAAUUUAAAAAAAAAAGUUAAUUUAGGAAGCCAACCUUUAAUUUGUAUAAUAUAUGUUAUAAAAUAAAAUAAGUCUAAGUGCUCUUAUAACAUCACCAUAGCCGAAUAUAAACAAAAGAAGAAACCGAAUAUAAACAAAAGAAGGAAAAAAAGAGAGAAGAAACUAGGUUUGGCCAUCUCCCAAGUUCAAAUUCAAGGUUCGUUUUUAGUCGGUUUUUGAUAAUUUUUACGUUUUUGAGAUCGUUGCUUCGAGCACUACAAAACUCAUGUUUAAAUUUUUAAUUUUGAUGAAUAUUUUGAGUUAUGCCAUUGAUGAGAGCUUGUGAUUUUUAUUGUUUGAUGGUGAAAUAUGAAAGAUAGGUGAUGGGUUAAUAUAUUUUAUAUUAGAAUUUUUGAUGAUUUUGAGUAAUUAGGACUUAAUUGCAAAAAUAAAAAGUUGAGGGACUAAAUUAUGAAAUUGAUGGAAAAUAUGGACUUGUAUGUAUAUAGGGAGCAUUCGGCCUAAUUAGAAUGUAGCCAAAUUUUGUGUAUUUUGUGUUUUGUGCAAUAGGGACUAAAUUGUAAAAAAUUAUAAAUGUUAGGGGUAAAAUAUUAAUUUACCUAUUUAUGUGUUUUUAGACUAAAUUGAAUGAAAAUAUGUUCGAAUGAGCUUAAUUUGAAUAUUUUUAGAUCAAGAACUAAAGAAAUCGAAUUUGGAUCGAGGAAAAAUGAAAGUUAUCGACUAGCUGCCCGAUUUCAUUUUGUACCGUCCGAGGUAAGCUUAUAAGCAAAUAGACAUGUUUAUUUGGUAAUUAAAUGUUAUAUUUAUAUGCUGUUAUGAAAUGUGGAAUUUUAAUAUGCUAUGGCCGAAAAUGCUUAAAUUUAACUACUACACUUCCGAGUUCAAUUCGACCGAGUUACGACGUCCGGAAGCCCUGUAUGAACCUUAGGAAUAGCUAGGAUACAUAUGUCAUGACAUAGGAUUCCGGUAUAUGUGUACGAGUAAGACCAUGGCAUCGAUAUGUGAUUCCGAUAUGUGUUUACGAGUAAGACCCUAUCUGGGACAGUAGCAUCGAUAUGUGGUUACAUGUAAGACCAUGUCUGAGACGUUGGCAUUAUACGAUUUAUGUUAUUAUCCGAGUGUCCUAUACAAUUCUAGAUGGUUCAUCGGGCAGUGAUAAGCUAUAUUUGAAUAUGUAAAACGAGCCAUGUGACAGGUAUAAAUUAAAUUGUUACCAAGUCAAGGUACUGAUAGUAAGUAAUUAAUAUUCGAUAUAAUGACUUAAUGAAUGAGUAUGGAUGGUGAAAUUAUAUUAUAGUGAUCAAAAUUGGUAAGGAUAUACAUAAAUGAACUGUAAUUGUCUUCGAAUGAUAUGUGUGGUGGUUAUUAAUGGUACCAAGUACAUUAGUCAUUUGUUUAAUGUAUAUAUAAUGAUAUAUAUUAUUAUACUUGAGUAGAAGUUAUGAAUAUAAGUGAAAUUGAUUGCUUAAUGAUAUUUUGGCUUUGUAAAUGAAGUAUUUAUUACUUGGGUUGAUUUCAUAAGCAUUCGGUCAAGUUGUGGAUUUUGUAUAAGAAUGAAAUAUUAUGAAUGAAUAUGGUAGGUUAAGAAUAAAUAUAUUCAUAUCAGAAUGGUUCAGUUAAAUUUAUUAUUGAGAUAGUUAUAUUAUUAGUUUGUUUAUUUACUUAUAGCUUCCUAAACUAUAAUAGCUUAUCGUGUGAAUGUUUAUUUCUAUUUUAUAGAUUCUUUUUGGAAAGUCAAGUUACAAGCUCGGGGAUCGUUUGCGAAGUUCAUCACACUAUCUACUAUUUUGGGUACCUUUAUAAGUUAAAUUUGAAUUAUGGCAUGUAUAAGCUAAUGUGUGUUUUUGGAUGGUAAAUUUUGGUUGUGUAUAAAGCCAUGCGAAAUUGGCUAAUUAAUAUGUUUGAAUUUAAAUAUGCUGGACAUGGUCUAUGUUAAUUAUGGUUAUAAGUUGCAUGCUGUGUAUGCUCAUUAUAUAAGGUAAAUGUUGGAUGUUUGGACAAGGAGCAGUGGUUUUAAAAGGUUUGUGAUUGUUUUGACUAUGAUAAUUCAUAGCUGAAACAUGCUCAUGAACUUAGUAAAUAAAAAAGUUUUUUUUUUAUUUAAUAAGGUAAUACUUAUGGCUUGAUACUUUUAUUUUUGAUUUUGAAAAGGGUUAAAACUCAUAAUGAUAUAUUAUUUAUUUCGUAAAAUGUAAAUGUACGAAUGGUGUGUGGAUAAUUGUUUUCAUGAUUGGAUAGUUGAUCAAAUAGAAUGAGGUAUUUUAUACAAUUGUAUUUCGGCAUGUAUGUUCAUGAAAAAUUUAGAAAUAGACAAUAUAUAUGAUUUAUUUAGUAGGAAUUCUAAUAUAUGAGAUGGGCAUAUAAUAUGUUGGAUUUAAUUAAAGUCAUGCAUGUGUACUUGCGUUUAAAUAAUAUUGCAGUAAUGAUGAUGUGAUACGCAUGAAUUUAGUAAUGCAUAUUACCAUAUCAAUCAAAUAGAAAUAUGUACGUUUAAAUUUUCAUGAUUGUGAUUACUUAUGUAAAUUUACUGGUCAUAUAUAUAUAAGUUCGCAAAUUUGUAUAAAUCAUUUAUAUUAGUCGAAUGGACUAGAAAAUGAAAUGAGUUUAUUUAUAACCGAAAGUUAAUAUUAUUUGGUAAUGAUGUGUGAUAUAUAUAUAUUAGAGAUUCGUAUAAAUUGUUUUUUUACUAGUGUCGCAUAUAUGAAAUUGUUCUUGUGAUAUGUAUGUUAUUAAUACAUGUGAACGAUAUACCCAAAUAUAUCGAUGAUAUGAAAUGCUCAAACUAAGAGUUGUAAUAGCUUUUGAUUUAAAUCUUAGUCAAUUUUCGAGAAAUAUUCAUGCGAUUAUAUAAAAUGUUUUAUUUAAUUGUUCGGAAUUGUGUUUUAUUCUGUAACGCCUUAUGAUCCUAUUCCGGCGACGGAUACAGAUUAAAGGUGUUACAUUAUGCAUGUGGGCUGGAGGCAAGUACACCUUGAAUCGCAGAUCAUCUUCUUCUUCUUCAUCUAAACCCCCUUCACCAUCUUCAGGUUCGAUUCUGCUAAUCUAUCAAGUGAAUAAUCUAUACGUACCGGUAUGAAAUGAGUAGAUUUCGUUAGUCGAUCAACAACAACCCAGAUAGUAUCUUUCUUUUUCAGAGUUAAAGGCAAUCCUGAUACAAAGUCUAUUGAAAUUCUAUCACAUUUCCACUCGGGAAUCAUUACAGGUUGUAAUAAGCCAGAUGGUAUUUGAUGUUUAGCUUUUACUUACUGACAAAUUAGACAUCUCGACAGAAACUCCGAUAUAUCUUGUUUCAUACCCGACCACCAGUACAACUGUUUCAAAUCAUUAUACAUCUUGGUACUACCUAGAUGAACAGAAAAGUGACUACUAUGUGCUUCAUGCAGAAUUUUCUGAGUAAGUUCUAUAUUUUUCGGUACGCAAAUUCUAUUUUGGAACAUUAAACAGUCAUUAGUUCCAAUAUAAAAUUCUGAAUCAGAAAUAGACUCACAUUGAAUUCGUUUAGCCUUUAAUUCACGAUCUACUUUCUGAGCAUAAAAAAUGUGUAAAAGAAAUAUUGGUUUAGCUCUUAACUCAGCUAAUAUUGAUCCAUCACUACAAAUCAUCAACUGGGUGUUCAUCGCUCGCAAUGCAAACAAAGAUUUUUGGCUUAGGGCAUCAGCAACCACAUUGGCUUUUCCCGGGUGAUAAUCAAUUACAACAUCAUAAUCUUUCAAUAACUCGAGCCAUCUAUGUUGACGCAAAUUCAAAUCCUUCUGCGACAUCAAGUAUUUCAAACUCUUGUGAUCCGUAUAGAUGUGGCAUUUCUCACCGUAUAAAUAUUGUCGGCAAAUUUUUAAUACGAAUACAAUCGCGGCUAACUCUAGAUCAUACGUUGGAUAAUUCUUCUCGUGAGGGUUCAAUUGUCGAGAAGCAUAAGCUAUAACUUUUCCUCUUUGCAUCAGGACACAUCCCAAACUAUUUAAUGACGCGUCAUUAUAAAUCACGAAUUCUUUUCUCGAUUCCGAUUGAACCAAUAGUGGUGCUUCAGUUAACAGUGCUUUCAACUAUUCAAAACUCUGUUGACAUUUUUCUGACCAUUCAAAUUUCACAUCUUUUUGAAACAGUCGCGUCAUCGGUGUCGCAAUCAUUGAGAACCAUUUCAUAAAUCUUCGAUAAUAACCCGCUAAGCCUAGGAAACUAGGAACUUCAGACACAUUUCUUGGAGGUUUCCAAUCAAAAAUAGCAGAAAUUUUCCUUGGGUCAACCCUAAUACUGUCAGCUGAAACAAUAUGCCCUAAAAAUCCAACCUCUUUGAGCCAAAACUCACAUUUACUGGACUUUGCAACUAACUACUUAUCACGUAGAGUUUGUAACACAAUUCUCAAAUGCUCGGUAUGCUCAGAUUCAUUACGUGAAUUGAUCAGAAUAUCGUCAAUGAAUACAACCAUAAAUCUAUCUAAAUACGACCAGAAUAUUCUAUUCAUUAAAUCCAUAAAAAUGGUAGGAGCAUUAGUUAAACCAAAAGGCAUAACGAGAAAUUCCUAAUGUCUAUACCUUAUUCUGAAAGCAAUUUUCGGCACAUCCGCCUCUUUGACUCGCAACUAAUAAUAACCUGAUCUUAAAUCAAUCUUUGAAAAUAUUGUAGCCCCUUUCAACUGGUCGAACAAAUCAUCAAUCCGUUGUAGAGGAUAUUUGUUCUUUGUAGUCACUCUGUUCAGCUGUCUGUAGUUGAUACACAUUCUUAUCGUGCAAUCUUUCUUCUUUACAAACAAUAUCGGUGCACCCCAGGGUGAAUAACUCGGUUGUCCAAAACCUCUGUAUGUGAAUUCUUGCAAUUGAGCUUUCAAUUCUUUUAAUUUUGUUGGAGCCAUUCUGUACGGAGAUAUCGAUAUUGGUGUUUUUCACGGUGCCAAUUCAAUACCAAAUUCAACUUCUCUGAUCAGAGGCAAACCCGGUGAUUCCUCUGGAAAUACAUCUAAAAACUCGCAAACAACAGGUACAAAUUCAAUCUUUGAUUCAGACACCUUUGUAUCCAGUACGUAGGCAAGAUAUACAUCAUAACCCUUUUUCAAAUACUUUUGAGCUAACACAAAUGAUAUCACAAUAGGUAAUUCAUUCGAAUCAUUAGACUUAACCGAAGAAUAUCACCAUUUUGACAUUUCAAUUCAAUAGUCUUCUGUCUGCAGUUCACAAUCGCAUCGUGCAUAGUCAACCAGUCCAUUCCCAAAAUAACAUCAAACUCAUUGAAUGGUAGAAGCAUCAAAUUAGCCCGAAAACAGUAACCCCGAAUUAUCAAAGGACAAUUCCUACAAAAUUUAUCAACUAAGACAAACUUGCCUAGGGGGUUCGAUACCUUAAUUACAAACUCUGCAGACUCGACAUCUAAAGUUUUUUAAUUACUAAAUUCAUACAAACAAAUGAAUGGGUUGAUCCCGAAUCUAUUAAUGUAACUAUAUCAGUAUCAGAAAGAGAAAAGUACCGGUAAUAACAUCUGGAGAUGAUGCUUCUUCUCGUGCACAUAUAGCAUAAGCUCGAGUAGGUGCUCAUGCCUCAGAUCUAACCAUAGAAUCUCUCAGAGCACCUCGGUUACCAGUCGUAUUUUCAGUGUUUCGGGGUGGUCUCCCUUUAGUAGCAGUAUUACUUACUUUCGUCGGUUGAUCCUUUUCAACUGUGAACUUCUCAGGACAGUCCCGGAGAUAAUGAUCAAGAGAUCCACAUUUAAAGCAAGCUCCGCUCACCAAUCUACAUUCACCGUAAUGUCUCCUAUUACAGUAUUUACACUCGGGUCCAGCAUUUCUAACACUUCCCACACUAGCAACGGAUGUCGCUUGAGGUUUAGAACUGUAGCGUCUCGCAUCUCUUUCUCUAAUCGAGAUUCCUGCAGAAGCUAUAGAGCGAGGAUGAAAAUCUCUAGAUUUCUUUGAUGUUAACUGAUGUGAUUUGCCCGCAAAUCUUUUUGUAACAUCUCUAGCCUCCGUGUCAUCUUUUCUUUUCUCUUUGCAAAGCUCCUCGGCUUUACAGGCUCUAUUAAACAAGACAACAAACUCUUUCAACUCAAGAAUUCCAACUAACACUCUGAUCUCUUCAUUUAACCCAUCCUCGAACCUUUUACAUAUUAUAGCUUUAGAAGAAACAUAUUCACGAGCAUACUUACUGAGUCAUACAAACUCUCUCUCAUAGUCUGUUACUGACAUAUGACCCUGUUUCAAUUCAAGAAAUUCUUUUCUUUUCUGGUCAAUGAACCUUUGGCUGAUGUAUUUCUUUCUAAAUUCAACUUGAAAGAAAUCCCAAGUAAAGCUCUCUCGUGGAACUACAGAUAUCAAGGUAUUCCACCACUGAUACGUGACGUCUCUCAACAACGAUACAACACAUUUUAAGCAUACUUCGGGUGUGUAAGAUAAUUCAACGAAUACCCGAAUCGUGUUCUCAAGCGAAAACUUGGCUCUCUCAGGGUCAUCAUUAGCAAUAGCUAUAAAAUCUUCAGCCCCGUGUCUUCGUAUCCUGUCAACUGGUGGUUUAUUCAAUCACAGAGGAUCGAUACCUUGAGGAGUUAUAGGGAUCGGUUGAGGAACAGGUGGGGUUAGAGGUUGUUGAACAGCAGGUUCGAACGAAUAUACUGAGUGAAUCACUCAUUCAUUACUUGAAAGAAGGAGUCUUUUGCCUCAACUCCGUAACUACUCGUCACGGGUCUAGUUUCAGAUGAUGUUGUCCCAUGAGCGAAAGCUGGCGCAAUACUUUCUACGUUGUCUGCUACUACUCGUUCGGGAUCUAUUGCUAUAUAAAAAUACAUUUAUAAAUGUCAGGAGUCAUCACACUAUCACAAUUUUAAUAUAUGACAUGUAUAGCUAGACUCAUAUACGCUACGUUAGUCCUAGAAUCGAGUAAAUCGUAGCUCUAAUACCACUAAAUGUAACACCCCUUUGCCCAUAUUCAACGCCGGAACAGGGUUCGAGGCAUUACCAGACUUAUAUCAUAAUAUUUAAGCACAUUCGAAUCAUAAUUUUUGCAUACAAUUUAAAACUUUUAAACAUUCAUUCAUAUUAUCCCUUAUAAGGCCCCACAAGACCUUAAAGCAUGCUUAGAAGAGGUUCGGGACUAAACUGAUAACUUAGGAGACAUCUCGAAAACUUAGGAAAUUUUCCUCACUACAAGGGUCACAUGUCCGUGUGCCCUGGCCGUGUCCCUCACACGGCCAAGAGUCAUGCUCGUGUCUCAGACCAUGUGGAAUUCGAAUUAAACUCACAUGGCCGUGUCCCAGCCCGUGCUCAACCCCAUGGAGCUCACUGACUUACCUCACACGGCCAGACCACACGCCCGUGUGGCUCGCACGAACAUCAGACACGCUCAUGUCCAGGCCGUGCGGAAAUAAGGCAUACAUACUGACUUGCAUCAUAGGGCCGGAGACACGCCCGUUUACCUUGGCCGUGGUCGAAUCUGACUUAGGUCACACGGCCGCCCACACGCCCAUGUGCCAUCCCGUGUGCCACACAUGGCCAAUAGACACGCCUAUGUGUCUAGGUCAUGCUAAGUCUAAAGGGUAUACUGACUUUAAUUUUAAAGGCUACCCCAGGGACACACGGUCAUGUGCCAGGGCCAUGUGUCACACACGGUCUAGUCACAUGCCCAUGUGCUCGGCCGUGUGGAGUGAUAAUAGGCUUGGUUUAAGCCAUAUUCCUCACCCAACACAAGCAUACCCAAACCAUCUCAAUUAAUACCAUUUCCAUGCAUUUAUAAGAAACCAAAACAUGCAAAUGCCACUACAAUUUAUACCAAAUCAACUUGGUACUAAAAUACCAAACUAUAACCAAGUAUCAUUCAUUCAUGACAAUCACAUAACAAGGCAUCAUUUGAACUACCACAUUUCUCUUUUUCACAAUUAAAUCCCUAAUUGACAUUUUUGUCAAAAAUCACAUAACAAAACUUACUUAACUAUCAUCAAGCUUCCAUAAUCUAUCAUUAAACAUCAAAGAAUUCAAGUAUUCAACAAUGGUACCUUUCAAAAUCAUAAGCAAAAUAAAAAUCAAGGUACGGGCUAGCUAGAUUACAAAGCAAUGAUAUAAAAAAACGUAGAAAUUAUUUAAAAUCGAGCCAAAACCGUACCUUAAUUGACAAUUGAAGAUUGGCCGAAUGAAGACCUAAGUUUUGCUAUUCUUUCUUCUCAAUUUUCAGAAAAAAUGAAGAAUGAAUGCAUGGAAAUAUUUAUUUGUUUUGUUAAUAUAAACUUAAUAGCUAAUUUACCUAUUUACCUUUUAAAACAUUUGAUAAUUUCAAAAUUACCAAGCCAACAACUUCCACUAUAUCAUUAAAGGUCUAAUUGACAUGCAAGGACUCCCAUAUUUCAAAUAAUAACCAUAUAAUGCCUUUAAACAAUAGAAUUAUACUUUUACUCGUUUUGCGAUUUAGUCCUUUUAACCGAAUUAAGCAUUUAAAUGGUAAAAUUUCUUUACGAAACUUUCACAUAAUAAAUAUAUUCUGCUAUUAACCUUAUUAAAAUAAUAAAAUAAAUAUUUUGACAUCGAAUUUAUGGUUCUAAAAUCACUGUUUCAAUUUGGGUCAAAAACGGACUGUUACAGGAUGGGUUAUGGGAUGUUGGUUCGUGAUUUAGACGGAUUUGUUCUAGGUGGAAGCGUUGGCAUCAUUAAGACAGACAUGCAAGUUGAAUGGGUGGAGUGAGAGCGUUUACAGAGAGCCUUAAUUUUGCUAGAUCCUUUAACAUUUUCUAAGUGGUGUUUGAAACUGAUUGUGUCAGUUUGGUCAACAGAAUUAACAAAUGAGGUCAAGAUAUUACCUUGCUAGGCCACCGCAUAAAUGAUGUUUGUAAGAUGCUAGAGUACUUUAAUUCGCCUAAAAUAAUAUAGGCCAAUAAAAGUUGUAAUAGGAUUGUGGAUUAUCUUUGUAAAAUGGCAAUGGAUAAGAAUUGUAAUUUGAUUUUUAAUUUGGAUUAUCCUAUGGAUAUCCAUGAAAUAGUCAUGAAUGAUUUAAUAAAUUGAGGUUUGACCCUUUGGGUCUUUUCAUAAAAAAAAAGACUAUGGAGCAUGUUGAAUGUGUCAUGUCAGUGAAGGAUAGGGACCUUAACCUAGUGAAGCCUUCUACAGUUAUUUUUAAAGAGAACAAAAAUCCUUCUCCAAAUGAACAUUCACAAGGAACUUUUAAAUUGGGUCCUGAUAGAAUUUUGGCACGAUUCAGUGAACAAAUUCCUGAAGGAAAGAAUGGGGAUGGUCGAAUUGGUAAGAAGCUCAAUAAAAUUAUUCACGAUCGAGGGACCCAUUGUAAAACAUCCGAUAGCUUACAUGUCCCUUUGUGGGAGUCAAUGAACUUCAUGGCUAAUUCGAUAUCUGAUAAAAGCCAAAUUAUACAUAUUUUACCUCAAAUACUUAGCAUAUUUAUGGAUGUUUAUUACUAGAUUUGUGGAUUUUGGUGCUCUUAAUCCGGUUAUUUCAUGUUUUGUACUCAGGAGAGCACCAAGAGUCAAAAGGAGCCGAAAACGAGCCAAAAAGGACAAAAUAGACCAAAUUGAGAAGAUGACACGACCUAAGCCUUGCCACACGGGCAGCUCAAACGCUCGUGUCUUUCGAGGGUGUCGACCAAGUCUUUCACUAUUCACACGGCUUGGCCAUUGACCCACACGGCCGUGUGCAAUUUAACGGAUCGAACACGACCUAGCAAUCACGUCACACGGUCGUGGCACACGGGCAUGUCCCUUUUUCAAGAAGUUGUAUUUUACAUGGAAAAGGAUACUUAGGGAGAAAGAAAGCCAGUCCAAAGCCUAUAUAAACACCCUAAGUAUGACUUAGAAAGGGGCCUCCUUUUAGAACUUUUCUGGAGUAUAGAGCCACACGCUUGGAAUUACUUGAAGGAAGCCAGACGAUCCAUCCCAAAAGGCGAAGCUACUCCAAGAGGGAAGAUCUCUCUCAGAAUUCCUUCAGGGGUUUUAGAGUUUUCUUUAUGUCUUGUUAUUUUUAUACUUUUGAGAUGUACUCUUAUUUUAUUAUGAACUAAACCCCUUAGACACCUAAGGGGGAUGAAAUCUAUGAUGGAUCUUGUUAUUAUUAUCUGAACUGUAUGAUAAAUACUUGAUUUGUUCUUAAUUAUGUGUUCUUAAUGCUUGAGUUAAUAUUUCGGGUAUUGAUUCAUGAUUUGAUGUGGUUAUGCAGAGGAGCAAAAGUCUCUGUCUAAGAGUAGAUUUGGUAUAAUUAAGCAGAGUUGAUCGAACGCCUAGAAAUAGGGUUACGAGAUUUUGCCGGAUUAGGGUGAAACCUAAUAUGGGAGUCCAUAGAUCGAUUUACUACUUCCCUAGGGGUUUUAAUUAGAAAGAGAUUUCAAUUAAUUCAACUGAGGGUUAGACGUUAUUAGUCUCGAAAGAGAUAAUAAUAUAGGUUAGGGUGUCUCACGAAUCAAGUCAAGUGAAUAAAUCGUCUGGUUCAGAGUUAGAUAACAAGUGAAAUCUAGGUGGAUUCCUCCUUGGGUGUCGUCUUUAUCAAUUACUUUUCUUCAAGUCUUUUUCCAAAUUUUCUCUUUGCUUUAGUUUAAUUAGUUAAUUAGUUUAGUUGAUUAGUUUAAUAAACAACCCCUCUUUAUUUCUAGGUUAAAUAAUAAAAAGAUAGUUAUUACUAGUACUUUUGGUUCCCUUGGUUACGAUAUCCCGGUCUUACCAUUACUAUACUAUUGUUCGAUAGGUACACUUGCCUACAUUGCGAUAAUAGUUAGUUCAAGAACGAGUAAUUAUAAAUAUUUAAAACCUAUCACGAAACCUCACGAUCAAGUUUUUGGCACCGUUGCCGGGGAACUAAAAUAUUAGGAACGCUCAAAUUUUCUUAUUUUAGCCAUUUAUUUUUCUUGCAAUUUAAUUUAAUUUAAUUAUUAUUAUUAAUAAUUAAUUUACUUUUUCUUUCUCUUGGCAGGUUUUUAUAGUUUAUGACUAGAAGAAACCCAUCAGGACCACUGCAUUUUGAAGAAGAGAUCGAUCGCACAGUUCGUAGAAACCAAAGAGAAAUAAGGCGAAGCUUAAGAUACACGGAGAACAAGCAAGAAGACGAUACUCAACCUCCAACUGAAGAGAUGGCUGAAAACCAAGGCAAUCAGCUGCCUUCUGCAAUUGUAGCUAAUCAAAAUCCUGCUCCACGUACUAUGUAUGACUAUGCUAAACCUUCUUUAACAGGAACUGAGUCAAGUAUAGUUAGACCUGCUAUUGCUGCGAAUAAUUUCAUACUGAAACCUAACACAAUCCAGAUGAUACAACAAUUUUUCAGUUUGAUGGUUUGCAGGAUGAGGAUACCAACACGCACUUAGCGGAUUUUCUAGAAUUUUGUGACACUUUCAAAAUUAAUGGCAUUUCUGAUGAUGCCAUUCGCCUUCGGUUAUUCCCUUUUUCACUGAGAAACAAAGCUAAACAGUGAUUGAACUUGUUACCACGAGGAUCCAUCACUACUUGGGAACAAAUGAUCGAAAAAUUUCUACUAAAAUAUUUUUCGCUGGCUAAAAUGGCUAAGUUUCGUAAUGAUAUCUCUUCUUUUGUGCAGAUGGACUUAGAAACACUUUACGAUGCAUGGGAGAGAUACAAGGAUCUAUUGCGAAGGUGCCCUCACCAUGGGUUACCUCUAUGGCUGCAAGUUCAAACGUUCUACAAUGGUGUGAAUCCCUCGACACGACAAAUGAUUGACGCAGCUGCUGAAGGAACCAUUAAAAACAAAACACCUGAAGAGGCUUAUGAAUUCAUUGAAUAAAUAUCACUGAAUAACUAUCAGUGGCAAGUCGUGAGAACUAAGCCGACAAAAACGGCCGGCGUUUAUAACAUCGACUCAGUCACUAUGCAGUCAAAUUAGGUAGAACUUCUCAAUAAAAAGAUUGAUGGUUUACUUGGUUCUACGUAGGUACAUCCAGUAAGGAGGUGUGACUCAAGUGGAGGAGGAGUGCAUACAGAAUAUCAAUCCUUCAAUCCUACAACUGAAGAGGAACAAGUCAACUAUAUGGGUAACAAUAACUUUAGAUCUCAAAAUAACCCGUACAGUAAUACUUAUAAUCCAGGUUGGAGGAACCACCCAAAUUUCUCUUGGGGUGGUCAAGGAAUCAAAUUCCACAAAAUCCUCAGGGUUUUCAACAGCCACCUUAUCAAUAAGAGAAGAAACUGAACCUUGAAGAGAUGAUCUCUAAAUUCAUCUCGGUAUCAGAAACCCGUUUCCAAAAUACCGAGACAGCACUUAAGAAUUAACAAGCAUCGAUCCAAGGGCUCGAAACUCAGAUAGGCCAGCUAGCCAAACUAAUCUCCGAAUGACCACAAGGUAGCUUACCAAGUAAUACUGAACCUAAUCCAAGGGAACACCUCAACGCAAUUAGUACUCAAGAUAAGGAAAGAGUCAUUAUGCCUGAGCCAGAAUUGAUGCAAGAAACUGUGGUAGGCAAAGGUAAAAGUGAGGUAAGUCAUAACAAAACGGUGAAUAAAGAAUAUAAACCUCGUGUCCCAUACCCUAACGGGACAAGGAAAGACCGCUCAGUCGAACAAUUUGGUAAAUUCCUUAAGCUUUUGAAAAAAUUACAUAUUAACUUAUCGUCUAUUGAAGCUCUGUCGCAGAUGCCGAAUGUAAUGAAAUUUUUAAAAGAGCUGUUAGUAAAUAAGCAGAAGUUGGACGAAGCGUCGCAUGUGGAGCUAAACGCAGUCUACUCAGCGAUUCUACAGAAUAAGCUACCCCACAAAUUGAAAGAUUCAGGGAGUUUUACAAUUCCUUGCUUAAUUGGUAGUUUAGAUAUAAGUCAUGCAUUAGCUGAUUUAGGGGCUAGUAUUAACGUCAUGCCUUACAAAAUGUUUAAGCAACUAGGUCUUGGGAAACCUAAACAAACUAGGAUAAGCAUUCAAUUGGAAGAUAAAACUAUAAGAUUUCCUAGGGGUAUUAUUGAAGAUGUACUAGUGAAAGUAGAUAAGUUUAUAUUUCCCUUUGAUUUCAUUAUUCUAGACAUAGAGGAGGAUAAUAACACCCCUUUGAUUUUAGGGAAGCCCUUUUUAGCAACUACUAAAACAAUUAUUGAUGUUGGCACAGGUGAGCUUACACUUCGUGUGGGAGACGAAGCGAUCACCCUUUAAGCUCGUAAUUCUAGCAUCACAUCAAGCAUUGAAGGUAAUGGUCCACACCAGUUAACUAAAACUGACAAUAUGACACAACCUACUUUGCAGAAAUUGAGUUUCAAAAAAGUUCAUGAGCCAUGUUCCAACAAUGAUAGAGGACACAUUCAUGAAGAACAAAGGCUACGAAUAGAGGAGCUAGACGAAUGGCGAGCACAUAAAUCGAGAACACAAGAUAAAUCGAAACUACGCCAAAAUAAGCCCGAUACUUCUCCAAAUCAACUUAAGGUUGGUGAUAAAGUCUUACUAGAUGCCGUAGAUCCCCACAUUGUCACUACCACACCGAAUGAGGCCCUCUUACGAUACUCAGUAUUUUUCCAUUCGGUACGGUGGAGGUGAGUUAUCCCAAGUUCGGCACUUUUAAGGUAAACAACACCCGAUUAAAACCUUAUUUUGAUGAGAUUGAUAGUAGGAAUGAGGAGUAUAAACUCCUCAAACCACCAUGACCAUUCAUUGAAGAGGUAAGUCGAGCUUAGACUAUAAAUAAGGGGUUCUCGAGAGGCAACCCGAGCAUUAACAUAUUUUGAUUUCUUUAUUUUUAAUUUUUAACACUUUAAAUCACUAACUUUAUCUUUGAAUUGCAAAUUUUUUUAGCACACACGGCCAGGAACACAGGCGUGCCUAAGGCCGUGGCCAAGCAGGGGAAGAGAUACGGUCGUGCUUAAGGCCGUGUGAAAAUAGGGCAAAAAAAAAUUUCCCCAACAAGGGCUACGAUAAAAUGCCACGGCCGUACAAUAUGGCCUUUCAAAACAACACGGGUGUGUCACACGCCCAUGUGGAAGACCUGUGGUUGAAACUGAGAAACUAGCACGGGCAUGCGACACGCCUGUGUCUAACACCCAUGGUCGAACCUGUUAAAUGAACACAAGCGUGGGGCUUGGACACACGGGCGUGUGCCCCACACGCGCAAGACACACAGGUGUGGGAUAGUAGCCGGGCACGACCCAAAUUGCAAAAUUUGAAAAACACGGGCUAACCUUUAGAGUACACGGGCAUGGCCCUAGGCCGUGUGGCCCUUCUCUAUAUAAGCAACCCACUAUUCAUCUUCUUCUCUAUAUAACCUCGUACGGAUUUCGGACGAAAAUGAAUUGAAUAUUCGACUACUUUAGACUUCUCUCGAUCUAAGUCUGAUUUUCUUUGUUCUUGAUCUAAUACAAUACAAUUUCAACCAUUCAAUCAUUCAUUUCAUUCAAUUUAAUCCAUAUACACAUAUUUAGGGCACUUUGCAUUAUAGCCCUUAUAUUUUCACACUUUGACAAUUUAGUCCAUUUUUCACAAAAUCACAAAUAUGCAAAAUUCACCUAGACUAUAGCUUGGCCGAAUAUACAUGGCUUCCAUAUAAGCCCCUACAACAUGCUUAAUUCGUAAUUUAGUCCUUCAAAACCUUAAUUUCAAAAAUUAGCCCAAAUAGCUCUAUUUCAUCAAAAUUCAAAGACAAAGCUUAUAAAUCAUCUACUAAACCUUCAUAAUUCAUCCAAGAACAUUACAAAACUCAUGAUAUCAACAAUGACAUUUCAUGAAAUCUUUAACAGAAAUAGAAAUCCAGACGUCGGCUUUGAAGAACACGAAGCAACGAUCAUAGAAACGUAGAAAUUAUCAAAAACCGAUCAAAAGAACAUACCUAAUUAAUGCUUGUAAGUGCCGAAACCCUUAAGCUCUUUUUCUUUCUAUUUCUUUGUAUUUUCGGCAAUACAUGCAUGAAAAUGGCUUCAUUUUCAUGUUUAUUUUCAUUUAAUAAAUUUAAUAAUCAUUUUCCUAUUUUGCCCUUUAAUGACAUAACAUUAAUUCCUACCAACUCAUGUCCAUAUUUGUCCAUGCAUUAGUACAAUGGUCCAAUUGACAUACAAGGACCUAUAUUUUUAAAAACCAAGCCAAUUAGGUGUUUUAACAUUUAGCACUCAAGUUUUACGCUUUACGCUAUUUGAUCCCUUUUAAUAUUACGUACAGAAACAGACAAAUUUAAUCACAGAAAUUUCAAAGAUGUAAAUUCACAUAUCACAGACAUAGAAAAUAAUAUUAAAAUAUUUUUCAAACUCAGAUUUGUGGUCUCGAAACCACUAUUCUGACUAGGGUCAAAAUCGAACAGUUACAAUUCUCCCCUUUAGGGAUUUUCGUCCCUGAAAAUCUUACCAUUAAACAGAUUCGGAUAUUGUUGUCUCAUUGAAUCUUCAGGCUCCUAUGUAGCCUCUUCUACUCCGUGUUUAUGCCACAUUACUUUGACUAACGGAAUUCUUUUAUUACGUAAUUCCUUAAUCUCACGAGAUAGAAUUCGAAUCGGCUUUUCUUCAUAAGUCAUAUCAGAAUGGAUUUCAAUAUCAGACGGAGAAAUUACAUACGAAGGAUCAGAUCUGUAUCGUCGAAGCAUCGAUAUGUGAAAUACAUUGUGAAUCUUUUCUAACUUAGACGGUAGCCUCAAUCUAUAAGCGACUGGCCCAACUUGCUCGGUGAUUUCAUAUGGUCCAAUGAACCUCAGACUCAACUUGCCCUUUUUACCAAAUCGGAACAGUUUCUUCCACGGAUAUACUUUCAGAAACACUUUAUCACCGACUUUAAAUUCAAUAUCUUUUCUUUUCAAAUCCGCGUAUGAUUUCUGACGAUCAGAGGCAACUUUUAGACUAUCUCGGAUUACUUUUAUUAGAUCAAUACCAUAAAUCUUAUUCUCACUGAGCUCAGACAAGUUAAUAGAGUUCUACAUUUUCUACCGUAUAAAGCUUCAUACGGUGCCAUUUUAAUGCUCAAUUGAAAACUAUUAUUAUAGGCGAAUUCAAUCAAAGGUAGAUACUGUUCCCACAUACCUUCAAACUCAAGACUGCAAUAUCUCAACAUAUCCUUGAGUAUCUGAAUAAUCUGCUCAGAUUGACCAUCUGUUUACGGAUGAAAAGCAAUGCUGAAAUGCAAUUUAGUACCCAGAGCAUCUUGCAAUUUCUUUCAGAAUCGUGAUGUAAAUCUCGGGUCUCUAUCAGAUACUAUUGACAAUGGUACACCAUGCAAUCUCACAAUAUUAGAAAUAUACAACUCUGCUAGCUUAUCAAGCGAAUAAUCAAACCGAAUCGGAAUUAAAUGAGCUGAUUUCGUCAAACAAUCAACUACAACCCAAAUUGCAUCUUUCUUUUUCAGAGACAGAGAAAAAACCGAAACAAAAUCCAUGGUCACUCGAUCCCAUUUCCAUUCCAGAAUCAUAAUCGGUUGCAACAGACCUGAUGACACCUGAUGUUCAGCUUUAACUUGUUGACAGAUCAAACAUAUAGAAACAAAAUCAGAAAUAUCUCUUUUCAUUCCUGGUCACCAGUAUAGUUGUUUCAAGUCGUUAUACAUUUUCGUGCUCCCCGGAUGUACAGAAAAUCUACUACUGUGAGCCUCACUCAAAAUCAUCUGAAUUAACUCUAGAUUUCUCGGAACACAAAGUCUAUUUUUGAAUCUCAAACAAUUAUUAACAUCAACCCGGAAUUCAGAAUCACACAGAGUUCGUUUAACUAUCAAUUCAUUGUCAGAUUUCUGAGCCUCGUGGAUCUGUUGUAUAAACAAAGGUUUUGCUUUCAGUUUGGCAUAAACCAAAGUAUCAUCAGACAGUACUAAAUUAGCGUCCAUAGCACACAAUGCAGACAAUGAUUUCCUACUCAAAGCAUCAGCAACAACAUUAGCUUUUCCCGGAUGAUACUCAAUAACUAGCUCGUAGUCUUUUAACAAUUCCAACCAUCUUCUCUGUCACAGAUUCAAAUAUUUUUGCGUCAUUAAAUACUUCAGACUUUUAUGAUCAGAAAACACGUGACAUUUCUCACCAAACAGACAGUGACGCCAUAUUUUCAAAGCAAAUACAAUGGCAGCUAACUCGAGAUCAUGUGUUGGAUAAUUCUUCUCAUGCCGCUUUAAUUGUCUCGAAGCAUAAAAAACAUCUUUUCCUUUUUGCAUUAAAACACAACUGAGUCCAUUCAAUGAAGCAUCACUGUAAACAACGAAUUCUUUACCUGACUCAGGUUGUACCAAUAUCGGAGCUUCAGUUAACAGAGCUUUUAACCGGUUGAAACUUUUCUGACAUUGUUCAGACCAUUCAAACCUCUCAUCUUUCUGAAGUAAUUUUGUUAACGGAGUUACAAUCAUCGAGAAAUCUUUUACAAAUCAUCUGUAGUAACCGUCAAGUCCCAGAAAACUGCGGACUUCAGAUGUAUUCUUCGGAGGCUUCCAAUCCAGAAUAGCUGAAAUCUUACUCGGAUCAACUCGUAUACCGAAAGCUGAUACAAUAUGACCCAGAAAACCAACUUCUUGCAACCAGAAUUCACAUUUACUGAACUUCGCAUAUAACUGUUUAUCUCGCAAUGUCUGUAGCACUAUACUCAAAUGCUCGGCGUGUUCAGAUUCAUUACUUGAGUAAAUCAAUAUGUCAUCAAUGAAUACUACAACAAAUUGAUCUAAAUAGAGUCUGAAAAUUCUAUUCAUCAAAUCUAUAAAUACAGCAGGUGCAUUCGUUAAACCAAAAGACAUAACUAAAAAUUCAUAAUGGCCGUACCUCGUUUUGAAAGUAGUUUUCGAAAUGUCAGAGUCCUUUACUCGCAACUGAUAAUAACCCGAUCUUAGAUCUAUCUUUGAAAAUACAGUAGCACCUUUCAACUGAUCGAAUAAAUCAUCAAUUCUAGGAAGAGGGUAUUUGUUCUUUGCAGUCACUUUAUUAAGUUGACGGUAAUCAAUACACAUUCUCAUUGUGCCAUCUUUCUUUUUCACAAACAGAACAGGAGCACCCCAAUGUGAGAAACUAGGUCUAGCAAACCCUCGAUCAGUCAAUUAUUGCAACUGAGAUAUUAAUUCAUUUAGUUCAGUCGGAGCCAUUCUGUACGGAGCUAUCGAUAUCGGAGUAGUACCAGGUACCAAUUCAAUACCAGACUCAACUUCUCAAAUUGGAGGCAAACCACGUAACUCUUCAGGAAACACAUCAGAGAAUUCACAAACAACAGACACUAAUUCAACUUUCUUAUCAUUCACUUUUGAGUCUAACACGUGCUUUCAUUGCAGAUAUCGCAGCUGGUAGUCCGUUCAGAUCACUAGACUCAAUUCGAAUUAUCUCAUCAUUCUUACACCUUAAAUCAAUGACUUUUCUUUUACAGUUCACAACAGCAUCGUGCAAUGUUGACCAGUCCAUCCCCAGAAUUAUAUCAAAUUCGUCAAACGUAAAAUCAUCAGAUCAGCAGGAAAAUAGGUAUCUCGAAUCAUUAACGGGUAGUUCUUGCAGACUUUAUCAACCAAGACACUUUUGCCUAAGGGGUUCGAUACUCUAAUUACGAAUUCAGUAGACUCUACAGGCAAAGUCUUACUGUGCACUAAAUUCAUACAAAUAUAAUAAUGCGUUCAUCCAGGGUCUAUCAAUGCAAUCACAGAAGUAUCAUAAAGAGUAAAAGUACCAGUAAUCACGUCUGGAGACGAGGCUUCCUCACGAGCUCGGAUAGCAUAAGCCCUAGCAAGUGUUCUGGCGUCAGAUCUAAUAGCAGUAUCCCUAAUAGCUCUUUGAUCACCACUUGUAUUUCUCGUGUUUCUGGAAGAUCUACCUCUAGCUGAGGUGUUACUCGGUCUAGGAUUCUGCACAUUCUCUUCCUCAACAAAUUCAGAACAAUCUCUUAUAAAAUGAUCUAGGGAUCCACGUCAGAAUCAGGUUUGGUCAUUCAAUCUACAAUUCCUCGGAUUUCUUUUACCACAGUGUUUACACUCAAGUUUCUCAGAUCGGACAUUUCUCACACUUGCAACAAAAGUAACAGGGGCUCUGGUGUUCGAAUACGAUCUAGCUCGACCUCGGUUUGAAUGGCCCGCAUUAGUAUUUGAACGGUUCUGAUCAUCUCAGAAUUUCUUUGAUCUAGACUGAAAGGAUUUACUCAAAGAUCUCUUUCUAGCCUCUCUAGCUUCAGAAUCAGUUUUUCUUCUCUUUACUUAAUUCUUCAGCUUUACAUGCUCGCUCAACGAGCACUACCAUUUUUUUAAUUUCUAGAAUUCCAACUAACAGACGGAUAUCUUCGUUUAAUCCAUCUUCAAACCUUUUGCACAUUAUUGCUUCAUUUGAUACACAUUCCUGAGCAUACUGGCUCAAUCUCACGAAUUCACGUUCGUAUUCAGUAACAGACAUUCGACCCUGUUUAAGCUCAAGAAACUCUUUACGUUUUUGAUCAAUGAACUUCUGACUAAUGUAUUUCUUUUGAAAUUCAACUUGGAAGAAAUCCCAGGUAACCCGUUCACUCGGAACCAUAGAUAUUAAAGUUUUCCACCAAUUAUACACCGUAUCUCUUAGAAGUGAGACGACGCAUUUAACACAUUAUUCUGGAUUCAGAAACAUUACAUCAAAUACCCGUAUUGUAUUUUCUAACUAGAAUUUAGCUCUUUCAGCAUCAUCAUUCGUUAUCGAAAUUCUUCAGCCCCAUACUUUCUAAUCUUAUCAACCGGUGGUCUAUUUAGCUGAACUGGAUUCAUAGAAGUCACGACAGGAAUUUGAGAAGGAUUAAUCGGGGGUGGAGGUUGUUGUACAGUCGGAUUGGUUCUAAUGUAUUGGGUAAAUCAUUCAUUCAUCAUCUGAUAGAAGGCUUAGUUAGCCUCACUAUCACCGCUACUCAUAGUCGGUCGUGAAUCAUCUUGCACCACCCCUUGCGCAAGAGCAGGCGCAUUACUUUCAACAUCGUCAGCUACAGCUCUAUCGGGAUCCAUUUGCUAUAUAAAAGCACAUUUCAAAGUCAAGAGUCAUCACACUAUCACAGAUUCAAAUAUAUGGCAUGUAUAGCUAGACUCAUAUACACUAUGGUAGUCCUAGAACCGACUAAACCAUAGCUCUGAUACCAAUAAAAUGUAACACCCCUAUCUCGUAACUGUAGCCAGAAUAGGUAAGGGGUGUCAUCGGACAGACAGAGCAUUUCUGAACAAUACAGAUUCACAGAUAUCAUAUAACAUUAAUACAUUUGCAUUCAUCAACAAUUCAUCCAUUAAGAUGGUCUACGAGACCUAAAACAUACAUUUAGGAAAGGUCGAGACUAAACUGAACCCAUUCAGAAUUUUAGAACUCAAUCAAACUUUUCAAAUUUGACAAAGUCACACGCCCGUGUGACUAGACCGUGUGACUCACACAGGCACAAGACACUCCCAUAUGGUCUAACCGUGCCAAAAAGGGGUCCUAUACUGAAUUUUUAACACGGCCAAUAGACACGGCUGUGUGCCAUGACCGUGUAAAAUUUAGCUAGCUACUGACUUUUUCACAUGGCUACAAGGUACGCCCGUGUUCCCUGGCAUUGUGGCACAAAGCAGGCUUGGUUUAAGCCAAUUUGCCACCCUUAUAUGGUCCAAUCCUACAAUCAAUAAUAUACAAUAUUUAUACCAACAUUUUCAACCAAUUCUAUGCUUAAAGCUAACCAAAACACAUUAGAACAUAGCAUAUUGCAAACAUUCACCAAAAUUAUACUCAGACUUAUCAUUUGCUAGCCAAUUCACAUGGCAUAUCACAUAUAUACAUAUCAAAAUUUACAUACUUAAACAUUCUAGCCUACACAUGCCAUACUUAUAAAUAUGUACAUUUCCAAAAGUACCAAAAUGAGCUUGAUAGUGUGGUGACAAUCCUCGACUAUCUCGAGCCUUCUGUAGCUAUGAUAUCUACAAAGCAGGCAUGAAUCACACAGAGUAAGAUACAAAGAGCUUAGUAAUACAAUUACCCAACUAAUAUAGCAUAAAAGUAACAGUUAAUAGCCAGAAUUCACAACUGUCUCAUAGAAUAUUUCCUUACUUCGCACAAACAUAGUCUUUUCUAUUCAGAAAUCUAGUACGAUAUGAACAUACCUGCAUGAAUUAUACAUUUCAUAUUUCAUACUGUGUCAUCAGACAAAUCCAGAUACGGAAGAGAUAUUCACAGACAAGUACAAUGCCGACGUCUCAGACGUGGUCUUACAUGUAAUUCUAUAUCGAAGCCUAUGUCCCAGACAGGGUCUUACACGAAAUCACAGAUCGAGGCCUGUGUCCCAAACAGGGUCUUACAAGAAAUCACAGAUCGAGGCCUGUGUCCCAAAAACGGUCUUACACGAUAUCACAGAUUAAUGUCAACAUUCCUUCAGAAACAUACAGAACUUCUCAUACACCAGCAUGUUAUCAGAAUUUAUUCAUCAGGCUCUCAAGGCCAUACAAUGUAGAUAAUGGUUUAUAUACACAGAAAUUAAUCAACUUAACACGUAAGUGUAGUUUGACUUACCUCGUACGGAUUUCAGAUGAAAAUAAGUCAACUAUUCGACUACUUUAGACUUCCCUCGAUCUAAGUCUGAUUUUCUAUUUUCUUGAUCUAAUACAAUACAAUUUCAUCCAUUCAAUCAUUCAUUUCAUUCAAUUUAAUCCAUAUACACAAAUUUAGAGCACUUUGCACUAUAACCCUUAUUUUUUCACACUUUGACAAUUUAGUCCAAUUUUCACAAAAUCACAAAUAUGCAAAAUUCACCAAGACUAUAGCUUGGCCGAAUAUACAUGGCUUCCAUAUAAGCCCCUACAACAUGCUUAAUUCAUAAUUUAGUCCUUCAAAACCUUAAUUUCCCAAAUUAGCCCAAAUAGCUCUAUUUCAUCAAAAUUCAAAGACAAAGCUUAUAAAUCAUCUACUAAACCUUCAUAAUUCAUCCAAGAACAUUACAAAACUCAUGAUAUCAACAAUGACAUUUCAUGAAAUCUUUAAUAGCAAUAGAAAUUCAGACAUGGGCUUUGAAGAACACGAAGCAACGAUCACAGAAAUGUAGAAAUUAUCAAAAACCGAUCAAAAGAACAUACCUAAUUGAUGCUUGUAAGUUCCGAAACCCUUAAGCUCUUUUUCUUUCUAUUUUUUUUGUAUUUUCAGCAAUACAUGCAUGAAAAUGGCUUCAUUUUCAUGUUUUUUUUUCAUUUAAUAAAUUUAAUAAUCAUUUUCCUAUUUUGCCCUUUAAUGACAUAACAUUAAUUCUUACCAACUCAUGUCCAUAUUUGUCCAUGCAUUAGUACAAUGGUCCAAUUGACAUGCAAGGACCUAUAUGUUUAAAAGCCAAGCCAAUUAGGUGCUUUAACAUUUAGCACUCAACUUUUACGCUUUACGCGAUUUAAUCCUUUUUCAUAAUUAAGCACAGAAACAGACAAAUUUAAUCACAGAAAUUUCACAGAUGUAAAUUCACAUAUCAUAGACACAUAAAAUAAUAUUAAAAUAUUUUUUAGACUCUGAUUUGUGGUCCCAAAACUACUAUUCCGACUAGGGUCAAAACUGGACUGUUACAGUUGAUAUGUCAUGAAUUAGACCAUGGGAAUUAUGCAUGAUUAUUUGAUUAUAAGACAUUAGAGAAUCGAGCAUAAUAAGUUGAUAUUUUGAGAACUAAAAUUUUUAGGUUAUUUUCCUGAAUUGAGGUAUUAUCUUGAAAUCGUAAGUAUAUAGGAAUGACAUCAAAAACCCAAAUUUUUGGUGAGAUUUUUGAGCCUUUUGAGCAUAUGGCUUUCUUUCUUGCUCACUUUUUUUGUGGUUUGAGUGUGUCAAUAUUGAACUGUUAUUCUAGAACCUGCUUUGAUUAUACAUGUCGAGAUCACAUGUAUGAUUUAAUAUACUGAGAUUAUAAAGGCACUUAGGGUUUAACCCACUUACUCCAUAAAAAGCCUUUCCACAUAAUUAAACCCUUAGAGAACCCCCCUAAGCCUACUAACCCUUUUUAUUGAUUAACCCUCAUCAUUAACCCAUUAACCCAUUAUUGUUGCAAUCCUCUUACUUAAUUUGACCCUUUUUAUCAAGAUUGAAUUUAAUAUUGUUACCUCACUAUGUUCACCAUUUUUUUUUUACUAAAUCAUGAAGUAUGAUUUCUAUAUUGUAUUGAUUUGAUUUUUUCUUAAAAAAAACUUAGUAUUAUUAUUGUAAUCCUCAGCAAGCUAAAGUUGUCAUGAAAAAGAGAGCUCAUGUAAUAUAGUUCUAGAUAUUUGUUUGUAAUUCGGUAAUUAAGUUUUUGAUAGUCGGGUAAUAUAUUGAAAUUACCUCGAUUCUAACCUUUUUCUUUUCAGCUUGUAUCCAUACCUGUAACCUAAACCCCAUUACAACCAUGCAAAGACCUUUUGAUUUGUGUAUCAUAUCAUUUACAAGUUCUGGAGAUUUAAUUUUCAUGCAAGCCUAUGGUAAUAACUUCUCAUGUUAGACAAUCGAGUGCUUAAUCUUGAACCUUAAACACUUUGAGUGAUUUGAGUGAACCCUUAGUGAGGAUGUCAUAUCUUUUAUAUUUAGGACUAAAGUUAAUUACUUAGAGAAAGGAGAUUACCUAUGAUUUUAUUAUCAAAAUAUUCGAUUUAGAUUGUUGGAGGCUUUUAAUGUCCCUAUAGUUGAAUUCUUACCGUAUGAUUUUUCGUGGAAUAGUUUGUAACAUUAUCAGUAAUGAUUAUGUGAUUAAAAGGAAUGAAUUCUAGCAGUAAAUGAGAGUUUUGCUUGAGGACAAGCAAAUGCUUAAGUGUGGGGGUAUUUGAUAAACGCCAAAUUAUACAUAUUUUACCCCAAAUACUUAGCAUAUUUAUGGAUGUUUAUUACUAGAUUUAUGGAUUUUGGUGCUCUUAAUCCGGUUAUUUCAUGUUUUGUACUCAAGAGAGCACCAAGAGUCAAAAGGAGCCAAAAACAAGCCAAAAAGGGACAAAACGAACCAAUUUGAGAAGAUGACACGGCCUAAGCCUUGCCACACGGGCAGCUCACACGCCCGUGUCUUUCGAGGGUGUCGAGCAACGCUUUCACGAUUCACACAGCUUGGCUAUUGACCCACACAGCCGUGUGCAAUUUAACGGAUCGAACACGGUCUGGCAAUCACAUCACACGGCCAUGGCACAUGGGCUGUCCCUUUUUCAAGAAGUUGUAUUUUACACAGAAAAGGAUACUUAGGGAGGAAGAAAACCAGUCCAAAGCCUAUAUAAACACCCUAAGUAUGACUUAGAAAGGGACCUCCUUCCAAAACUUUUCUAGAGUACAAAGCCACACACCGGGAAUUAUUUGAAGGAAGCCAGACGAUCCAUCCCAAAAGCAGAAGCUACUCUAAGAGGGAAGAUCUCUCUUAGAAUUCCUUUAGGGGUUUUAGAGUUUUCUUUAUGUCUUGUUAUUUUUAUACUUUUGAGAUGUACUAUUAUUUUAUUAUGAACUAAACCCUUUAGAUACCUAAGGGGGAUGAAAUCUAUGACAGAUCUUGUUAUUAUUAUCUGAACUGUAUGAUAAAUACUUGAUUUGUUCUUAAUUAUGUGUUCUUAAUGCUUGAGUUAAUAUUUCGGGUAUUGAUUCAUGAUUUGAUGUGGUUAUGCAGAGGAGAAAAAGUCUCUGUCUAAGAGUAGAUUUGGUAUAAUUAAGCAGAGUUGAUUGAACGCCUAGAAAUAGGGUUACGAGAUUUUGCCGGAUUAGGGUGAAACCUAAUAUGGGAGUCCAUAUAUCAAUUUACUGCUUCCCUAGGGGUUUUGAUUAGAAAGAGAUUUCAAUUAAUUCAACUGAGGGUUAGACGUUAUUAGUCUUGAAAGAGAUAAUAAUAUAGGUUAGGGAGUCUCAUGUAUCAAGUCAAGUGAAUAAAUCAUCUGGUUCAGAGCUAGAUAACAAGUGAAAUCUAGGUGGAUUCCUCCUUGGGUGUCGUCUUUAUCAAUUACUUUUCUUCAAGUCUUUGUCCAAAUUUUCUCUGUGCUUUAGUUUAAUUAGUUAAUUAGUUUAGUUGAUUAGUUUAAUAAACAAUCCCUCUUUAUUUCUAGGUUAAAUAAUAAAAAGAUAGUUAUUACUAGUACUUUUGGUUCCCUUGGUUACGAUAUCCCGGUCUUGCCAUUACUAUACUAUUGUUCGAUAGGUGCACUUGCCUACAUUGCGAUAAUAGUUAGUUCAAGAACGAGAAAUUAUAAAUAUUUAAAACCUAUCACAAAACCUCGCGAUCAAUAUCCUCACAGAAUAUGGUGGACAUUUAUUUAGGGGUUCGAUCAAGGUAGACGAGCAUCAAAUCAGUUUAGAGCAUCCUAGGUAGUAAUGUUUGUCUCUUUCCCUUUGUCAUUAUUUAUGGAUUUAAAUCUUAAUAUUUUUCGUGGAAUUGUCAAAGUUAUGCUAACGCUAAAUUCCCAAUAAUUUUUUAGGAGUAUCAUUGCUAAGCUAGAUAUCAUGUGUCUGUUUGAAACAAGAGUUAGUGGGAGGAAAUUCGACAGUAUCAUUGCUAAGCUAGGCUUUAAAUAUUCUCAUCUUGUUGAAGCCAUUGGUUUUUUCGGGGGUAUUUGGAUUGGCUGGAAAGAUUUUAUCAAGGUUAAGAUUAUUCGGAAUCAUCCGCAGUUUAUUCUGCACUGUGUUUUUGGCAAUGUUCUUUCCAACUCAAUUUACAUAUCCUUUGUAUAUGGUAGCCCAAACAGGAAAAAGCGAAGUUCUCUUUAGAGUACUUUGAAAUUGUCUAUACCGUAGAGGUCUUGUCCAUGAGUUCUUAUGGGUGAUUUUAAUGCCAUACUGUCUCCUAACAAAAAUAAAAAUAGCUCUACCAUAGAAAGAAGCACCACCUUUUUCGGUAAUUUUGUAGAAUCCACUAAACUUCAGGAUCUAGGGUUUUCAAGCCCAUCCUUUACUUGGCAGAGAGGAGGCAUAUUUGAAAGAUUAGACCGAGUCCUUCCUAAUCAUGCUUGGAUGUCAGCAUUUCCAAAUUUCCUAGUAUAUCACCUCCCACGGAUCAAGUCCGAUCAUAGACCUAUCUUAUUUUCUAUGAAACUAGAGCAUAAUUCAAGCAGAGGUAGACCCGUCCGUUUCUUAGCCGGUUGGACGAAGCACUCUGACGUCAAAGGGAAGUGGAGCUUCUCAGGUAAUAUGGUUGAUUAUUUAUCUCACUUUACGUCAUGCAUUAAUGAGUGGAACAAGUCAAUUUAUAACUUUAUUGGUACUCGAAAGAGACAGUUAACGAAGUCCCUUUCAAAUAUUCAAAGGGUCCUCAAAUGGUCGAGUUCUCUCCGUCUGAUCCAACUUGAGACGGAUAUUCAAAAAGAACUGGAGUGUGUCUUGAACCAUGAAGAACUACUUUGGAAACAUAAGGUCAAGUGUGAUUGGCUUAAUUUAAGGGACUGAAAUACAAAGUACUUUCAUAGGCAGAAAAGAAAGUUUAACCAUAUUACUGCUUAACGUCUCGACAAUUGGGAGUAGAGUUCUGACCAAAAUGUUUUUCAUAUGACACAGUGAACUUCUUUCAGAAACUUUAUGGGAAAGCUCCAGAGCCCAUGAGAGGACUCCCUUCAGGUACUUUCUCACGUCUAGUCCUUUGGAUAUUUAUUUCUUGAACAAACAGGUUUAAGAGGAUGAAAUGAAGAAGCUUUAUUUGAUAUGGCACCAUUGAAGGCAUCGGGGAGCGAUGGAUUUCAUGCUUUUUUUUUCAGAGUCAGUGAGACAUCCUAGAAAAGACGUUUAUGAAUUGGUGAAUGAGGUUUUUGCAGGAAAAGACAUCAAUCUGGAUUUGAAUAACACUUUACUUGUUCUUAUUCUUAAAGUCAACAAUCUUGAGAUCUUCCUGUGGUUUCGCCCCAUUAGUUUAUGCUUUAUUCCGUGUAAGUUAGUUUUGAAGGUUAUUGCUAAUCAGUUCAAAUUGGUUUUCUCUAAUCUAAUUUCCCAAGAGCAUGCUGGAUUUAUUGCAGGGCAUAGUACUUCUAAUAACAUAAUUCUUGCUCAGAAAGUAAUCCAUUCCAUGAAAAGGAAGUGAACUGGUCAGACAUGGAUCACAAUUAAAAUUGAUUCGGGGAAAGCUUAUGACAGGGUGAGAUGGGAGUUUAUCAAUGCUUCACUUUUUGUAGUUGGUGUUUCGAAUUUCCUUCGAAAAGUGAUAAUGUUUGCCACUUCUUCUUCUACUAUGUAGGUUCUUUGGAAUAGGUUGUACUAAAAGAUAGUAGAAGAUGGCUCUAGUUGGAUGGGACUCCAUUUGUCAUCCAUGCUCUCAUAGUGGUCUUGGAUUCCGACAUUUGCAAGAUUAAAACACUUCAUUUAUUAUGAAGAUUGGUUUUAAUCUUCUGACUAAGGAUAAUGCCUUAUGGAUAUGAGUUCUUCAUACGAAGUAUGGUAUAAGAGAUCGAUUACCAGAAUCCAUUAUUAGAAUUCAUACCUAGCACCUUUAGAAAUCUUUAUCUAAGGUUUGGCCCUUAUUCUGUGAGAACAUAGCAUGGUUAGUUGGUAAUGGCAAUAUCAUUCUCUAUAAGAAAGACUCUUGGAUUCUGACUAUAGGUCCAUUGGUAUCUCAAAUCCUUGCUCAUGCUCAUCUGGAUUUGGGUUGUACUCUCAGUAAGAUGGUCAUGCCAGAUAAAGGGUGGAACCUUUAUUUGUUUCGCAUCAAGUUAUCUGAGGAGGUGAUCAAUCAUAUUGUAUCUAUUCCUCCUCCUCAUCCUUCUUCAGGUAUGGACAACAUUAUUUGGACUCGCACGACUUAUGGUUCCUUUUUGAUCCAUAGCCCUUUUUGUCUAUCAAGAAAAGUUCUUGGAAUCCUAAGGAUGCUUUCCAAAAGAAUAGCUGGAAAUAUCAUGGGCCACACAGAGUUAAAAUUUUCCUUUGGCUAGCCUUCAGACAAAAACUUAUGACUAAUCUGGAGAGAACUAGAUGGGGAAUUGGUCAUAAUAGCUCUUGACCUGUUUGUGGCUAUGAAAUAGAAGACACACUCCACAUGCUUCGAUAUUGUUCGAUAGCAAAGGAAUUUGGUUACAGGUUAUACCUGUAACACCCAUCACCCGUAUUCAAAGCCAGAAUAGGGGUACGGAGUAUUACUAGACUCAUCACACAUUUAAACAUACAUUUCUCAUAAAUUCUCCAAUUCCAUACAAACAUCAUUCAUAAACAAUCAUAUUGUCCCUAUUACGAGCAUACAGGGCCCAAAACAUGCAUUCAGAGUGGUUCAGGACUAAACCGAUAAAUUAGGAAAUUUUCAAAAAACUUAGUAAAAUUUUCCAAAAAUAGGGGACACAGGCCCGUGUGGCCCGGCCGUGUGUCUCACAUGGCCAAAGACAUUCCUGUGCCACAGGCCGUGGUGACAUUGGAAAUGGGAUUACAUGAAACUCCUUGACUUGGGUUACACAGCCAACUACAUGCCUGUGUGACUAGCCCGUGUGCCCUUCGAAAUGGCCUCACAUGCCCGUGUGCCAGACCCUGUGUUAGGCCGUGCCAAACCUGUAGGGUUUACUGACUUAUGUCACACGGCCAAGUCACACGCUCGUGUGUUGGGCCGCGUGGAGCUUACUCACUUGAUUUCUAAUUGAACACCAUGGGACACAGGACCGUGGCACCUAACCGUAUGUAGCCGUGCCCGUGUCUCUGCCUGUGCAGAAAAAAAUAGAUUGCCAAGCCAUCUUGCCACCCAAAUUUGUAUACACCUACACCAAGAAAAAUGGCACAAAACAAGGCAUAAAUAGGCAUUUCAAACUAAUCACAACCAAGCCUAAUUCAUGCUAAUUCCAUACUAUCAACCAUAAAAUUCAAAAUUUCAAGACAAGCCAUUCAAUUACAUACCAAAAUCACAUUCACAAAUCACCUAAAUGGUCACUUUCAUUUAUGCAUUUCUUUACCUAAAAUCACAAGUCAACCGAUAUCAUAUUUCAACCAAUUGAUACUCCAAAUACCAAAUCAUAAACAACCAUUCACCACAAGAUUUUACAUGGCAAUUAUCAACCACAUAGCAAAGGUCAUAUGCACAUAUAUAAACAUUACAAAAUAAACCAAAAUAAGCCAACUCUAAUGGCAAUACACAAAACCAAUCACAUAACAUUUACUAGCCAUUUCAAAUGACUAACUUCAUCACCAACACAUACCAAAAUGACCAAAGCUCCUAUACAUGCCAUAUAACCAAAUACAUAGAUUCAAAAGUACCAAAGUGAUAGCUUGAUAGUGUGAUGAAGUCUCCGACAAGUCCCAAAUCCGAGCUAGCUUUGAUAUCACUAUAAAACAUAGGAAAAUAAACAAAGUAAGCUAUAAAACUUAGUAAGUUCGUAUAACAAUAAACUCAAGUUACCAAAAAUUUACAAUUCAAACAAGUGAACAUAUCAAUAUACCACUCAUAUAAAUACACAAACCUAUCACAUUUUCAAUCACAAGGUUAAAUGUGAACUUCACAAUUUUCUUUGAUUCAAAGCUUAUAUGGUUCAUAUACAUACCUGUAACAUCUCGUAUCAAUCUCAUACUCAUCCGUAUCUUUGAUAUACCCGUUGAACCAUUCGGAAUACUAUCAGAUACUCGGGAAUCUCGCUCACUAAGUGCCACAUAUAUAGCCGAAACUAUCUCAAUCACGUAUCACAUAUAAUGCUCACUCUCGAGCUAUCAAUGGGUCUACUCACACAAGCUGAUAGUCAUGAUGUAGCUACACGGUGCUGCUCAUACAAGCUGACGAGAAUUUGCAACACAUGCCGGAUAACUCAGCCAUAGGUAGGACGUACGAACCAACACCCAAUCACAUAACCCCUAAUGACAUGUCAUUCAUAUCCUCAUCAUUCCUAAGGUUCAACCGAGCUUUCCCAUUGCCGAAUCUUCUUCGAACAUAUCCGUAAGGUCGUUUACACAAUUUAUUCAAUAUUAAAGCAUUUAAAACACAAUUAUAAUAAUGCUUAUUAACAUACGAACUUACCUCGGAUGCAAAAACGACGAAAUUUAUCGAUUAAUCCAACAUUUUGUUUUUCCCUGAUCUAAAUCUGAAUUUCACUUUUCUUGAUCUAUAUAGGAAAUUUUACACUUUUACCUUUAAUAUUUUAACAUUUUUAUAAUUUAGUCCUUAACUCAUAAAAAUACAAAUUCAUGUAAUUCAACUUAUACCCAUGCUAGCCAAAUUUCAAUUAAGUCCCUAGUUGCCCAUAUUUUUCAUUUAUUUCACAAUUUAACCAUAAAAUUUCAACAUUUCUCAAUUAAAUCCCUAAAUGACAAUUUUGUCAAAAAUCACUUUACAAAUGUUGUUUAUUUAACAACAAGCAUACAUUUUCUAUCAUCAAACAUGAAAAUACACAUAGAUUCAUUAAUGGCAAAACCCUGAACCUUUAACAGUUUUGCAAAUUCGUCCCUAGGCUAGCUAGAUUAAGCUGCAACGAUCUCAAAAACAUAGAAAUCAUUAAAAACGGAACAAAAACCAUACCUACAUGAGCAAGGAUAGCAUGGCCGAAUGAAGGAAAUAAAAAAUGGCUUCUAUUCUUGUUAAAUUCAGCUAAGGAAGAUGAUAAAGAUAAAAUAUGGUUUUUGUUUUAUUUAUUUUAACCUUUAAUUACCAAAUACCAAAAUUAACCUUUAUUAUAAAACAUUAAAAUCACUUAAAUGAUGUCUAAGAAUGUCCACUCAUAUUAAAAAUGGGCUAAUUGCAACAUAAAUCCCUUAACUAUUUAAUUUCAUAGCCAUUUAAUACAUUUAGCUAUUAGAACAUCACUUUUGCACUUUACACGAUUUAAUCCUUUUUAUUAAAUUAAGCAUUCAAACGAUAAAAUUUCUUAAUAAAAAUUUCACAUAAUCAUACUAUCAUGCUGUAGACAUUAAAAUAAUAAUUAAAUAAUUAUUUUGACCUCAGAUUUGUGAUUCCAAAACUACUAUUUUGAUUUGACUAAAAACGGGCGUUACAACUUUCUCCCCUUAAGAAUUUUCGUCCUUAAAAAUUUUACCAGAAAAGAGAUUAGGGUACUGUUUUCUCAUAGCUUCCUCAGGUUCCCACGUAGUUUCUUCUACUUCGUGACGUUGCCAAAGUACUAUCACUAAAGCGAUGCUUUUGUUUCUCAACUCUUCAAUUUCUCAAGCCAGAAUUCUGAUCGGUUCUUCGUUAUACAUCAUAUCAGGUUGAAUUUCAAUCUCCGCUGGAGAAAUUACAAGCGAUGGAUCUGAUCAAUACCGUCGUAACAACGAAACAUGAAAUACAUUGUGGAUCUUUUCUAAUUCUGACAGUAAAGCUAGCCGAUAUGACACUGACCCUAUUCUUUCGAUGAAUCGCAGGCACAAUUUGCCUUUGCGACCAAAUCGAAGAAUUUUCUUCCACGGAGAUACUUUUAAAAUACUCUGUCUCUGAUUUGAAAUUUAAUGUCUUUACGUUUCAAAUCCGCAUAAGAUUUAUGUCGAUUUGAAGUUGCUUUCAAACUGUCACGAAUUACGUUCACUUUAUGUUUAGUGUCUCUAAUCAAAUCAACCCUGUGAAUCCUUUUCUCACUAAGUUCAGUCUAGUACAAUAGAGUUCAACAUUUGCGACCAUACAAUGCUUCAUACGAUUCCAUCUUUAUGAUCAAUUGAAAACUAUUGUUAUAAGCAAAUUCAACCAAUGGCAAAUAUUUCUUCCAAUUGCUUUCAAACUCUAAAACAUAGCAACGAAGCAUAUCUUCAAGAAUCUGGAUUACUUUCUCAAACUGAUUGUCGAUUUGGGGUUGGAUUGUAGUACUAAAAUGUAACACCUUUCACCCGUAUUCAACAUCGGGUUAGGGUUACGGAGUAUUAUUGAACUCAUCACACAUUUAAACAUACAUUUCUCAUACAUUUUCCAAUUCCAUACAAACAUCAUUCAUAAAAAAUUAUACCAUGGUUUGUUCAAUGUAAUGACUAUGCCAUUACAACCCUAUUCCAUGGGCCCAUCUAAACACCUGUUUGGUUCAAUGGAAUGCCAUAUUACGGGCUUAUUCCAUGACGGGCCUAUGCAGUAAAAUUGAAUGAUUUCUAUUCUAUAUCCUCACCACCAAUUACUGAUUCGGUGUUUAUGGAGACCAUCACCACAAAAACUCUCCCCACUUUGCCCACUCCCAUUUUCUCAUCUGAAACACUCCCCACUUUCUCCCUCCGUUCAUUCCAUCUUCCUCUCUUCUAAUUUCUCUGCCCUCUUUUUUCUGCUUUCUUUUUCUUUCUCUCAAUAAAGUUUUUGUUUUCCUCUUUUCCAUUUUUUUUCUUGAUCUGUAAAAUUCCAUCGAUUGUUGGAAAGAGCAAGAGAGUUCUUAGAGGGGAAAUUGAAAUCUAAAUCGAAAACUGAAAAUGUUGAGGGAAAACCGAGUGAUAAACCAGGCAUGAGCUUCGAUUUCAAAUUGCCGAUACCUCCUAAGUCAUGACCCAAAGAUUUCCCCUUCACCUCUUCAACAUUUAGCUUCAAAAUCAUCUAUUCGCUUCUUCGAUAUUUACAAGGUAAUUGCUCCAUCUCCCCCUUUUUAACUCUAAAAUAUUUGAUUUUUUUAAGCUAUAGUUCUUUUUAACUUUUUGUCUUGUGUGUACAGCUUGCAAGCAAGGAAAAAAUCGAGAAAGAAUGAGCAAGACGGUAAGUUUAAGCUUUGUUUGUUUAUUGAAAUUUUGUUACGUGCUCUUUUUUCCAUGAAAUUUAAUAUAAAUAAUUAUUUUAAUUUGAUUUAGGGCAGUGCUGAUGAAUUAAAUAGAGGAUAUUUUGAUGAUAUUUCUGAGCUAAAACAACACAGUGGUAAGGUAUUAACUGAUUUGUUCUUUUUAUAUACAUAUAAGCUAUAUCAUUUGCAAAUCUAUUCAAAUUAGUUGAAUUGCAACUAAUUUCUGAGUAAAAUUAAUGUUACUUUCUGUAAACAUUUUAAUUGUUAGUUUUUUUUCUUUUCUUGCAGAUUGCACUGGCAAAUAAGAUUCUAAUUCCUGGAAUUGCAGCAAGGAAGUUUCCUGCCAUGCAUGUUAUAUAUUCUGAUGGUAGAAAAUUAAAGCUGCCGAUUAUUUUUGAUGCAAGUGGCGUUGAUGCUAGCAAGUUGGCUGUCUUUGAAGCAUCUUUAGUCUGUCUAUCAUUUAGAACAAACUCUCAGGUAUGGUUUCUUUUUUCUAUGUUUGUUUUGGAUUAAAUUUAUGUAUUUCUUAAUGAUGUUAUAAAUCUUCCUUUUUUAUCAUGAUAAGAGAAUGUUGAAUAGAUAGUGCAUUGUUUUAAAAUUGUGAUAAAAAGGCAUAUCAGUGACUCUAUGGCAAUGGAGGGGUUAGCACUAAAUUGCAAUUAUGAAAACAACAAAAACAUGAGAAACAAAAGAUGUUGUUGGUUGCUAACUUUUCUUUUCUCUUGUUUUUGGUUAUUGUUAUUGAUGAUGCAUUUUAACUCCUUUUCCUUGUCAGGCUAUGGUCGAUUCUUGAAGCAAGCCUUUUUAUGACGCCCUUUAGUGAGUCCAAGAGCGUGCGGCUAUAUGAGGUUCUAUAUUUUUGCUAUUUAACUUUUCAUUCCUUUUUGGCAUGUGUGGUGAAUCAAAGAUUCUCAGUUUUCUGUUGCUAGAAAGAACUUAUAGGUACAUGCAUCUGUAGUCAAUAAUAAUAACAAACAAAUAAAACAGCGAACAAGAAUAGAAGAUAGCUAUGCUAGUAUGACUUAUGAGUUAUGACCGUCCUAGUUGAGCUUAUAGCUCAUCAGAUCAGCCUAUAAUUAAUAUUGCAGUUGUCCUUUUAUUUAUUGUAUUUGAAUGGAAAUUCUUGAUAGCUGAUUUUAUGUUUUAUAUAAGUUAUUUGUUAAAAUAAUCGUGUUUGGAAAUUAUUAUGUGUUGCUAAAUGAUAAUAUAUUUGCUAUUAUCAGGUAUCUUUUAUAGACUCUUGGUUCUUAUGCUUGAAUCCCAUUAAACGAUUGCUUCUUCUAUUUAUGAGGAAAUCUAGUUAUGGAGCAAAGGAUGCUCUUCAGAGGCAUAUUGUUUAUUCAUUUGGUGAUCAUUAUUACUUCAGAAAAGAACUUAAGAUUUUGAACCUUCUAACUGGGUAAUCAGAAGUUUCUUAUAUCCUAAUCAAUAACAUAACUAAUAUUCAUACAGUUCUGUUUUGUUAGUAUGAGAAGAUGCUUUUUCACUUGUUUGAAGGUAAAUUUUCCAGCUUGACAAAUUUGGUAGAAUAAGAUGGCAGGGCUUUGGUUUGGCAAAGCAAGGUGAGUUGUCAUCGCUUUUUUAUUGCACAAAAGUUAUUCUAGAGGAAAAAUAGGUAGCCUGGCAUUUUUUAGGUACCGUAUUAUCUUAAUGGGUUAAUAUCUAUUUUUGCAUUCAAAGGAUACUAGUGUCAAAUGAAAAUAAUGAUGUGAUUUGUUGGAAACAUGGUCCUGUUUGCUAUUUUAUUUUAGAUUUCUGCAACCAAGCAAAGCUUUAGGUUUUCCAUUUUGGGUGAGCGAGUGGAAAAGUAAAGAAGUAUCCUUAUGCUAGUGUCAAUUUUAUUUCAACUUCACUUUCUUGUAUUUUAGUUUUGUGUCAGACUUGACUUAAGUUAUAUGCCUAUCAAUAUCCCAUUGAUAUUCCUUGCAGAUACUUUUGGCUUGCCUGGAGUAGCUUAGUUCUUACACUGAAAGCCUGUUGGCUCAACAGGAUGAACAAGUUCACAAUUUUGAGAGACCUCAAUUUUGUUUCAGAAAACCUUGGUGUUGAGUUUUUCAAAGGUACUGUUGUGGUAUAAUAAUCUUCCCAUUACUGAUGAUGUGUAGAGUUGAAUGAAUUUUGUAUUAUUUUCUUCAACAAUUAGAAUAAAAUGUAUUUAUCUAUUCGAUAUCGAACCGGUUGGCAAAGCUGUUGAAGGAGUAUUGCUAUGGAGCAUUGGGAUUUUAUAAUGUAAAGAAAUUUUAUAAUGUAAAGAAAUUUUAUAAUGUAAUCAUUAAUGCAAAACUUUCUCAUUAACAUCGCCUUUUCCAAUUUUAUAAUGUAGAUAAACAAAUAUUUUUUGUUUCUUUUAGUUGAAAAAGAAAAAUAAAAAGAUGCUAUUUUUCUUCUGGAUGCUUUGUGACUUUUUUCUUUUAUUUGUAAUAAAAAUUGUGUUUAAUACAAUCAAUUAAUUUUAGAUUAUAACACAAGUAAAAAGUUUUAUAUAAAAAUUAUGUAAAUAACAAAUAAAACUUUAGUUGAAAUCAUAAAAUUGAGAUAAAUUCAGAAGUAAUGCAUUCAAAUAACAGUGUACUAUUUUAAAAUAUAGUAAAUAAAUUUUUUAAAUGUUUUAAUAUAAUUAAAUAUAAAAAUAAAAAAGCAUUUUAGUAUAAUUUAAAUAUAAAAAUAAUUAUAUUAAGAAUGUUAUUAAGUUAUAUUUAAUAAUAAUUAUAUUAAAAUAUGAUUAAAUUAUUUAUUUUUAUUUUUCUUUUUAUCAAAUUAUAUUAUAUUUAAUAAGAGUCUAAUUAAAAUUUAAUAUCCAUAUCUAAAAAAAUUCUGCUAAUGGUAUUAUGGUCAUUUUAGUUUUUUUCUUUAUGCUAUUACAUAUCUAUUCCAUUCAACCAAACACAAUAAUACUAUUACAGUUCUAUUCCAUUACAUUCAACCAAACAAUUGAAUUAUUGAUUACAGGCCUAUUCCAUUACAGCUCUAUUCCAUUACAGCCCUAUUCCAUUCCAAUGAACCAAACUUGCCGUUAUAUUGUCCCUAUUAUGAGCCUACGAGGCCCAAAACAUGCAUUCGGAGUGAUUCAGGACUAUAUCAAUAAUUUAGAAAAUUUUCAGAAAACUUGGUAAAAUUUUCCAAAAACAGGGACACAUGCCUGUAUGGCCCGACCGUGUGGACAUUCAAAAUAGGAUCACAUGGCCGUGUCCCAGCCCGUGUCAUACCAAGUGUAACUUCCCGGAUGAACAGAUAAACAACUGCUAUAUGCUUCGUUUAAAAUUUUCUGAAUAAGCUCAGGAUUCUUUGGUACACAUAUUCGAUCUCAGAACAUCAAACAAUCAUUGGAUCCGAUCUAAAAAUCUGAAUCAGUAGUCGACUCACAUUGCAUUCUUUUAGCUUUCAAUUCGUUAUCACAUUUCCGAGCUUCACAUAUUUGCUGACGAAAUAAUGAUUUAGCUUUUAACUCAGCUAAAAUUGAACCAUCAUUAGACAAAGUAAACCGUGUGUUCAUCGCCCGCAAAGUAAAUAAAUAUUUUCUACUCAAAGCAUCCGCGACUACAUUAGCUUUCCCCGGAUGAAAAUCAAUUACUAACUCAUAGUCUUUCAGCAACUCCAACCAUCUUCAUUGUCGCAAGUUCAACUUUUUUCGAGUCAUUAAAUACUUCAAGCUUUUUUGAUCGGUAAAUAUAUGGCACUUCUCACCGAAUAAAUGAUGUCGCCAAAUUUUCAAUGCGAACACAAUAGUGGCCAACUCUAAGUCGUGCAUCGGAUAAUUCUUUCCAUACGGUUUCAACUGUCUGAAAGCAUUAGCUAUCACUUUACCUUCUUGCAUCAAAACAUAACCCAAAUCGUUCAAUGUCGCGUUGUUGAAAAUCACAAACUCUUUACCCGACUCAGGCUGAACUAAAACUGGUGCCUCAGUUAACAAUGUUUUCAAUUGUUCAAAACUCUAUUGACAUUUCUCGGACCACUCGAAUUUUACAUCUUUCUGUAGCAAUCAAGUCGUCGGUGUAGCAAUCAUCGAGAAUCCUUUUACAAAACGCCAAUAGUAGCUAGCUAAUCCCAGAAAGCUUCAGACUUCGGACACAUUUCUUAGUGGUUUCCAGUCAACAACUACUGAAAUUUUACUAGGAUCAACUCAUAUACCUUUCGUUGAAACAAUAUGCCCUAAAAAUCCAACCUCUUGUAACCAAAACUCACAUUUGCUAAAUUUAGCAAACAGUUGCUUGUCUCUCAGUGUUUGUAACACAAUUUUCAAAUGUUCGGUAUGUUCAAAUUUGUCUCGAGAAUAAAUCAGAAUGUCAUCAAUGAAUACAACAACAAAUCUGUCUAGAUAUGGUCUAAAGAUUUGAUUCAUCAAAUCCAUAAAAAUUGCAAGAGCAUUAGUAAAUCUGAAUGGCAUAACAAGAAAUUCAUAGUGUCCGUACCUUAUUCUAAAUGUAGCCUUCGGUACAUCUGAAUCUUUAACUCUCAACUGAUAAUAGCCAGAUCUCAAAUCAAUCUUCGGAAACACUACUGCUCCUUUCAACUAAUCAAACAAAUCAUUAGUUUUCAGCAAAGGAUACUUAUUCUUAAUCAUAACCUUGUUAAGCUGACGAUAGUCGAUACGCAUUCUCAUUGGUCCAUCUUUCUUCUUUACGAACAACACUGUGCACCCCAGAGUGAAAAACUAGGUCGUGCAAAACCUCUAUCUGUUAACUCUUGCAACUGAGCUUUCAAUUUUGUUGGAUCUAUUGAUAUUGGUGAAGUUCCCAGUACUAAUUCAAUAGCAAACUCGACCUCUCUAAUCAGUGGCAACCCAGGAAACUUUUCUGGAAACAUUUUCGAAUACUCACAAACCACUGGCACUGAUUCAAUUUCGAUUCAAACAUUUUUGUAGCCAAAACAUACGCAAGGUAAGCAUCACAACAUUUUCUCACAUAUCUCUGAGCUGACAUCGACAAAAUCACAACAGGCAAUCCACUCGACUCAUCUUAUUCAAUUCAAAGGAUUUCACUAUUCUGACAUUUCAAUUCAAUAGUCUUUCGUCUACAAUUCACAACACCAGCAUGAGAGUCAACCAUUCCAUACCCAAAAUCACAUCAAAUUCAUCAAAAGGUAAAAGCAUCAAAUUUUUCAGAAAACAGUAACCCCGAGUCUUCAAAGGAAAAUUCUUACAAACUUUAUCAAUUAGGACAUACUUGCCUAAGGGGUUUGAUACUUUAGGCACAAGUUUGGUAGACUCAACAGGGAAACUCUUACUAAACACUAAGUUCACACAACAUAUGAAUGAGUCGAUCUAGGAUCAAUCAAAGCAAUUACAUUAAUGUCAAAUAGAGAAAAUGUACUAGUGAUAACAUCUGGUGACGACGCAACUUCGCGAGCGCGAAUAGUGAAAGCUCUAACAGGUGCUCUAGCCUCAGAUCUCACAGCGGAGUCCUUUGUCGUUCCUUUGCUACUGGUCACAUUCCCGCAUUUUUAGGUGGUCUUCCUCUAGCAAUUAUGUUACUAAAUCUUGUAUUCUGAAAUUUCUCUUUUUCGACUAACUCAGGACAAUCUCGAAUGAAAUGAUCUUGCGAGCCACAUUUAAAACAGCAUUUAUUAUUCAUCCAGUGGUCUCCAAAAUGUCGCCUCCUACACUGUUGACACUUAGGUUUAUUGUUUCUCACACCGGCAACACUCGACAUUGAAGUAGCCUAAGCUUUAGGACUCGUGUAUUACUUUCCACAAUCUCUAUUUGAAUACCCCGCUGAAGCUGUCAAACGAUUAUACGAAUCUCAUGAUUUCUUUGAUGAAGAUUGAUAGAAUUUAUUCAUCGAUCUUUUUCUCGAAUCUCUAGCCUCAAAAUCAACUUUUCUCUUUUCUUUGCCAAAUUCUUCAGCUUUGCAAACUCUAUUAACUAGCACCACAAAUUCUUUCAACUCUAAAAUCCCAACUAGCAAUCUGAUGUCUUCGCUCAACCCGUAUUCGAAUCAUUUACACAUAAUUGCUUCAGUGGAAAUAGAUUCUCGAGCAUAUUUACUGAGUCUCACAAAGUCUCUUGCGUACUCAGUUACAAACAUCGACCCUGUUUCAGCUCUAGAAACUCUUUGCUCUUUUGGUCGAUAAACCGCUGACUGAUGUAUUUCUUUCUGAACUCGAUUUGGAAGAAUUUCCAGGUGACUCAUUCUCUCAGUACUACAAAUACCAAAGUAUUUCGUCAUUGAUACGCAGUGUCCCUCAGAAGUGAUAAGGCACAUUUUACACAUUCGACCGGUAUGCAAGAAAGUUCAUCAAAUACUCUGAUCGUAUUUUCAAGCCAAAACUCGACUCUCUCAGGAUCGUUGUCAACUGUAGCUCUGAACUCUUGAGCCCCGUACUUUCAUAUUUUAUCAACAGGUGACUUAUUCAAUUGUAACUGUUCCACACCUUGAGGAGCUAUAGGGACCGGUUGGGGAUUACGUGGUGGUAGAGGUUGCUGAGCAAUCGAAUUUGUUCAGACAAACUCAGUAAACCACUCAUUCAUCAUCUGGAAGAAGGCUUCCUUACGCUCUCCUCCCUGACUACCCGAUACGGGUCUCGACUUUGAUUGCGCUACUCCGUGAACGGAGGCUGGUGCAUUAGUUUCAACAUCAUUAGCACAGCUCAAUUGGGAUCCAUUUACUAUAUGACAGCACAUUUUAAACUGUCAGGAGAUAUCACACUAUCGUAGGUGUUAUAUGGCAUGUAUAGCUAGACUAUCAUAUACGCUACAUUAGUCCUAGAAUCGACUAAACCGUAGUUGUGAUACCAAUAAUUGUAACACCCUUCAAUCGUAUUCAACGCUGAAAUAGGGUUGUGGAGUAUUACUGGACUCAUCACACAUUUAAACAUACAUUUCUCAUACAUUUUCCAAUUCCAUACAAAUAUCAUUUAUAAACAAUCAUAUUGUCUCUUUUACGAGCCUACGAGGCCCAAAACAUGCAUUUGGAAUGGUUCAGGACUAAACCAAUAAUUUAGGAAAUUUUUAAAAAACUUAGUAAAGUUUUCCAAAAACAGGGGACACAUGCCCAUGUGGCCAGGCCGUGUGUCUCACACAGCCAAAGACACGCCCGUGUCACUGGCAGUGUGGACAUUCGAAAUGGAAUCACAUGGUCGUCCCUUAGCCUAUGCCUUAGCCUAUGGAAUCACUUGAGUCACACGGCCAACCACAGGCCCAUCUGACCAGCCUGUGUGCCUUUUGAAAUGCCCUCACAUGCCCGUGUGCCAGACCGUAUGCUAGGCCGUGCCAAACCUGUAGGGUAUAUUGACUUAUGUCACACGGCCAAGUCACACACCCGUGUGCUAGUCCGUAUGAAGCUAACUAACUUGAUUUCUAAUUGAACACCAGAAGACACAUGACCGUGUCACCUAACCGUGUGUGGCACACGGCUGAGACACACUCCCGUGUAUCUACCUAUGUGGACAAAAAUAGGCUAUUUACCAAGCCAUAUUUCCACCCAAAUUUGUAUACACCUACAUCAAGCCAAAUGACACAAAAAAGGCAUAAAUAGGCAUUUAAAACUAAUCACAACCAAGCCUAGUUCAUGCUAAUUCCAUACUAUCAACCAUAAGAUUCACAAAUGUCAAGAUAAACCAUUCAAUUACAUACCAAAAUCACAUUCACAAAUUACCUAAAUGGUCACUUUCAAUUAUGCAUUUCUUUACCUAAAAUCAGAAGUCAACCAAUUGAUACUCCAAAUACCAAAUCAUAAACAACCAUUCACCACAAGCUUUUACAUGGCAAUUAUCAACCACAUAACAAAGGCCACAUACACAUAUAUAUACAUUUACCAAAUAAACUAAAAUAAGCCAACUCUUAUGGCAAAACACAAAACCAAUCAUAUCACAUUUACAAGUCAUUUCAAAUGACUAAAUUCAUUACCAACACAUACCAAAAUGGCCAAAGCUCCUAUACAUUCCAUAUAACCAAAUACAUAGAUUCAAAAGUACCAAAGUGAUAGCUUGAUAGUGUGAUGAAGUCUCCGAGAAUUCCCAAAUCUGAGCUAGCUUCGAUAUCACUAUAAAACACGAGAAAAUAAACAAAGUAAGCUAUACAACUUAGUAAGCUCGUAUAACAAUAAAAUCAACUGACCAAAAGUAUACAAUUCAAACAAUUGAACAUAUCAAUAUACCACUCAUAUAAAUACACAAACCUAUCACAUUUUCAAUCACAAGGUUAGAUGUGAACUUCACAAUUUUCUUUGAUUCAAAGCUUAUACGGUUUAUAUACAUACCUGUACCAUCUCGUAUCAAUCUCAUACUCAUCCGUAUCUUUGAUAUACCCUUUGAAUAUUUCGGAAUACUAUCAGAUACUCGAGAAUCUCACACCCUAAUUGCCACAUAUAUAGUCGAAGCUAUCUCAAUGGCAUAUCACAUAUAAUGCUCACUCUUGAGCUAUCAACGGGUCUACUCACACAAGCUGACAGUCAUGAUGUAGCUACACGAUACUGCUCACACAAGCUGACGAGAAUUCACAACACAUACCGGAUGACUCAGCCACCGGUAGGACGUACGGACCAACACCCAAUCACAUAACCCCUAAUGACAUGUCAUUCAUAUCGUAAUCUAUUCCUAAUGUUCAACCGAGAUUUCUCAUUGUCGAAUCGUUGUUGAACAUAUCCGUAAGGUCAUUUUUUUUAGUGAAGUAAAUGAUGUGAAAUUUUGUCAAUAGAUUGGUGAAUAAAUUGAAAAAAUAUUUGAAUAUAGCCGUUAUAACUGGGUAUAUUAUAGUAAAUUUUUUUUUUAGAUUUUAUAUGGGUAUCUUAUAUAUACUGAUAUUUUCAGAGGCAUAUGGAACUGUUCAUGUUUGGAUGAUAUAAUCAAUAUAUGGAAAGGUUGGAUAAAUAUGCUAAUAGACAGAAAUUAUCGCAAGUCUGAUUGAUUCACAAGUGGUACUACUCUAUCUUUCUUUGGUUUUCCAAGCCAAUAUAUGUGAUAGAACACUUGAUAAUAAGAUUCAUAUGAUAUUAUUUUCUAUUUCUGUUGGUAGAAGCUCUGAAAGGCAAAUGUGAAAAUUGUAUUGAAAAUAAAUUGUGAAAUGAAAGGAUAGAGAAUGGAUAUAAAUGAUAAACUGGGUAAAUAUGUACAAAAAGAAACUAUAGAACUAUAGAAAUAAUGAAAUUCAUGAUCAAAAGAAAACAAGGAAAUUUCGAGGACGAAAUUUAUUUUAAGGGGAGAGAAAUGUAAUACCCUGAAAAUUUUUUUCUGUAAGAUAUUAUCCUUGAUAUAGUAAAAUAAGGAAAUAAAGUGACAAAAAGGGAAAUUUUGAGUUAUGUUAAUAUUGAGAAGUAUAUUAUGAUAUAUUAAUUCAAGAAAGGACUAAAUUAUAAAAGUGAGAAAAGUUUUGUUGCAUAAGAGUAAAGACUCAAAAUUUGAGGGGUUAAAGUGUAAAUAUGAAAAAGUUGAAGGACCAAUAGUGUAAAUAUUUUAAGAGUGGAAUGAUCUAGAAACUAAGGAAAAUGGAUGAAUUAGGACCAAAUUGAAUAGGUGAAGAACUAUGAGGGACUAAAUUGUAAUUUUACCAAAUUAAAUGAUGACUCAAGAAUGGAAUUUUAAAAGAUAAUAAAGGGUAAAAUGGUCAAUUGGAAGAGAGAGAAAUCUAGAAAGUAAUGAUGAUGUUGAUGAUAUUUUAUGAUUAUUUAAUUAGAUAUAUAUUAUUUUAAUGAGAUAUUUUAUUAUUUCAUUAUUAUUUCAUUAUUAUUUUAUUCUUAAUUGUUUAGUAUAAAAGGAAGGAAAGAUGAAGAAUUUUCAUCAUCUUUCCAUGCAUGCAACCAACGUUAGAAGAGAAGGAAAAGAAAUAAAUUUUCUUUUCUUUACAAUUUGGUCCUUCCACAAAAAAUUCACCAUUUUCACCUAGAAAUCAAAAGAAUUUCCAUAGCUACUAAGAGAGAAAAAUGUUAAGGAGACCAUGGGGAGUUAGAAUAUCAAGUUGGAUUCAAGAAAGAGAAGCUGGAGAAGAGAGAAAAUCAAGUUAAAGAUUAGUAUCAAUAGAAUAAUGUAAGUAUAUCAAGAUUUCAAUAUGUUUUUAAGUUUGUUAUUAUUGACAAAGCAUGGAAAUAAUGUUAUAGUAGAAUUUUCUUACAUAAGGUCUUAUGUUUUUGAUAUGUUAGUGAAGAGAAAAUAAGAGAAAGUGAUGAGAAAUGGUGUAGAAAAAGAAAAUAAGGGUGUUAUAACAUGGUAAUUAAUAUCUUGUACUAAAACAGUUUUGGAUAGCAGCAGUAGUCUAACUUUGAAAAAUCAUAAAAAAUUGUAUAAAUCUAAAUAUAGGCUUAAUAAAAUAUGAAAUUAAAUCUUAUUAAGUCUAGUUUCUUAUAGAAGAAAUUAUUUAAGCAAUAGAAUUGUAAAUCAUGAUAUGAUGAAUUAUUUAGACAAGGUCAGAAUGAUUUCGGGUUCCCCUGUUCUGACUUUGUAAAAUCAUAACAAAUUGGAUAAAAAUAAUUAUGGUCUUAAAUUUAUAUGUUUAUAAUCCUUAAUGAGUCUAUUUUCAAUAUAAACAAACUAGAAUAUCAUUCUAAUUCUGUACGAGAAGAUAAUUAAUUUUUAGUGAAGAAGGGCCAGAACUGUCAGACAGCAGAAUAGAGGUAAAUUUAAAGAAUAAACUGUACUUAUUGGGUAAAUCAAAAAUUCUGAAAAUUUUAUGGUAAGAAUAUAUAUGAGUCUAGUUUCAUAUAAAAUUAGCAGAUCUUAAUUUGGAGUUCUAUAGCUCCAGAUAUAAAUAAUUUAGUGACUAUGACGCAGAUAGAUAGCUUGAAUAGUCAUAAAAGUAAAUAAUAAAAAUUAUGGAUAAUGUUACUUACAAGUGUGUUAUCUACAUUAAGGAUGUGGAAUGGAGAGGAGGAGAAGGAAAAAUAUGUAUGAAUAUUCAUCUAGCAUGGCUAAUUUGUAUAUUUUAGGCUCAGGGACUAAAUUGAAUAAAAGUAAAACUUUAUGGGCAAUUUUGCAAAAAUGUCAAAAAUGACCAAAUUGCAUGAAAUGGAUUAUUUUAUUAUUUAAAUUACAAAAUUGAAUGAAAUUAUUAAUUUAGUUCAAGAUCAGGGAAAAACAUGUUUUAGGGAUUAAAUUAAAAAGCGUUGAAAUUAUGGAAAAUUCUGAUAUUUUAUAGAAUUCAUGGACUGUUAUUAAUACAUAUGAGAAUAAUAGCUGGAAAUAAGGAUUAAAUUGCAAGAAUUUUAUUUUCCUGACCCUAAGGAUGAAAUCGUCAUUAAUUAAAAGUUUAGGGGCAAAAUGGUAAUUUUGCCUAGAGCAUUAAUUAAAUGCAUUAGAAUAUGAAAUGAAUGAAAAUGAUGAUAAAAUUUAUUUAUAAAGAUCCAGACGACUCAAAUAUGAGACUUGAUCGUGGAAAAGAAAAGAUAUCAGAUUAAUGAAAUUAUAAACACAAACAAGCAAUGAGGUAAGUUCGUGUAACUUGAAUUAUAUUCUUAAAUGCUUGAGAUUGCAUGUUAUUGAUGUGAAUAUGAUUUGAAUGUUCAUUGUAUGAAAAUUAAUGAAACAUUGAUAUAUUUGAUAAAAAGGGGAAGAAAUCUGGUUGAAUGAAAGGAAAUUUCGAUGGAUCUCUAAAAAGGAAUUGAUGGUAAAAAGGAUCUAGCCCGGACGGGUAAUCCGAAUUAGGGUCUGAAUUUAGCCUGGACUGGAAAUUCAGAUCCAAGCUCAUUAGAGUAAUUGUCGUUGCAGGGGAUUUAGCCUGGCCUGGUAAUCUCGACAAUACUCUAUGAGUUUAUAUUACAAGGGAUUUAGCCUGGACUGGUAAUCCCACUGUAAGGAUGAGGUUUGCGGGAGUGUGCUCUCUGAUAUGAAAUGUGUAAGACCAUGGUUGAAAGAUACCAUGGCAACCUGAUAUGAAAUGUGUAAGACCAUGGUUGAAGGAUAUCAUGGCAACGUGAUAUGAAAUGAACAAGAUCAUGGUUGAAAGAUACCAUGGCAACAUGACAGAAAAUGAGUAAGACCAUAGUUGAAAGACACUAUGGCAUCAUGUCAAAGAUAAAUAAGGUCGUGGAUGGGAGACGCUAUGACAUCUAUUGAAAAAUUGAUAUUCAGGUAAUAUGUAUCAGAUGACGAAUGAUUAUAUGAAAUGGUUGUGUGAAAUGUUUACAAGAACUGGUCAUAUGGAAAUAUAUGUAUAAAAUAGUUGUAUGAAAUAAUUAUGAAGAUAGAUAAAUGAAACAAGUAUAAGUACACGGAAUAUAAUUUAUGUUAAGAUAUAAGCUAUUACCGGAAUAAAUAUACAUAAAAUAUAUGGAAAUGAUGAAGCAUGAAAUAUUGAUAUAAUGAAAUGAAUGAUAUAUGCUUAUGAAGAAACGGUAAGAGCAUGAUAUGUUUCAUGACAUGUACAUAUAUGAUUAUCUUUGAUAUACUGAUACAAGGAAAUUAUGUAAGUUGAGACUAUUAUUAAACUCAAGUGCGAUAUGUCGAGAAAAUAGAUAUAUCAAUGUUGAAUUUAUAUGAGAUAUGUGCAAGUAUACUAACAAUGUUGCUGUUUGAUGCUUAUACAAGUGCUAAACUGUUGAUUGAAUGAUAAUAUAUUUAUUUAUAUGAUGCAUUGAAUCGGUAAGUAUUUAAAAUUUUUUUUAAGUGAUCUGCAAAUGGUAGUAAUGCUCCGAAACCCUGUUCUGGCAGCGGAUAUGGGUUAGGGAAUUUAUUCAAUAUUAAAUCAUUUAAAACACAAUUAUAAUAAUGCUUAUUAACAUACAAACUUACAUCGGAUGCAAAAACGGCGAAAUUGAUUGAUUAAUCCAACACUUUGUUUUUCCCCCGAUCUAAAUCUGAAUUUCACUUUUCUUGAUCUAUAUGUAAUCAAAAUUAACUUAUUUAAUUUUUCAUCUAUUCAAUUUAAUCCAUAUAUCGCAUUAAGGUAAUUUUACACUUUUACCCUUAAUAUUACAAUUUAGUCCUUAUCUCAUAAAAAUACAAAAUCAUGCAAUUCAACCUAUACCCACGCUAGCCGAAUUUCAAUUAAGUCCCUUGUAGCCCAUAUUUUUCAUUUAUUUCACAAUUUAACUAUAAAAUUUUAAUAUUUCUCAAUUAAAUCCCUAAAUGACAAAUUUGUCAAAAAUCACUUUACAAAUUUUGUUUAUCUAACAACAAGCAUGCAUUUUCUAUCAUCAAACAUCAAAAUACACAUAGAUUCAUUAAUAGCAAAACCCUAAACCUUUAACAUUUUUGAAAUUAGUCCCAAGGCUAGCUAGAUUAAGCUGUCUCGAUCUCAAAAACAUAGAAAUCAUUAAAAAUGGAACAAAAACCAUACCUAAAUGAGCAAGGAUAGCAUGGCCAAAUGAAGGAGAUGAAAAAUGGCUUCUAUUCUUGUUAAUUUCAGCUAAGUAAGAUGAUAAACAUAAAAUAUGUUUUUUUUUAACCUUUAACUACCAAAUACCAAAAUUAACCUUUGUUAUAAAACAUUAAAAUCACUUAAAUGAUGCCCAAGUAGAGGUGUUUAUGGGCCAGGCCGGGUAGGGCUCAACUAAAAAAUCAUGCCCAUUUAUUGGGCUUGGGCCAGGCCGAGCCCAAAAAAGGGCCUAAAAUUUUGCCCAAACUUGACCCGAAUAAAAAUAAUAAAACCCGGGCCCGGCCCGGCCCGCCCGUAUUAAUUUUUUAUAUUAUUUUUUAUUAUUUUUAAAUAUAUAUAAUACAUCAAAAAUACUAAAAAUAUCAAAAUAAAUAUUUCUCAACAAAUUGAAAAUAAAUUUUGAAAAAUAUAUAGACUUAAAAAACACUAAGAUAAAUGCAACUUAAGAAGCAAAUGCUUCUAAAAUAAUAAAAAAAUUAACAAAUGCCUUUAAAAUAAUAAGAAAAUUAACAAUAAAAUAAAUUUUAUACAAUAUCUAAAGAAUAACAACAAAAUAAUAGAAACAUAAUAGUAAAAUGGUAGCAAAAUAUGGAGAAAACAACAAGAAAAUAACAUUCAAAAAUAAAAAAAAUAUGCAGAUUUUUUUUGUCCUUUAGUGAAUUCGGGUCGGGUCGGGCCGGGCCUGGCCCGGGCUAAAAAUACCUUACCCGAGGCCUGGCCCAUUUUUUAAACGGGCCUUAUUUUUUUAUCCAAGCCCAUUUUUCGGGCCCAUAUUUUUGCCCAAACCCUCCCACAUUUCGGGCGAGCCUUCGGGCCGAGCCGAGUAGCCCGUCCUAUGCACACCUCUAUGCCCAAGAACGUCCACUCAUAUUAAAAAUGGGGUAAUUGUAACAUAAAUCCUUUAACUAUUUAAUUUCAUAGUCAUGUAAUACCUUUAGCUAUUAGAACAUCACUUUUGCACUUUAUGUGAUUUAGUCCUUUUUAUUAAAUUAAGCAUUCAAACGAUAAAAUUUCCUAACAAAAAUUUCACACAAUCAUACUAUCAUGUUGUAGACAUUAAAUUAAUAAUAAAAUAAUUAUUUCAACCUCGAAUUUGUUGUUCUAAAACCACUAUUUCGAUUUGACUAAAAAGGGUUGUUAUAAUACCUUUUGAUAGUCAACAACAAUUCUUCUCUGGGUCUCUACAAGAAUGGUUGACUUCUAAUCUCCCCAUCAUGUACAAUUUCCUAGAUGUUGGGUAAUUGGUCUUAUCUAUUCGGGUUAAUUGCAUGGCGCAUCUAGGAGAACAAGAAUCUCUUCAUCUUUUAGGAUAUCACUUGGACGACCCUCGAAACUCUCAAGGUUUCCUUCAUAUAGUCACAACAGUUUGUAUUAAGUCAUAAAGGCUACCAACAUUCCCACCAAUCUAAUAAUUCUUGGAUUUCCAUGGGCAAUACGUGGACACAUUUGUUCACUAAUGAGGAAGUAGCUAUUGGUGAUGGUAAUGCUUCUGCUGGAGGCGUUUUACGAGACCAACAUGGGAAUUGGAUUUUUGAUUUUAAUCACUACUUGGGAUGAUGCUCAGUUUUCGAGGCUGAGUUAUCGGGAAUUUUAUAUGGUCUUUUAGUGGUACUCAGUAAAGGAUUCAGAAAGGUCACGAUCCAAUCUGAUAAUCUGGAGGUGGUUAGGGUAUUACAAGAAAGUUUGAUGACAGAUCUUGGUAUUACAGUGCUUAGGAGGAUCCGAAGAAUUUUUAGAACUGAAAGGCAGUGGUACAUUAAACAUGUAUCUAGAGAUCUUAAUCAUGCUGUUGAUUGUUUGGAUAAGAUGAGUUUAGUGGGAAAGACAGGUCUUCAAGUCUUCAAUGGUGCCCCUAACGAAGUUGUAGAGUUUAUUCAACAAGUUAAGUCUAAUGAUGCUUUUGCUCAAUUUAUUUUGAUGUAAUUAUAUUUUCUUGCUUAUCACAAAAAAAAAAUUAACAAUUUUAAGUUCUUAAACAAAUUUCUCAGUUUUUAUAAAGUAGGACGAUCUGUAACAGCCCGGUUUUAGUUAAAUCAGAACAGUGGUUUUGAAACCAAAAAUUCGAUGUCAAAAAAUUAUUUUAAUAUUAUUUUUUAUGUUUACAACAGGUUAUUUGAUAUGUGUGAAAUUUACGUGAGCUAAUUUUAUCGAUUGGUUGGUUAAUUUGAUAAAAGGACUAAAUCACGUAAAUGCAAAAGCUACAUUCUAUUACUUAAAGGUGUUAAUUGACUUUGGCUUUUAAAUAUAAAGGCCUUAAAUGGUAAUUAAACCAUUUGAAACCUUAGUGGACAUUGAUGGACAUCCAUUAUAUGUUUUUAUAUGUUUAUUACUAAGGUUAAAAUGGUAAAUUAGCUAUUAAUGUUAAUAUUAAUAAAACAAUAACAAUUUUAGUGCUUCCAUCUUCUUCCUAGCCGAAAUAUAGCAAGAAGAAAAGCCAUUUUCAUAGCUUCAAUAUUCGGCCAUGGAGUUUUGAUUGCAUGUAUCCAUUUUUUAGGUUAGUUUUUAAUAAUUUCUACGGUUUUUAGAUCGUUGCUUCGUAUUCUAGCUAACUCGUACCUUAGAUUUUGAAAUUGUUAAAAAUUUAACAUGUUGUCAUUGUUGUAUACUUGAGUAAAUUGAUGGUUGAUGAUGGAUUUUGGAUAGUUGUUGAUAGUUAAAUUAGUUUUGUAAAGUGAUUUUUGACAAAAAUGUCAAAAAGGGGUUAAUUUGUGAAAAUGUGAAAUGUGGUGGUUGAAAGUGUGAAUAAAUUGAAAAUAUGGGCUGCUAGCAAUACAUGUUAAAUUCGGCCAAGCAUCGGUCUUGUUGAAUUAUGUGAAUUUGGUGUAUUUGUGAAAUAGGGACUAAAUUGAUUAAAUGUGAAAGUUUAGGGGCUAAUGUGUAAAAAUGCCCAAAUGUAUAUUUUUGGAUUAAUUGAUAAGUAGAUGAUUAAAUAAGUUAAUUUUGAAUACAUUUAGAUCAAGAGAGAAAGAAUUUGGAUUUAGAUCGGGGGAAAAGCAAGGCUAUCGAGUAGUCGAUCCAAUCCGUCAAUUUUGAAUACGAGGUAAGUCCGUAUGUGGUAAUUUUAUUAUAAAUUUAUGUUAAAUGCUUUGAUAUUGCACAAACUGUGAUUAUGAGAUUACAGAUAAUGUUUGAAUUGUGAAUAUGACUCUACGAAUGUGUUCGACGAGGAAAUCGACAAGUGUUACUUCCCGGUUGAACCUUAGGAAUAGUUUAGGAUGCUAGUGACAUGUCAUUAGGUUAUUGUGUUGGCUUCAGGCCAUAAUAUCAACACUACGGGUGAGAGUGAUACCUUGAUUUGGCUACCGGCCAUGGCAUAGGUAUUUCGGGGAGGAGUUACCUUGAUUUGGCUACAGGCCACGGUAUAGGUACUUCGGGAUAAGUUACCUUGAGUUGGCUAUGGGCCAUGGUAUAGGUACUUAUCGGAUAAGAUUCCUGAGUAUUCAAAUUCUAUCCGAAUGGUUAAACGGGUAAACAAAUGAUGUGGUCGAGAAAGAGGUUAGUACGAGGAGAUGCAGGUAUAUACAGAACCUAUUUGAGUAUUAAAUAGUGGAAGUUCGAUGAGAUUAUAUUUGAUCAUGUUUUGAGACAUGAGAAAGGUUUGUAAUUAAUGAGUAUAUGAUUUUAGAAUGUGUAAUUGGUUGAAUUACAUUUAUUCAAUGAAUUAAGUUUUCACUUACGAGCUUACUAAGCUAUGAAGCUUAUUUUGUGUUAUUUUUCUAUGUUUUAUAGUGAAUCAAGGUUAGCUCGAAUCUGGGAAUCGUUGGGAACAUCAUCACACUAUCAAAUAUUUUUUUGGUACUUUUGAAUUAUGUAUAUUUGGUAUAUGGCAUGUAUAGGCUUGUGUCAUGUUGGUGAAUGAAAUAGCCAUUUGAGUUGGCUUAUGAAUAUCUAUGUUUGGUGUGUAUAUAGCCAAGGAAGUUGGAAUAAUUUGGUUAAUUAAGUUGUGUUUAUAAUUGUGCAAAUGGCUUAUGUUAUGAGUUGAUGAAUAAAAUAGUAAUGCCUGUUGAUGUUAAGUAUUAUGGAUAUCAAAUAGUAGCAUUUUGGGUAUUGAUAUGCUAGUGAAUUUAGGUAAAUAAUGCAUAUUUGAUGGUAGCCACAUUAUUGGAUCAAAAUGAUGAAUUUGAAUGGUCUAAGUUGGUAUUUAGAUACUUGCAUUGUUGAUAUUGGGAAAGCAUGUUUUGAUCUUGUUUUAGCAAGCAUUUAGCUAGGUGAAUGGCAGUGAUUUGGGGUUUUGGAAUAAGUGUUAUUAUAAUGGCAUGAAUUGUCCAUGUAUUGAGAUUUAAUUGGUUGUCUUUUGUGUAUUGGAGAUGGUACAUUUUUGCCUUAUUUUGAUGCUAUUUGAGUUUGGUAUUAAUAUGCACAAAUUGGGUGGCAGAAUGGCUUGGAAAAUGGCCUAUCUUGAUCACACGGUCGAGGCACAUGGGCGUGCGGUCUGGCCGUGUAGUACAAGUCAGUAUGUAUGCCCUAUUUCCACAUGGCCUGAACACGGGCUAGACACACAGGAGUGUGGUCUGGCCGUAUGGGGCAAGUCAGAGAGUUACAUGGUCGGAAGACACGGGAGUGUCACUUGGCCGUGUGAGGCACACGGUCGGGGCACACGGGCGUGUGACCCCUGUAGUUUGAAAAAAUUUCUAAGUUACAUAAAAGUUUCUUGAGUUAUCGGUUUAGUCCUAAACUACUUCUAAUGCAUGUUUUUGGCCUCGUAAGCCCUUAUAAGGGACAAUGUGAUUGUGUUGAAUUAUUUAUGGGAAUGAAUGCUUUAAGUUGAUAAUAGUAUGCUACAUGUUGUAAAUUGAUUGGCAAUACCUCGUAACCUUACUCCGACUAUGGAUACAGGUUAGGGGUGUUACACGAUCAAUUUGUUACAUAAAUUUUCAAGUUUUAUGACAUAAAGGAAUGAAACUUAAAAUUAAUAUUUUAAUUUUCAUCUUUACAGAUAACCUAUAAGGUUCAGACGCAAACUCGGUAUUUGAAAGGUCUCAGAUCUGAUUAAUAUUUUCAUUAUAAAUAUUUUAGACUUACUAUUAUAAAUUUUGUUAUGUGGAACUAUAUUGUUUUAUUUGAAUUGUGGUAUGAGACUUAAGUUUUGGGUUUAUUUGGCAUGCAUGAUAUUAAAUUUGAUUUUAGGAUAUUGAAACUUGGAUUUUGAAUUAAUUAUGCAUAAAUUAUGGUUUUUAUUAGAAUUAUGUUAAAUAUCACUUUUCCGCUGCAUUGUUAUGUAAAUGAGAAUUGAGAAACAUAUAAAACUGAUAAUCAACUUUUGCAAAGUAAUCAAUAGAAUCAAUCGGUUUUUGAAAGAAAUUGUACAUUUUGGAAACUUGUUAAGUUUCUCUACUAAAGUAAGCAAAUGUUUUAAAAAGAUUAUUUUUUAAACUCCGAUAGUUCUGCUAAGCUAUUUUUGUGGUUAAUGUAAUCUUUUGAAUUCAACCGUAAUGUUUAUGCCGGGUUUGGGAGGUUACAAUAUUUAUAUAAACUAACUUAUUCAAAGUAGGCUUGGUCCACACCUUGAAUAAAGUGUUUUACAAUUCAAACUAGCCUUGGUCAUCCAAAUUAACAUUUAAAAAACCAAAGUAGGUUAACUGCUCAAUUUGUAUUAGAUAAUGCAAUUAUUUAAGUUUAUAUUUUUAUCAAAUUAAUAUUUAAAUACUAAUUUAUAUUUAGAUAUUGUAAUUAUUUAACAUUAUUUUUUUCCAAAUUAAUAUUUAGAUACUAGUUUGUAUUAAUUUACUAAAUUAAACUAAAAAUGUUGCCAAAUAUUUUUCUACCAAAUUAAUAUUAGAUAAAUAUCAAAAUUAUACAUUAGCUUUGAUUUAAUGUGCAAUUGUAUACAUGAACUUUAAUUUGGUGCAAUUAUACACGUGAAACUUUAAUUUCUAUUUAAUCAUACACAUUUAAAGAAAUAAAUUCUAUCAAUUUAUUUUUAUAUUGGAUAAAUAUAAUUAUUUAUGUAUGCAAUUUAUAAUUAUUUAUGUAUGUAAUAAAUAAAUAUAAAAUGAUGCUAUAUCAAUAAUGUGUUAAUAAUUUACAAGAAUUGGAUCAAAUCAAAAUUUCAUGUAUAAAAUUAUACAAAAUCAAAAUUCAUGUAUACAAUUGCACAUUAAACCAUAGUUCAUAUAUAAUUUUGGGAUUUAUCCCAAUUAAUAUUUAGAUACUACUUUGUACUAGCUUACAAAAUAAAACUAAAAAUGUUACCAAAUUUGAUAUUAAAAAUUAUAAACUGUAUACAAGAAAUCAAACUAAAACAACUUUAGAAAACUUUGGGGUCAAACAUAAAUUGUGAUUUUAUUUUGACCUAUUUUUCCGAUUUCUAAUUUUCAGUUUUUGAAAAAAAAAAUCAAUUUCGAUUGGGUUGUCUAAUUUACAAUAUACAAUAUGUUAUUAUUACAAAUCAUUUUAUUGUUUGGGAUAUAGAAAUGUUUCAUAUUUUUAAUGUGAGGGUAUGUCUCGUAUUUUUCUCUCGAUUAAAUUCUGUUAUACUUUUCCAGUUAAAUUUUAAUUACUUCAGGGAUAUUUUAAGCAAGCAUGAUUAGAAAUUUAAUAUUAGCCUAUUUAAGGGGCUAUUAUAUCUCUAUUUUGAUGUGCCAAAUAGCGAAAGCUUUUUUUUGAGAGCGACAAGAUGUAAUCACAUAAGAAUUUUAGUAAGAGUUUUGUGGUAAUUCUGGAGAGUAUUUUAUACCCUUUUUGUGAGUGUCAUAUGAGGUUUAGGGUUUUGUUUAUCGAUUUGUUUUUUGAGAUUUUGAGCUUCGUAUUCAGGGUUUUGGGUAAUAUACAUAUUGUACAUUUAGAUUAUUUUCUUCAUAUUAUACUCUCGUUUGUUUAUUCAUUUAGUGAAAAGCUGAAUCUUCCUUUGCCUGUAGUUUUUAUCCUCUUUGAAAAUAUUUUUCACAUAAAAUAUUUAUAUUUGCUUUUUUCUAUUUUUUCUUGUUCGUGGUUUAUACGGAUAGGUAACGGAAAAAACAUUUCAUGUUAAAUAUAUAAUCAGCGUAGGCUUCAACUGACAAGAAUAGCAUGCAUGUAGCGGCAUUCAAGACUAUAUUGCUUAGAAUUAAACACAUAAUUUGUUUAUUUGAACUGUUUGCUUACUAUGUUCUUCGACUUUGUCUUGCUUUUGUUAAUGUACCAAAAUCAAUACAUUACUACUUGUUCGUACACCACUUUUGACGAGUUGGAAAAGAAUAAAACAACGUUUACUUCGCUAACUUGAUAAUUUCUUUUAAUUUAACCUUUAUAUAUAUUUUUUUGUUUACAUUAAUUUUUGAAUUUGGGAUCCUUUAAACAGUCUAAUCUAUUUUAACAUUGUCAUCACCUGCUUUUCUUAAAAAAAAAUUAUAUAUGAAAUCUAAAAAAUUCAAAAAUAUAUUUCCAAAAUGAAUCUAGAAAAAUAAUAUUUAAGUUCAAUUAAAUCUCGAGAUUAAUUUGUUGAAAUUUAUUCUAAAUAAUUAGAUAUUAUUUUCUUAAGGCUUAAUUCACGAUUAGACUUCUAAAAUAUACUCAUUUUUUUACUUUGAUAACUAAUUUUUUUUUGUCCUAAUUUGGUAAUUAAAAUAUUGUUUUGGAAUGAUUUUUUGUUGAAUUUUUGAAUGGAAGUUAAAAAAAUUCUGGUAGUUGUGUUAGCCAAUGAAAAAAUGACACAUGGUGUUAUUUUUAUAUGUUUUACAGAAGAAAGGUAACCUGGCAUUUUUUUUAUUAGAACAAUUUUUUAAAUACUAAAUUGAAACAAAAAAAUAGGUAUCAAAUUAAAAAAGCGAGUAUAUUUCAAGAAUCAAAUCAUAAAUUAAGUUUUAAAAUAAUUUUAUAUUUCUUUUAUAAUUUCAAAAUAAAUUCUCAAUUUUUUAAAAAAAUCCAGAAACCUACAUUACUAAGAUUAUAGCGAGUCUGUCAUGAAUGGAUCACAAAAUGGCUUCCUAAAACUCAGUGAGAAUGAGUUCAGCUAAUCAAACCAUGGAGUAAUUGACCCCUUAUGGAAUAAUUAAUGCAUUCACAUUGCAAUUCAUCUGAACCAAACCAUUGUCAAAGUAAAUUCCCAUAAUAGAACACAAACAAGCAGAAAAGAAAAACCAAAAAACUAAAUCUAUUCUCAAGUAUUACAAUUAUUCAUAACUAUAAUCAUAGGUGGUGUGGGAAAUAGUACAGUUGUCUGUGACGGUGGCUUUUCUUGAACUUUCAAUUUUAUGAUGAAAUUAAGGUCAGAGUCAUCACCAGGACUUGUACAUAGUAAAAACUAGGAGAUCUUGUAAUGAGUUGGAUUCUAACAUAAGUGGAUGAACAUCUGAUUCUGAUGUAGAAAAAGAUAAUUAAAUGAUUUAGUAUUAUAUAUAAAGUUUUUCCUUUUUAAAAAGCUACAAAUUCACCCAGCAAAUUUAAGUGGUGUACUUGAAUAGUUAGUGUUUUUCUUUUUCUUUUGCAUUAUUGCGAAUUCUCUGGACUUACACAUCGAGUUGUUGACUCCAAGUCUUGGUCGUUUAUUAUUGUUAAAAAAUAUUUUUAAAAAAUAAAAUGUGGAUUUUAAGCAUUUAAGUGUUUGUUUGAUUUAAGAGAUUUAUUUUAAAAGAGGACACAUCAAUUAUUAUAUUCUAGUAAUUUGUUGCAUAUAAAUUAUUAAACUCCUAAUUUUUAUUAUUUAUUUAUAUAUAAAUUGUUGUUAAAGAUGUCAUUGUUGUUUUCGUCAAACUACUAUUAGCGAACUCAAUAGUAGAAAGACAUCUCAAAAUCAAUCCAUAAUCCAUGUCACUAAUAGGAAUAGGAGAUUGAAGGACAAAUUUUUUUAAAAAGUUUUGGAAGUGACCUCACAAUUUUUGAGCUAUAGGUCUAAAUAGGAGGUUUUACACUUCACUUUGGUAGUUUUGGAUCAACAAUUUAAUGUUAGAGAAGACGUUAAAUGACGACGGUGAGGAACGUACAUAGUUUGUGAGUAAGAAUAAUAAAUACUUAAAUCACAACAGAACAAUUCUUUCUAUUUUUAUAAUUUUAAAAAUUAUAUGCAUUUUAAAAUUAUGUAUAUAUAUAUUUUCUUUAUUUUUAUAUAUAUUUUUACAUUUUUUUAAAGUUUAUAUUUGGAAAAAGAAAAUCUAUAAGUUGUACAAAAGAAACGUCACCUGCCAUUUUUUUCAUUGGCUAAAAAAACUAUCAAUUUGUAUUUUUUUUUCAAGUCUGUUCAAAAAUUGGACCAAAAACCAUAAUUAAACAACUCUUUGGUAUCAAAUUGGAAAAAUAUUUAAGUGUUAAAGUGAGAAAACGAGUUUACUUCAUGAACCAAAUUGUGAAUUAAGCUUUUCUUUUAAUAAUUUUAUAUUUUUUUAUAAUUUCAAAAUCCAAAAACUAGAAUUACUAAGAUUAGGAUAAACAAUCUAAAACAUGCGGCCUAAAACCAAAAAAGGAAAAAGCCAAGUGAUUAUAAAUUUCUUUUCACAAUGCCAUCAAUCCCUUGCAUUUAAUCUCCAAUAAUUAACUUCUUUUUGUUUUCAAAUGAAAAUGAUAAGCAGGAAAUUAGAGAAAAUUUUAGAUUCAAUAAGUAAACUGUGUCUGUCAUAAAUGUAUCACAAAAUUGCUUCAUAAAAUUCAGUAAGCAUGACUCCAAUUAACCAAACCAUCGAGUGAUUGACCCCUUGUGCAAUAAGGCAUUCACAUAGCAUUUCAUCUGAACCAAACCUUUGUCAAGGUAAAUUCCCGUAACAGAACAUAAACAGAUUCAUCAUAUCAAGCAGAAAAGAACAAUAAAUCCGUUAUAAAUCUUAAAAAACUGAAUCUAUUCUCAAGUACUAGAAUUACUAAUAACUGAUCAUCAGAAGUGGUGCAGGAGAUAGUGCAGUUGUCUGUCACAUUGGCUUUUCUUGAAUCUUCAAUUUCAUGGAGAAAUUAAGGUUAGAGUCAUCACCAGUAGGGGUGAGUAUUCGAUCGAGUCUAGUCGAAUCGAGUCAAAAAAUUUCGAGUUAGUCGAGUUGACGAAUCCUAUUUUUGCAACCGAAUUCAAUUUGAAAUUUUUUCAAAUCGAGUCGAAUCUAGUGAAAAAAUUUUGAGUCUAGUCGAGUCAAGUUAACGAAUCCUAUUAUUUAUACUCAAUAUUGCGUUUACAUGGACCGAUUAUUUAACUAGUAAACGAAGUACAAUAUUAUUUAACUACAUAAACAAUAUAAUUUACUAAAUAAUUACAUGUAAAGAACUAUUUUAGGCAUGCAAAAUAACUAUAUAUAACGUUCCAAGAUGAUCAUUGUAGCUAUAAUUUGAGUCAACUACAUAAGCUAUUACACCACACGCAUAAUUAUAUUUACAUAGUGCAUAAUUAUGCAUCAAGAACUAUCUUAUAUACAAGAUAGCAAAAUGAUAUACCAAAAGCAUGAUAUAGGGAUACAUGUCACUACUACACAAAAUAUGAUAUAACAAAAUUACACACCAAAAGUAUAAUAUAGAUGGUCAUGGUGUGGCACUCCAAGACUCGAAUUCAACAAAAUAAAUUCAAGCUUUGUACACAACAAAAUCCAAAGUUUAACCAAUUGUUUUGACCAAAUCAAAGCAAAUGCAAGGUUGAAGUUUUCAUAAGGUUUAACAAAAUAUCUAUUCCAAAAAGUUAAAAUCAAACUAUCUUUAAGCUUCAUCUUCUUCAAACACUGUAGAUAGUACCGACAAUUCUAUAACAAAAAUAAAAAUGUAUUCUUAAACUAUGAAAAUCUUUACUAGAAAAAUUAAAAAUAAACAUUCAAUUUUGUGAGUUGUAGUUAAGUAUGUUACCAUCUUCAUGUUCCGAUAACUUUGCCAAUUCUAAUAAAUAUCAAAAGAGAAAAAUGUUAGUUAAAUUGUGAGAAUGUUUAUAAAAAUAAAUAAAAUAAGCAAUUAACCUUUUGGAUUAAAGUUAGUCCUAUACCAUCAUCUAUAUUUUGAAGUUCCUCCACAUACUCCUUAAGGUUGAUAGGAUCUUUUGACCUUCGAAGCCAAUCUUGUGUGCAAACCAAAGCCUCAACCAUAGAAGGAGUCAAAGAACUUCUAAAAUUAUCUAGUACACGUCCACUCGUGCUAAAAGCACUUUCGGAUGCAAUGGUUGAGAUAGGAACGGAUAACACAUCUCGAGCCAUUUCGCAACAAUUGGGAAUCUUGGACUAUUAACUUUCCACCACAAUAGCAAAUCAAAUGAAUCUGAAUUAUUUUCACAAUCUUCUCCCAAAUAUCUAUCCAACUCUGAUUUACUUUCCAAGCCAACACGUUGUUUUUUCUUCAUAUAUUGUUGCAUGACUAAGCCUAUCUUCGGUUUUACUUGAUCUAUUUCAUUUUCACUUGAACUUGGAGCUCUAGUAGGAAAAUUACUUUCAACUUCAACGUUCAUGUGAUGAUUUCCCUCAAUAAUUGCAGAAUAUUCAUCAAACAAAUAAUGCAAUUCUCUAUUGACCAUCCUUAUAAUGUCAUCUGCAAUAGUAGGAAAAAGAAAGUUGACUCCAAAUGCAAGAAAAUCAAUUUUGCGUCGUGGGUCAAAGAUAACUGCUAGAUAAAUAAGCAAGUUCAUCACUUUUGAAUCACCCCAGUACUUCUUGUACUUGUCAUUCAUUUUUGAAGCUAUAGACAUUAUGUCUAAAUCCCCACAAUGUUUCCACCCAUCAAGAAGACAAUGUACAUCUGUGACUACUUCAAAAAAAGUAUUAGAGGUGACAUGUAAUGAUCCAGACACCUUCAAUGUAAAUUCAUGAAAAGGCUCUAGCACUUUUGUAACUCUUCCAACAUUUUCCCAAUCAUCACAUGUGGGGACUCCAUAUCCAGCACUAAGGUCAAGAAAAAAGUUAUGAUCAUCAUGAACAUAAGCUUCAAACACACAUUCAUAUUUUUCAGCCACAUUUAACAUCAUAUAAGUUGAAUUCCAUCUAGUAGGCACAUCCAGACAUAAAUGAGCCUUAGUACCUACCAUUUCUUCUUCUGCCCGAUGGUUGAAUUUCAAUAACCUUGAUGAUGAUGCUCUAAUAUAUCUCACAGCUCCUCUAACUCGGUCCACAGAUAUAGAAGCGUCCUUAACCCCUUCUUGAACAAUGAGAUUAAUAAUGUGUGUCGCACAUCUCAUAUGUAUAUAUUUACCAUUCGCAACACAAGCUUUUCGAUAAACCAACUUCUUUCUCAAAUAAUCAACAGCAACAUUGUUAGAAGAUGCAUUAUCAACAGUAAUUGCAAAGACCUUCUCAAUCCCCCAAUCUCGAAGACAUUUCUCAAAGGCUUGACCAAUGCUCUCACCUCUAUGAGCAGAAAUUGGGCAAAAGUUUAUAAUUCUCUUUUGUAACUUCCACUCAUCAUCUAUCCAAUGAGCUAUUAGAACCAUGUAGGAUAUCCUUUGCAAUGACGUCCAAGUGUCUGUCGUCAAACAAAUUCUACUUGUCUCUUUUUGAAAAGAUUGCUUUAAUGUAUUCUUCAUGGAAUUAAAUAAACCAAGACAACAUUUUCUAAUUGUCCAACGAGAUGGAAGAUGAAACCUUGGGCAUGCUAUAGAAAUAAAGAACUUAAAACCCUCCCCUUCCACAAAUUUAAAAGGCAAUUCAUCCAUAAUGAUCAUAUUAAUCAAUGCAUUUCUAAUAUCAUCUUGAUUAAACACCCAAGUUGCCAAAUCUACAUUUUCUUGGCUAGAUUUUGUAAAUACAAGUUCUGCUUGUUUAAGAUCAGAGGUAUUACCUCGGGGUUUUCUUGAGCAAGUCUUCAAAUGGUUAUUUAAAUUGGUGGUAGAAGCCCCGGUUUCCAUUGUGUAAGUGACAUCGCAAUAAUUGCACUUUGCCCUAUUCUCCCCAUCUUCUGUUGAGUAUUUGCUGAAAUGUUGCCAACAAGGUGCCCUUGGUUUGGUCUUUCUUCGAGUAUUUCCCUUCUUUGUUAUGCAAACAACUUUAGUAGGAGAAGUAGGUGUAGCUUCUUGUAAUGCUUUUUUGCUUUGGGACUUUUGGGAUGAUAUUGAGUCAUUCAUCUACAAAAAUAAAUAUAAUCAAUUAAAAUUACAAAAUAGUCAAGGGUCAUAAUUCCAUCAAAGUUUUAUACUAAUAGAUAUGUUCCACACAAAUAUCCAUCAACAAUUCAAAUUAAAGCGUUCAAAAUUAACUCAAAACAAAAACAAUGGAGUAACUUAGUUAUAAAAUAUACUAAUUUAACUUAUCGAAUAUAUUAACGAAACAUAUAAUUGAGCAAACGUAACAAAAUUUUUUAAAAAAUGAGAAUAAAAAGCCAAAAUUUUAAAACUCUUAUUUAAAGAGUUGUGGUUCACAUAAAUAAUAAAAAAAAAUAAAGUCUACAAUAAAUAAUAUAAAAUAAAUCAAUAGUCAAAGAUGAAAGAAGCUAUAAGUCCAUAACACUUCUUUUGAGAGAUUGGAGUGAGAUUUCCAAUCAUUUCAACUAAUAUUUAUAAUGGAUAGAGAUUAAAAAAUUAUUUUAGCCUGCAAAUCAUUCUCAUCCACAUGUUUAAGAAUAAAAAUUGAAUGAACUAAAAUUCCACCAUGUUUGUCACAUACUGUUUAAAUAAAUGUAAUAAACAUAACAUUAUGAGGCAUUAACAAGUUAAAGCUCUGUUUUUUUUUUCUUUUGCAAAAUUAAUUGAUUUAAAGAGUUGAUUAAUUUAAUUUUAAUUGGUUUUUAUAAUAUAUAUAAUAUAAUAUAUGCAUGACUUAAAUGAAGCUAAAUGGAAUAUAUAUGCAUAAUGCAUUAAUAUAUAUAUAUGCGCAUGACUUAAAUGAAGCAAAACAUUAUAUAUAUGCAUUAAUAUUAAAUGAAGCUAAACAGUAUACAUAUGCAUUAAUAUAUAUAUAUAUAUAUGCUUAACUUAAAUGAAGUUAAACCUGGUAAUAAUGGUAUAUAUAUGCAUGACUUAAAUGAAACUAAACCUGCUAAUAAUGGUUAAUUUAAUUGACCUGGAAUAAUACAAGACAGGCAAUUUAGUUUGAUUAGUAAAAACAUGGAAUAAUACAAGACAGACAGAAACAUGGAAACUCAGAAACAUAGAAACUUUGAUUAGUAAAAACUAAAACCAGACCUUUAAAUCAUAUAAGGCAGCAGGCAAGUUUAUUACUUUGAUUAGUAAAAACUAAAACCAGACCCUUAAACUAGACCCACUACCUCAGGACCCUUUCGACGUUGCACAAAAGCCAUUACUUUACGUUCAGCUAGCAGUGGAAUAGUUAUGUACGUUUUCGAUUUUCUAUUUACUUUUUCUUGCCGUAAGGAGCAAGAAGAAGAUUCAAAAAGAAAACAAUAACUGUUUUUAGAAUGUAAAGGUGAAAACUAGAAAUACUCACUCACAGUCACAGACUUACUCACAUGCACAAAGCUAAAAAAAGAAUACAAUCUCACCUUAAACAACUGACGGUGGUUGUGGCUUGUGGAACCUUGUUUGUGGCUUGUGGAACUGUGGUCGUGGCCUCGUGGGACAAAGCAUGAAAUCAGAUUCUCAAAAAAGAGUAAACAAAUGGAAGGAGGGACGUUAGGUGUGGGGAAGGAAUGAAAAUAUUUGAGUGAAGAAGAAAGGAAAAAUUGGGGGAGGGGUGGGAAUUUGGAACGGCAGAAAGAAAAUAAGCUUAACUGCUUAAGUUAUGAAAAAAGAAUUAAAUUUAAAAAUUAAAAUUUAUUAAAACAACGUAGUUUUGUCAUUUCUUAUUCGGAUUUUCGGAUAACUCGAAUUGUGUAUUUUAUAUCCGAGUUAAACCGAAAAAUUUGAAUUUUUUUCGAGUCGAUCCGAAUAACUCGAACUAUUUAAUUCAAAAUUUGAAUUUUUUAUCGAAUUUUUUGAAUCGAGUCGGAUUUUGGUCACCCCUAAUCACCAGGAUAGGAACAGAGUAGAAAUUUAGGGAUCUUGUAAUGAGUUGGAUUUCAACAUAAGUGGAUGAAUAUUUUAUUCCGAUGUAGAUGUUAUGCUGCAAUUCGGAUAAUGUUCUGUUCAGAAUGCAAUGAAAUUGAUGCGGUCGUUGAGAGCACCAAAACUAUCCUAUUCCCUAAAAUAAUGAAAAAGAAUAGUAAAGGGGAAGUAGGGUCGAAUCCUCAGGGAUCGGAUUAUACGAAUGCUUGUUUCUCGAAAUCCUGGGCAGAAUUGUGCCCAGGAAAACCUGCAUAACAGAAGAGAAAAAAAUGACAGAAUUAAAUAUUUGAUUUGGAAAAAAAUGAAAAAAACAAAAUCUAAAAUCGAUUGAAAUUUUGAUUACAAAAAUAAUAAAAAUAAUAAAGAGAAUUAAAGGGAAAGAAAUUUUUAUUGGUAGAUUCCAACCUCCAAUUGUCUCAUCCCGCCUUUGGUUCAAUCCUCGGCUUUUAAAUAACCCUUCUCAACUCAAGUAAGCCAGUUAUAGUGGAAGAGGACGCCUACGACCACCAGCUCCAAAGAUUAGACUUGCGAUUUUUAGGGAACCUGACUCUAGCCAGUAAUCUAUGCUAGAUCAACGCUUCUCAAUGGCGAAUCCCACGCCAUUUUGUCUUUUUGACUCGCCAACCUAUGACGCAGUAAGUUAACAAACCGACUGUGCAAUCCUUCCAAAACAUACAAAGCGGCCGCCUUUGCAUAUGCUGAAAAGCUUACUUCUUAAGGGCCAUGGACGGAAGCGUCAGCCCGUAGUGAGGAGAACGAUGAAUACUUGGCGAGAAGGCUAAGUACGGAUUCUAGGCCUCAAGAAACCUUUUUGGGGAAUAUUGACAACUUUCGGCUAGAUAGGUUUUAGUGGCUCAUGAUAAUGGUGGAAAAAAAAAUAAAUAUAAAAAUGGAAAAGGGAAUUUUAUUGAAAGUAAAUAUGAAGAAACAAAAGCCUAGACUUUCAAGGGGAGAGUGUUUACAGAAAAAGAUGAACACCCCAAAUAGAGUCACUUCACCCCUAUUUAUAGUGCUAGAGAGAUAGUCUAAUUUAACUUAAAUUCUAAAAAGAUAAAUACAUUUAAUUAAAGAUAAAUAAGGAUAAUUAAAAUAAAAUCCUAAAAUUAAAUAAUCCUAAUAAUUAUCUUAAUAUUAAUUAUCCUAAUAUAAAUAAAAUAGAGUCUUAUAAAAUAAAAUCUCUUCUUUUUGCGUUUUUAGUCCUUGUGUCUUCCAUGCUCGCACUUUUGGCACAAUCUUUUUCUUGUGUCGCAUAUCAGCCCAUUGUGUCUCCAAAUUCGCACUUUUAUCCCUUAAUUUUGUUUUUGCCUCCAAAUCAGUCCCUAAAGAUAAAAAGACAUAAAUAGCUCAAAUUAGUAGGAUCAAGCUCAAAAUAAACACAUGAUUAAUACAUAAAAAUACGUUAUUCUAGAGCAUUAUCAAAUUCCCCCUACUUAGCCCAUGCUUGCCCUCAAGUAUGGUUCCUGUCCACCGUGAAAAUUAAAUCCUGCCAUGAAAGAAAUUCUACUCCAAAGUUUUAUAAAAAUUAGUCAAAAUGCAUACGAAAAAUAAAGAGAACCUUUAGCUUGAUUUAAGCAAAAUUGAAAAAGUGUUCCAAUUAACACACAUAAAAUGAAGGUUGACUUGGAUUAUUUCAUGAAAAUUAGGUAAUUUACCAAACCUAUCAAGACACCCUAUUCGUUUUUACCUUUAGUCCUCACAUUUUAUUAAUAUGACUUUUUUUUCUUUUUUUUCUUUUUUUUUCUUUUUUUAUAGAAUUUUAAUUUAAUUUAUUUAUUUUUACUUAGGAAUAUAUUGAACCUUUUGACGCGAAGAGAGAUGACAGCCAAGCACCCCACCCCGGUUACUCAGCCCAACAUACUUCUAAUUUUUAUUUUUCCUAAAAACAUAUUGAACCUUUUGACUCGAAGAGAGAUGACAGCCAAGCACCUCACCCGGUUACUCAGCCCAACAAAUUCUUAAAAAUUAAUUCCGGUUAGCGAAGUUUUACCUAACACAUCACCCAACCUUUUGACGCGAAAUAGGAUGACAACCCAAACACCCUACCCCGGUUACUCAGCUAGUCACGUCUUAAGCUGCACUCAUAACCACGGAAACAUUAUUAUUAUUAAACGAAAUUUUAAUUUUGGAGGACUUAGGAAAAACAAUCAAGUGUCAAAAAUAAGUUUCAGUAACCACCUUAAUAGUCAUGAACAUAUUUUAAGCAUGCCAUUAUAUUAAGUGUCCUCUUUGUAUUUAGACUUAAUCAAAUUUACCAAAAUCAAGAUAGGGUUAACUCCAUUAAUCAUAAUUAUUUGAACUAAAAGAAAUAGAACAGUGGAGAUGAAAUCUAUCAAGCAAAAUUAUAAUUAACUCAGUAGAUAAGACUCAUGCAUGUGGGUCAAAUAGUGGGCAAGUCGUGGUCAAAUUCUUGGGCAAGAAAAGAGGCAAAAUAUGCUUAAAAAUUUUUUAUAUGGGCAACAACAACCAAAUCAGCAGCUAAAAUGACAGAAAUAAUGAGGAAUGCCUCCCCCUUACUUAAAACACAUAGUCCUCAAUGUGGAAUAAAUAAAAUAGGAGAAAAAGUUGUAAAGGAACUCCAUGUGUUAUUAUUGUCGUUUGCGUAUGAUGGCAAUGAGAUCCGCUAGUUGCUGGCCAAAAGUAUCGAGUAGGGGCUGUUUGGCUGCAGAUUUGUCGUUCCUCCUUUCUUCCUAUCUUCGUUUUGGUUUACCUAGAAGAAAAGAAUUUUAUUAAUAUCUGAAAAUAAUAAAUAAUAAUAUAAUAAUAUAAAAUAAAUAAAAAUAAAAAUUGGGUUGCCUCCCAACAAGCGCUUAUUUAACAUCGCUAGCUUGACGCCCCAACUAGUAUUGGGGCUGUUCCAGCUGAAUUCUUUCGUUCUUAUGAGCUUGGAAAUUCUCAUUUUUUAACACGUCCACCAUAUUUGGGUUUAAUCGUCUUUGCGCCUCUUUCUUUGGUUCCGUAUUUUCCUCCAAGGGGUUGAUCCCUUUUAAGUCGGAAAUGGUCUCAUCAUUCUCUAAAAAUGUGAAUUUGAGAUGUUCAAGAAGUGGUUUUAAUUUCAGAUCUGGUGCCUGCACAACAGAAAGUAGAAGUUUAGUAUCCAUAGGAGCCAAUAAUUUAUUAACAGAUUCAAAAUCAUCAAACAUCAUUUUAGAUUUAUCUCUAUAAGAUGACUCAAAAUUUUUUUCUACUGAUGAGUCAAUUAUGUUGACACGGUUUACUUCCAAGACUUCACUUGGGUGACUAAUAGUGCCAAAAACGUUAAACUUCACGAUCUCCCCGUCAAACUCCAUCGUGAGGGUUCCGCUUCGUACGUCAAUCUUAGUAUUCGCAGUACUAAGGAAAGGUCACCCCAAUAAGAUGUCUGAAGACCCAGGAGCGUUAUCCUCCUCCAUUUUUAUCACAUAGAAAUCUGCAGGGAAGAUAAGCCCAUUAACUUUGACUAAUACGUCCUCGAGGACUCCUUCAGGAUGCAUAAUGAACCUGUCUGCCAACUGAAUGAUAACACCUGUCUUUGUCAAAAAACCCACGUUAAGUGAUUCAUAAAUAGAAUAAGGCAUAACAUUUAUGGAGGCCCCUAAAUCACACAUGGCCUUUUUGAUCCCCAAAUGGCCUAUUUUGCAUGGUAUAGCGAACAUACCCUUAUCUUUUCAUUUUGCCAGCAUUUUCUGCUGUAGCACUGCAGAUACAUUCUCACCAAAACUUACCUUUUCAUUACCUGUUAGUUUUCGUUUGUUGGUACAAAGCUCUCUAAGGAAUUUGGCAUACCUUGGAAUCUAUCUGAUGGCAUCCAAUAGUGGUAUGUUGAUCUCGACAUUUCUGAAUGUUUCUAAGAUUUCUUUGUCUUCCUUACCUUUCCGACACUGGUUUAGUCGUCCUGGAAAUGAAGGUUGGAUUUUCAACAGUAGGGGUUUCGCUCGAAUCUGUUCGUUGUUUUCUAGAGUUUUCUGAGCGAUUUCUUGGCCAAGAUUCUUACCAGAAAUUGGUUCCAGCACCUUUUCGCUUUGCAACGCUACUGCAUUUGCAUUCUGUCUCGGGUUUGGUUUUGUUUGCAACGGCAGCUUUCCUUGAGAACUCAAUUUCUCAAUUGACGUGGUCAAUUCUCUUAUAGACGCCUUCAUUUCUUUUUAGAAAUUAAGAGUUUGCUGUUGAAAAUCAAGGACAUUAGUUGCUAAUUUAUUGACCAAAGUUUCCAGAGAAUUACCUGAAUCUUGUAGCUGUUGUGGGACCCGAUUUUGGUAUGGCUGGUUAUAUCAUGGAUUAGCCCUAUAACUAAAGUAAGGGUAGUCCCUCCAUCCUGGGUUGUAGGUAUUGGCAUAAGGGUUAUAUCGCCUUUGUGGUGGCCCAGGAAAAUUUCCUACAAUAUCUAAAUAAGCCACAGUAUCAUUAUACAAGCUGGGACAUGCAUAAGUUGUAUGUUCAGGGGUAGCACAUAUUCCGCAUACUCGGGCUAUCUUUGCUUUUUCUGCAACAAGAGAAUUCAGAAUAUUAGCAAUUCUAUUAACCUUAUCUUCUAAGGUUGAAUUACUUAGCUGGUAACCCUUCUAGGGGGUUCAGGGUUGGCUCGAAAUUGCUGAGAAUUUGUAGCCAUCGUAGAGAUUAAGUCUCUUGCUUGUUGUGGAGUCAUGUUGACCAAUGCUCCUCCACUCGCAGCAUCUACCAUAUUCAUCUCCAUGGGUUUCAAGCCUUCAUAAAAGUACUGGAGCAAAGACUAUUCCGUUAUACUGUGUUAUGGGCAACUUGCACACAACUUUUUAAAUUGCUCCCAAUAGUCAUACAGAGUCUCUGCGUCUUUUUGCCUUAUGCCCAUGAUUUCUCUUCUUAACUCGGCUACACGAGAUGCUGGAAAAAACCUGUUGAGAAAUAAACAAGACAGAUCAGCCCAAGUCGUUACAGAUCCAGAAGGUAAAUAAAAUAACCAUUCCCUAGCAGAAUCUGCUAAGGAAAAAGGAAAAGCGUGCAGUUUAAUUUGAUCCUCAGUUACCCCCUGAGGUUUCAUACUAAGGCAAACCAUAUAGAAUUCUUUCAAAUGCUUAUGAGGAUUUUCGUUCUGGAACCCCUGAAAAGUUGGCAGUAGCUGGAUCAAGCUUGACUUUAAUUCAAAAUCAGUAUCCAUAGUAGGAUACGUGAUGCCUAGUGGCAGUUGUUCUGUUAGCGCUUCGCCCAGUUGCCAAAUUGUCUGAGCCAUAGGUUGAGGUGCUAAAUUAGGGUUUUCGUCAACCCUAGUGUUAAGCACUUCUUCUAAGGAAUCGACUUCUACUUUUUCACCUUCAAAAGUUUGAGUAGGGUUUUCGUUAACCCUAGACUCUGCUUCAUCGUCGAUUCUGAUUCCUGGCGGUGGAUUACUUUGAGUCCCAACCACCGCUGACUGCUUUUUCUUUAGCUUUGUUUCCUUGCGAUUAGCUCUCGUAGUCUUUUUAAUUUCUGAAUCAAACGCAAGAGUUCCUAGAGCAGAUCUGGUCAUAAGAAACAAAAAAUAAGAUUAGUACGUUACCGAUCCCUGACAAUGGAGCCAAAAUUUGAUGCGGUCGUUGAAAGCACCAAAAAUAUCCUAUUCCCUAAAAUAAUGAAAAAGAACAGUAAAGGGGAAGUAGGGUCGAAUCCUCAGGGAUUAGAUUAUACGAAUGCUUGUUUCUUGAAAUCCUAGGCAAAAUCGUGCCCAAGAAAACCUGCGUGACAGAAGAGAAAAAAAAUGAUAGAAUUAAAGAUUUGAUUUGAAAAAAAUGAAAAAAAUAGAAUCUAAAAUCGACUAAAAUUUUGAUUACAAAAAUAAUAAAUAUAAUAAAGAGAUUUAAAGGAAAAUAAAUUCUUAUUGGUAGAUUUCAGCCUCUAGUUGUCUCAUCCCGCCUUGGGUUCAAUCCUCGGCUUUUAAAUAACCCUUCUCAACUCAAGUAAGCUAGUUAUAGUGGAAGAGGAUGCCUACGACCAACAGCUCCAAAGAUUAGACGUGCAAUUUUUAGGGAACCUGACUCUAGCCAGUAAUCUAUGCUAGAUCAAUACUUCUCGAUGGCGAAUCCCAUGCCAUUUUGUCUCUUUGGCUCGCCAACCUCUGACAUAGUAAGUUAACAAACCAACUGUGCAAUCCUUUCAAAACAUACAAAGAGGCUGCCUUUGCAUAUGCUGAAAAGCUUACUUCUUAAGGACCAUGGACGAAAGCGUCAGCCCGUAGUGCGGAGAAACAAUGAAUACUUGGCGAGAAGGAUAAGUACGGAUUCUAGGUCUCAAGAACCCUUUUUGGGGCAUAUUGACAACUUUCGGCUAGAUAGGUUUUAGUGGCUCAUGAUAAUGGUGGAAAAGAAAAUAAAUAUAAAAAGGGAAAAGGGAAUUUUAUUGAAAGUAAAUAUGAAGAAACAAAAGCCUAGACUUUCAGGAGGAGAGUGUUUACAGAAAAAUAUGAACACCCCAAAUAGAGUCACUUCACCCCCUAUUUAUAGUGCUAGGGAGAUAGUCUAAUUUAACUUACAUUCUAAAAAGAUAAAUACAUUUAAUUAAAGAUAAAUAAGGAUAAUUAAAAUAAAAUCCUAAAAUUAAAUAAUCCUAAUAAUUAUCUUAAUAUUAAUUAUCCUAAUAUAAAUAAAAUGGAGUCUUAUAAAAUAAAAUCUCUUCUUUUUGCGUUUUUAGUCCUUGUGUCUUCCAUGCUCGCACUUUUGGCACAAUCUUUUUCCUGUGUCGCAUAUCUGCCCAUUGUGUCUCCAAAUUCACACUUUUGUCCCUUAAUUUUGUUUUUGCCUCCAAAUCAGUCCCUAAAAGAUAAAAAGACAUAAAUAGCUCAAAUUAGUAGGAUCAAACUCAGAAUAAAGACAUGGUUAAUACAUAAAGAUACGUUAUUCUAGAGCAUUAUCAGAAAUCCCAACACUCAGUUGAUUUUCUUACAACGACCUCAGCUUGUUCAAGCUUAUCAUAGUGGAUGCAGUCACCUUGUCGAGUUCUAAGUCUCUCGAGUUCUAUCACCACUUCUUUCAUUGUAGGUCUAUAUCUCUCAUCUAAGUUUAAGCAUCUUUUCGCAAGUUGAGCAACUGUUACUACUUCAUCUUUUUGACCGUCAUUCCCAAUCUCAACAUCAGCAUUAUCUAGCAGCUGAUUUUCUUCCAUCGAUGACAUAAAAUACGAGACUAAGCCUCUCUUUUCUUGGCAUCCAAAUGUCGAGAUUGCCUUUUUUUUUCCCGUUAAGAGCUCAACAAUAACCACUCUAAAACUAUAAACAUCACUCUUUUCAGUAAAUUGACUUGACUAUAAAUAUUCGGGAUCUAAGUACCCAAAAGUCCCAAGCAUUGGAGCCAUCAAGUGAGUUUUAUCAAUGCCGAUUGAUCUAGAUGUUCCGAAGUUUGAUACUUCCGCUCGAAACUUUUCAUCUAUUAGUAUGUUACUAGACUUGAUAUCUUAGUGAUAAAUGGGGAUGGAUGCAAAUGAGUGCAAGUAAGAAAUCGCACUCACAACUUCCACAACAAUGCUUAAUCGUAUCCCACGACCUCGGGUACUUUUCAUUUUGGUUAUGGAUGAGAAGGGAAAGGGUCCCAUUGGGGAUGAAUUCAUAGACAAGGAGGGGCACUUCAGUCUCCAAGCAAUAGCCUAAUAGCUUGACAAUAUUUUUGUGAUCAAUUUGAGAAAGAAUAAAGAUCUCAUUGAUAAAUUGUUCAAGAUAUCUGUAACAGUCCCUUUUUUAGUGGUGUCAAAAACAAUGGUUUCGGGGCCAUAAAAUAAUGCAGAAGAUUUAUCCAAAAAAUAACAUACGCGGUGUGUGCUGUAGACAAGAACCAGGUGGCGGUGGUGCCUGCGUGCUAGGCCUUUAGCUCUAAUUACCCAAAAAGGGUAAAAAAACAAGGUUAUAUUUAAAUCCAUUUAGAAGCCUUUUCUCAACUGAUAAAUGGUAAUGGAAGACUAAUGGUGCAAAGGUACGAAAAAAAUUUGGAUGACCAAAAUAAGAACAACUCCUAUUUAGAGAGGCUGAUGAAUAGUUUACCCUAAUUUUAGGGUAACUAAAGUAAAAUGUACCAUUAGUCUUCUAUUAAAAUUUAUCGGUCGAGUGACCAAUUGGAUCAAUUUUUAUUUUGGGUGACCAAAUUAAGAAAAAAAAUUGGGUAAUCAAAAUAGCAGCGACCCAUAUUUAAAGUGUAACAGGGUAGUUUGCCUAUAUAAAAAAUAUAUAGGUUUAAAGUUAAGAAAAUAAAAAUAAUUUGGAUAAAGAUUACAAGUUCUUUUACAUAAUGAUAAAUUUAGCCUAGGAUAUUUACCUAUUUUGUCAAUCUAGUCCUAAUUCUUCUUUUACCUCUUUGACCUUUAACCUUUCAAAUUUGGUCAAAUUGUUGUUUCUGGGACGAAAUAAUUUGCUGUUAAAAAUUUAACCAUAUUGACUUGAUAGUGGUUACGGCAGUUCAUGUGUGUUUCGUAAUUGUUACCAUAACUGCAAACACAGUAAACUCCUACUGAAGUUAAAAAUUUCCACAUUUGCUUUGGCAUCCUGGUUUUGGUUGAGCUGCUACUGAAGUUGCCAUAAUUGUUACCAUAACUGCAAACACAGUAAGCUUCUUAAACAUACCACCAAACCCCAUCACCCUCUCUUGUUUGUUUUUCCCACUAUCUGGGCUAUGUAAAUAUAGAAUAUCUUAUAGAUAGGAAUAGGACAAAUGUUUGUGUUAGAAUUGAGUGACCCAAAUCCUUAUUAAAAUAAAAUACAGUGGUAAAAUAAAAUAGAAGUAAAAUUCGUAUAGAAUUACAAUUCUUUUAUUUUAUUUUAGAUUAAACCUUAUUAAACUUCAUCUAUUUGAUAUCGAUUAGAAUAAGGUGUUUCAAUCUUACUACACUCAUUCUAUUAGAAUAUGGUUUUACAAGCCUAUAAAUAGACAUAGUCUACUCCUCUUAUAAUUAUUCGAAUUCAACAUAGUGAAUUAUCUUGUCCUCUGCUCGUGAUUUUUUUCCUGAAAGGGUUUCCACAUAAAAAUCUGUGUUCUUUAUUUUUCUUUCUCUUUUCUUUGCGAUACAUUGUCAUUAUCAACAUUCUAUUUUUCACAAAUUGGUAUCACAGCUUCUGGGUUAUUCAUCUCAAUCAUGGUAAUGGCAUCUUUGAAGUAUGAAAUUCCACUGUUGGAUCGCAACACCAGAUUCACGUUGUAGCAGACAAAGAUGCAGGCAGUUCUUGCACAGAUGGACUUAGAGGAUGUUGUGCUAGGGAUAAAUAAGAUGCCUUCGACAUUGACGGAGGAAAAGAAAAGGUGUAAAGAUCGAAAGGCAUUAACACAGUUACAUCUACAUUUAUCUAACAAAAUUUUGCAACAUGUGAUGAAGGAGAAGAUUGGCGCUGCAUUAUGGAAGAGGCUAGAACAAAUAUGCAUGUCGAAAACUCUAACCAGAAAGCUACAUAUGAAGCAGCAUCUUUACGCUCAUCGUUUGAAGGAAGGUGCAUCUGUGCACAAACACUUAACAGUGUUUAAAGAAAUUUUCUCAAACUUGGAGGCCAUAGAGAUUUAGUAUGAUAAGGAAAAUCUAGGGUUGAUUCUACUUUGUUCAUUACCCCCGUCUUAUUUAACCUUUAGAGACACGAUUUUGUAUAGUUGCAAGUCUCACACAGUUGAUGAGAUUUAUGAUUAUUUGACCACAUUUGAUAAAAUGAAGCAUCUUGUGGUUAAACCUGACUCUUAAGGAGAGGGCCUUAUUGUUCAUGAAAGGUAAGAUCAGAAUGUUGAUGAUGAUCGUGGAAGGACACAGGAACAAAGUCCUCGUGGUAAAUCUAAGGGUAGAUUGAAAUCUUUAAAUAUAGGUAAAACUUGUAACUUUUGCAAAAAGAAAUGACACAUUAAAUCUGAGUGAUAUAAGCUACAGGAUAAGAUCAAAAGGGAGGCUGCGAAUCAAAAGGAAAAACAACCAGAAAAAUCUGAUGAAGCUGAUGUUGUAGAAGAAUAUAGCGAUGGUGAACUUCUAGUCGCUUCUAUUAACAAUUCUAAUGUGAGUGAGGAGUGGAUCCUUGAUUCGGGCUGCACCUUCCACAUGAGUCCCAAUUAGGAUUGGCUUACAACUUAGGAAAUAAUGCUUCAUGUAAAAUUGCAGGUGUUGAAACAAUUAAAGUUAAGAUGUUUGACAAAGUUGUCAGAACACUUAGUGACAUACGACAUGUUCCAAAACUGAAGAGAAUUUUGAUUUCAUUGAUUACUCUUGAUUCAAAAGGGUACAAAUACACAGUUGAAAGUGGGUUUUGAAUAUUUCUAAAGGUUCCCUCAUUGUGAUGAAAGGACAAAGAAAGACUGCCAAGUUAUAUAUUUUGUAGGGUUCUACUAGACUUUGGCAUAUACGCCUAGGGUAUAUGAGUGAGAAUGGCAUGGAAGAAUUGAGCAAAAGAGGACUUCUUGAUGGGCAAGGAAUUUGCAAACUAAAGGUUUGUGAGCAUUAUGUUUUUAAGAAGAAAAAUUGAGUUUGAUUCACUAGAGGAAUCCAUAACACGAAUGGAACAUUGGAGUAUAUUCAUUCUAAUCUAUAGGGGGCAUCUAGAGUUCUUUCAGGAGGUGGAUCUAAUUAUAUGCUAACACUUAUUGAUGAUUUUUCUAGAAAAGUUUAGGCGUUUUUCUUGAAGCAGAAAAGCGAUGUGUUUUCUGCAUUUAAGUCUUGGAAAACUAUGAUUGAAAACCAGACAGGAAAAGAAAUGAAAUACCUCCACACAGACAAUGGCUUAAAGUUAUGUUCUGAUGAGUUUAAUGAACUAUGCAAGUCAGAAAGGAUCGUGAGACACUUGACAGUUCGUCAUACUCUACAACAAAAUAAUGUUACAGAACGAAUGAACAAAAUGAUCAUCGAGAAAGUUUGAUGUAUGUUGUCAAAUGCUAACUUACCAAAGUCGUUUUGGGCCGAAGGAGCCUCUACUGCAUGUUUUUUUAUCACCCGUUCCCCAUCCAUUGUCAUUGAGAAAAAGACUAUACAAGAGGUAUGGUCUAGUAAUCUUGCUGAUUAUUCUGAUUUAAUGAUAUUUGGCUGUCCUGCGUAUGCUCAUGUUGAUAAUGGAAAAUUGGAAUUGAGAUCUAUUAAAUGUGCUUUUCUUGAUUAUAAAGCUGGUGUAAAAGGUUAUAAGUUAUGGUGUCUUGAAAAUAGAAAAGUUGUGAUUAACAGAGAUGUUUUUGAUGAAACUGCUAUGCUACCUAACUUAUUUCUUAAAGACUCUUCCAAUAAAGAACAUCAAAAGCAGGUAGAGUAUUAGAUUAAUCUAGAAUCUACAACAGAGUUAGACUCCUCAGGUCAGUAUCAAAAUUCAAAAUAGAGUUGCUUCUUUACCACAAUACUUUAUCGUCGAAAAUAAAACUAGAAGAGAGAUUAAACCUCUAAAGAAUUAUGCCGAGGCUAAUCUAGUUGGGUAUGCUUUAAACGUUGCUGAAUAUAUAGAUGCAACCCAAGACCCAUCUAAUUACUCUGAGGCGGUUAGCUAUGAAGACUCAAAAAGCGGAUGUUUGCUAUUCAAUAGGAGAUGGAAUCACUCCACAAAAACAAAACAUGGGAUCUUGUGAAAUUUUCAAUAGGCAAAAAUGUCUCGUUGUAAAUAAGUGUUUAAAAGAAAGAAGGGACUCCAAGAGUUGAAGAACCUAGAUAUAAAGCAAAGCUUGUUGCAAAGGGUUACGAUCAAAUUCUAGGAGUGGACUUCACAAAUGUGUUCUCCCCAGUUACGAAGCAUAGUUCAAUUCGAUCUUUGCUUGGUAUUGUGGCCAUGCAUGAUUUGGAGCUUGAGCAGUCAGAUGUAAAAACUGCAUUUUUGCAUGGAGAACUUGAGGAGGAUACUUACAUGCAACAACUAGAGGGUUUUACAGUCUUAGAAAAAUAGGACUAUGUUUGCUUGUUGAAAAAGUCCCUUUACAGUUUGAAACAAUCACCAAGAUAGUGGUACAAGAGGUUUGAUUCUUUUAUGACUUCUCAUGAUUUCAAAAAAAGUAGUUUUGAUAGUUGUGUUUACUUUAAGAAAAACAAUGAUGGUUCUUUUGUGUAUCUACUCAUUUAUGUUGAUGACAUGUUGAUAGUAAUGAAAGAUGAAAAGGAGAUAAGAAAGGUCAAAGCCCAACUAAGUAAAGAAUUUGAGAUGAAAGAUUUGGAACCAGCAAAGAAGAUACUUGGUAUAGAGAUUCUUAGAGAUAUAAACGCAAGUAAAUUGUACCUAAGUCAGAAGGGGUACAUUGAGAAAGUUCUUUGCAGGUUCAAUAUGCAGAGUGCUAAACCUAUGAGUACUCCUUUAGCAGCCUAUUUCAGACUUUCAUCGGCUUUGUCUCCAUAAUCAGAUGAUGAGAUUGAGUACAUGUCACAUGUUUCAUAUUCUAGUGCAGUGGGAUCUCUCAUGUAUGCUAUGGUUUGUACAUAUCUAGAUUUAUCAUAUGCAGUCAGUGUAGUUAGCAGAUACACGACAAAUCUUGGUAAAGAACACUAGAAAGCAGUUCAAUGGAUUUUAAGAUACUUACAAGGUACUACUAAUGUUGGCUUACAGUUUGAAAGAACUGGAGAUGGAGUUAUUGGGUAUGUUGAUACUGAUUUUGCUGGAGACCUUCAUAGAAGAAGAUUUUUCACAGGUUAUGUCUUUACAAUUGGAGGUUGUACAAUUAGUUGGAAAGCCACUUUGCAAACUACAGUUGCUUUGUCUACCACUAAAGUUGAGUACAUGGCGAUUACUAAAGCUUGUAAAUAAGUCAUUUGGUUGAAGGGACUCUUUAGUGAACUCAAUGAAGGCCUUCAAAUCAGUACAGUAUUUUGUGACAGUCAAAGUGUCAUCUUCCUUACAAAAUAUCAAAUGUUUCAUAAGAGAACAAAGCACAUUGAUGUUUGAUAUCAUUUUUUUCAUGAUAUUAUUGCUCGUGGUGAUAUUGUUGUAAGAAAAAUUAGUACUCAUGAAAAUCUUACAGAUAUGAUGAGUAAGUCACUUCCCGUAAUCAAAUUUGAGCAGUGCUCAGACUUGGUUGGUGUUCAUUAUUGAAGUUAAACCCUUAAGGGGUUUUAUGGAAGAGGUGGAGAACUUGUUCGUUGAGAGUUCGUGAUGAAGAACUUGUUCAUUGAGAAUUCAUGUUAAGGUGGAGAUUGUUAGAAUUGAGUGACCCAAAUCAUUAUUAAAAUAAAAUAUAGUGGUAAAAUAAAAAAAUAGUAAAAUUAAUAUAGAAUUACACUUCUUUUAUUUUAUUUUAGACUGGGUUUUUAAACCUUAUUAAACUUCAUCUAUUUGAUAUUGAUUAGAAGAAGGUGUUUCAAUCUUACUACACUCAUUCUAUUAGAAUAUGAUUUUACAAGCCUAUAAAUAGACAUAGUCUACUCAUCUUGUAAUUAUUCGAAUUUGAUAUAGUGAAUUAUCUUCUCCUCUGCCUGUGGUUUUUUUUCCCGAAAAGGUUUCCACAUAAAAUUCUAUGUGUUCUUUAUUUUUCUUUCUCUUUUAUUUGAGAUACAUUGUCAUUAUCGAUGUUCUAUUUUUCACAGUUUGAAGAUUCAACGCCAUUUUUUUUUGGUGAAAAGAAAAAAUUACAAAUAAAUGAAAACUAAAUCCACAAAGGAGGAUCCUCUAUCAAUCUUAACCUAAGUCUUCUAGAAUGAACUGAUUUGGCCAAACUGUCGGCGAUUAGAUUUUCUUCGCGAGGAAUAUUCUGAAUCUUCCACUGAUUAAGAGCUUUAAGAAUAAUAAGGAUUCUUCUGACGAGAGCAGAAUUAGAAGUCCCUAAAUAACCUUCUUGAAUAGCAUUAAUAGCUUCAAUACUAUCAGUUUGGAUAACAGCCUUUUCGAAACUUCUAUUCAAAAUAAGAUUUAAGCCAUCUAAAAUCCCCCAAAGCUUCGCUUCGACCACCGUGCAGUUACCUAAAUAUCUACAAUAACCCAUGAUCCACCCAUCAUUAUGAUCGAAAACAAACCCUCCAGCAACUGCAAAGCCAUCAUCAAAUCUGACCGAACCAUCAGAUUUCAAAUUUACGCAAUUGUUGUUUGUAUGCAAAAUGUGUGAGGAAGCAUGUGCCUUACAAUGAACUAGCUUUGUGGCUGAUGAAUACUGUCUUGCCCAACUGUAGGAACCCUUAAGGAUCUCUUCGUAACUCCAAGAAAAGUCUUGAUUCAACGCCAUUUUAAUAGACAAGUUGUAACGGCCGCAUGAUUCAUUAUUACCCUCCAUUGCCUUUAAAAAUUUUCCACAUUCUUUUUCGAUUUAAAAUCUUUUCUUCGUUAUUCAUAAAAAGAAAAAGGCUUAAAUUUACAUUCCGUUGGAUAAACAAUGCUUUCAAAGUAAAUUAUUUUCAUCACUCAAUUAUAAAAAUUUAUAAGAUGUCAUUCAAUAAUUUAAUUAGAUAAUAAUGGAAGUUUUUAAAAUGGCAUAAUAGCAACUUUAACCCUAGACAUUUAUACAUUAUGUCAAUUUAGUUUUGAUUCUAAAAAAUUUAACUCUCAAUAUUUACAUAAUAUGUAAUUUUUUCUUUGUGAUCCUUUCAUCUAAAAAACUAAAAAAAUAAAUUAUCAACUAAAUUUAAUUGAAAAUAUACAAAAAAAUAGAAACACCAAAAAAUUCAGGAUAAUAAUUUUCAUAUUAUUUUUCAUUCUUUUAAAAUUAGCCCUUAAUGUCACAAAAAAGUAAAAUUGUAAUAAAAAAACCCAAAUAAUACACAAUGUAUAAAUGUUGAUAGUUAAUUUUUUUUAGAAUCAAAAUUAAAUUGAUAUUAUUUAUAAAUAUUAAGGGUUAAAAUUGUUAUUAUGUCAAUUUUAAAACUGCCACUAUGAUAAAAAAAAUAAUUAAAUUGCUGAAUGAUAUUUUAUAUUUUCUUAUCAUUGGAUUAAAAAAUAAUUAGUAUUUUUCAUAAACAUUUUCCUUUUUAAAAAGCUACAAUUCACCCCGGUAACACAGCAAAUUUAAGUGGGGUACUUGAAUAUGACAAUUCCACUCAGCUCCAACUCUUCGUCGUUUGUGUUUUUCUUUUUCUUUUUUCUUUUUCUUUAUGGCAUAUCCUCUGGACUUAUACAUCGAGUUGUUGACUCCCAAGUCUUCGUGAUUGCUGAGCAAAUAAAAACUUAUUAAUUUCAUCAUUAGUUUUUUAAUCUAUAAAUUUAUUUAAAUUAAUACAUCACUUUUGAAAAAUACCAUUAAUUUCUUUUAAAAAAAAACUUUUUUAAGAUUUAAAUAUUUAUCAUUAUUGUCAAAAAAUAUUUUUGAGAAAUAAAAUGUUCAUUUUAACAUGAUAUUGCAAAAUAGAAUUAUGCAUUUAAGUGUUUGUUUGAUUGAGGAGUAUUAUUUUAAAAUAGAAGAACACAUUAAUUAUUAUAUUUUAGUAAUUUUUGUAUAUAAAUUAUUAAAAUGUUAAUUUUUAUUAUUUAUUAUUUAUUUAUAUAUAAAUUAUUAAACUACUAAUUUCCUAUGAUAUACAAAAAUGAUUAACAAUUUUAAGCAGUUAAACUAAUUUCUGAGUUUUUAUAAAAUAAAACGAUAAAUUCUUACAUGAUUUCUCAAGUUAAAUAAUAAAACUUUAAAUUUAAAUCGCUAAUUGAGGAAAUGCAAGAGCAGUACUUGAAUUCAAAUUAUGUGCUUACAUUUCUUUGUUUAAUAAAAAUAAAUAAAUUAUUUUUUAGUUCUAAAUUUAAAUUUAAACUUGAAUUUGAAUUGAAUUAUUAUUAUUAUUAAAAAUGGGGUAAAUUAUCCUCAUAGUCACUUUAAAAUUAGGUCAUUCCUAUUUUGAUCAUUCAUUUUUUUUUGUUAAUUUGAUCACCGUCAUUAAAGAAAUUCAUCACUCAAACAUUAAAUCCAUUUUUUUUCCUUAUUUUCUAUCUCUUUUCUUCAUCUUCUCCCUUCUAAUCCAGAAAUCCUAACAGCCACCUCCGUUAAAGAUGUCGUUGUUGUUUCCGUCAAACUACCAUCAGCGAGCUCAAAAGACAUCUCAAAAUCAAUCCAUAUCACUAACAAGAUUAGGAGAUCGAAGCACAAAAAUUCUAAAGUUUUGAGAGUGACCUUACAACUUUUGAGAUUUUUUAGAAAUCUAAUCCUAUAGAUCUAAAAAAGAGGCUUUGGAUCGAUAGUCUAAUGUCAAAAAGGAGUCGAACGACGACGGUGAGAAGUGAUGUUUGUGGGUAAGAAUAAUAAAUACUUAAAUAAUAAUAGAACAAAUUUUUUUAUUUUUAUAUUUUAAAAAUUAUAUGCAUUUUUUAAUGGGUAGAUUACACCAAUAGUCACUCAACUUUGAUGCAGCUGACAAAGCAGUCACUCUGAUUUCAAUUCAGUCACUCAACUUUCAAAAAAUAACAAAUCAGUCACUAACAUUAUCAAAAAGUAACAAAUCAGUCACCCAUUAACACUUUCGGUUAUAGUUCCUAACGGGACAAUUGACGUGGCUAGUUAACUAGCUGACAUGGCCAGUUAACUUGCCACGUCAGACGAGGAAAAGUUUCAAUUUAGUCAUUCAACUUUCAAAAAAUAACAAAACAGUCACUAGCAUUAUCGAAAAAUGACAAAUCAGUCACCCAUUAACAUCGUUAUCAAAAACUUACAAAUCAGUCACUCAUUAACAAUUUCCGUUAUAGGACUAACAAGAUAAGUGACAUGGCCAGUAAACUAGCUGGUGUGGCAAGUUAACUUGCCACGUUAGACGAGGUAAGGUUGAGCGACUGUGUUUUUCGUCCUUCAUUUUCUAUUUUUUAAUAAAUGACCCAAUAUUUUUACUUUUUGUGUAAAUGACCCAACAUGUUUAUACUUCUUCUCCAUCCCAACAAUCUCGCCAUUGCCGCCUUCGCCAUAACCAUCUUUGGCGUCACCCAACAUAUCUUUUUAUAGUUUCAAAAAAAUAAUAAUUUCAAAAUAAAUUCUAAAAUUAAAAAAAAAACCUCUAAAGCAUCAAAAUCAGCAUUACGAAGACUAAGAUAAAUAAUCCAAAACAUGCUUCACAAAGCAAAAAAUACAAAAAUCCAAGUGAUUAUGAAUUUCUUUUGAUAAUGCCAUCAAUCCCUCGCAUUUAAUCUCUAAUAAUUCACUCUUUUUUUUUUCAAAUGAAUAUGAUAUGCAGAGAAUUAUAUGGAAGUUUUAGAGUCAUCAAGUACAUUGAGUCUGUCAUAAAUAGAUCAUAAAUUGGCAUCAUAAAACUCAGUGAGCAUGAUUUCGGUUAACCAAACCAUUGAGUGGUUGACCUUAUGUGGAAUAAGGCAUUCACAUAGCAAUACAUUUAAACCAAUCCUUUGUAAAAGUAAAUUCUUGUAAUAGAAUAUAAAUAGAUUCAUCAUAUUAAUUAGAAAAAGAAUUUGUCAUAAAUCUUAAAAAAUUGAAUCUAUUCUCAAGUGUUACAAUUACUGAUCACCAGAUCGUGGUAUGGGAGAUAGUACAGUUGUCAAUUACUGACUCUAGGUUGAUUAAUUGAAAUUUCUUUCUAAUUAAAACCCCUAUUAUUGCAUUAAUUCUGUGAAAAUAAAAUAAAAUAAAAUAAAACAAAGAACACACAGAUUUUACGUAGAAACCCUUUCGGGAAAAAACCACGGGCAGAGAAGAAAAAAAUUCACUAUGUCGAAUUCGAAUUGAUUACAAGAGGAAUAUACUAUGUCUAUUUAUAGGCUUGUAAAGCCAUAUUCUAGUAAGACUGAAACACCUUAUUCUAAUCAAUAUAAAAUAGAUGGAGUUUAAUAAAGUUUAAAAAACCUUAUUCUAAAAUAAAAUAAAAGAAGUGUAGUUCUAUAUAGAUUUUACUUUCAUUUUAUUUUACCACUGUAUUUUAUUUAAAUAAGGAUUCGGGUCAUUUAAUUCUAACAAUCUCCACCCUGACACGAAUUCUCAAUGAACAAGUUUUUCAUCUCAAACUCUCAACGAACAAGUUCUCCACCUCUUCCAUAAGACUCCUUAAGGGUUUAACUUCAACAAUUAACACCAAUCAAGUCCAAGCAAUACUCAAACUUGGUUAUAGGAAGUGACUUAGUCAUCAUAUCAACAGGAUUUUCAUGAGUACUAAUUUUGCUCACAACAAUAUCACCACGAGCAAUAAUAUCACAAACAAAAUGAUACCGAACAUUAAUGUGUUUUGUUCUCUCAUGAAACAUUUGAUCUUUUGUAAGGAAGAUUUCACUCUGACUGUCACAAAAUAUUGUACUGAUUUGAAGGUCUUCAUUGAGUUCACUAAAGAGUCCCUUGAACCAAAUAGCUUCUUUACAAGCCCCAGUAAUCGCCAUGUACUCAACUUCAGUGGUAGACAAAGCGACUGUAGUCUGCAAAGUGGCUUUCUAACUGAUUGCACAACCUCCGGUUGUAAAGAUAUAACCUGUGAGAGAUCUUCUUCUAUUAAGGUCUCUAGCGAAAUCAGUAUCAACAUACCCAAUGACUCCAUCUCUAGUUCUUCCAAACUGUAAGCAAACAUUAGUAGUACCUCAUAAGUAUCUUAAAAUCCACUGAACUGCUUUCCAGUGUUCUUUACCGGGAUUCUCCAUGUAUCUGCUAACUGCACUGACUGUAUAUGAUAAAUCUAGACGUGAACAAACCAUAGCAUACAUGAGAGAUCCCACUGCACUAGAGUAUGAAACAUGUGACAUGUACCCCAAUCUCAUCAUCUGAUUGUGGAGACAAAGCCAAUGAAAGUCUGAAAUGGAUUGCUAAAGGAGUACUAACAGGCUUAACACUCUGCAUAUUAAAUUUACAAAAAAACUUUGCAUAUUAAAUUUACAAAAAACUUUCUCAAUGUACCCCUUCUGACUUAAGUACAAUUUACUUGCUUUUCUAUCUCUAAGAAUCUUCAUUCCAAGUAUCUUCUUUGCUGGUCCUAAAUCUUUCAUUUCAAAUUCUUCACUUAGUUGGGCUUUGACCUUUCUUAUUUUUCCUUUAUCUUUUGGUUCUAUCAACAUGUCAUCAACAUAAAGAAGUAGAUACACAAAAGAACCAUCACUGUUGUUCUUAAAGUAAAAAAAACUGUCAAAACUACUUCUUUUGAAAUCAUGAGAAGUCAUAAAGGAAUCAAACUUCUUGUACCACUGUCUUGGUGACUGUUUCAAACCGUAAAGAGACUUUUUCAACAAACAAACUUAGUCCUCUUUUUUUGAGACUGUAAAACCCUCUGGUUGUUGCAUGUAAAUGUCCUCCUCAAGUUCUCCAUUCAAAAAUACAAUUUUUACAUCUAACUGCUCAAGCUCCAAAUCAUGCAUGGCCACAAUACCAAGCAAAGCUCGAAUCGAACUAUGCUUCACAACUGGGGAGAACAAAUCAGUGAAGUCCACUCCUAGAAUUUGACUGUAACCCUUUGCAACAAGCCUUGCUUUAUAUCUGGGUUCUUCAACUCCUGGAGUCCAUUCUUUCUUUUUAAACACCCAUUUACAACGAACAGCCUUUUUACCUUUAGGAAGUUUCACAAGUUCCCAUGUUCUGUUUUUGUGGAGUGAUUCCAUCUCCUCUUUCAUAGCAAACAUCCACUUUUCUGAGUCUUCACAGCUAACUGCCUCAGAAUAAUUAGAUGGCUCUCGAUUUGCAUCUACAUCUUCAGCCACAUUUAAAGCAUAAGUAACUAGAUCAGCCUCGGCAUACUUCUUUGGAGGUUUAAUUUCUCUUCUAGUUUUAUUUUUGGCAAUAGAGUAUUGUGGUGAAGAAGUAACUCUAUUUUUAAUUUUUGUAUUGGCUUGAGGAGUCGACUCUGUAUUAAUCUGAUGCUCCACCUGCUUUUGAUUUUCUUUAUUGAAAAAGUCUUUAAGAGAUAAGUUAGGUAGCAUAGCAGUUUCACCAAAAACGGCAUCUCUGCUAAUCACAACUUUUCUAUUUUUAGGAGACCAUAACUUAUACCCUUUUACACCGACUUUAUAACCAAGAAAAACACAUUUAAUAGAUCUCGAUUCCAAUUUUUCAUUAUCAAUGUGAGCAUACACAGGACACCCAAAGAUCAUAAGUUAGAAUAAUUAGUAGGAUUACCAGACCAUACCUCUUGUGGAGUCUUUUCCUCAAUGGCAACAUAUGGAGAUUGGUUUAUCAAAAAACAUGCAGUAGAGGCUACUUCUGCCCAAAACAACUUUGUAAAGUUGGCAUAUAACAACAUACAUCGAACCUUUUCCAUGAUCGUUUUGUUCAUUCGUUCUGCAAUGCCUUUUUGCUGUGGAGUAUGACAAACUAUCAAGUGUCUCGCGAUCCUUUUUGACUUGCACAGUCUAUUAAACUCAUUAGAACAGAACUCUAAGCCAUUGUCUAUGCGAAGGUAUUUUAUUUUUUUCCCAUCUAUUUUUCAAUCAUAAUUUUCCAAGACUUAAAUGCAGAAAAUACAUCGCUUUUCUACUUCAUGAAGAAUGCCCAAACUUUUCUAGAAAAUCAUCAAUAAAGGUUAGCAUAUAAUUAGCUCCACCUCUCGAAGGCACUCUGGAUGGCCCCCACAAAUCAGAGUGAAUAUACUCCAAUGUUCCCUUCGUGUUAUGGAUUCCUCUGGUGAAUCGAACUCUCUUUUGCUUCCCAAAAACACAGUGCUCAUAGAAAUUCAGUUUGCAAAUUCCUUGCCCAUCGAGAAGUCCUCUUUUGCUCAAUUCUGCCAUGUCAUUCUCACUCAUAUGCCCUAGGCACAUAUGCUAAAGUUUAGUAAUAUCAUCAUCUGACAAAGAAGUGGAAGCGAUAGUUGCAUCACUAGUAACAGUAGAACCCUGUAAAACAUAUAACUUGGUAGUCUUUCUCUGCCCUUUCAUCACAAUAAGGGAACCUUUGGAAAUCUUUAAAACUCCUCUUUCAAUUGUGUAUCUAUACCAUUUUGAAUCAAGAGUACUCAACGAAAUUAAAUUUCUCUUUAAUUCUGGAACAUGUCGUACGUCACUAUGUGUUCUGACAACUCCAUCAAACAUCUUAACUUUAAUUGUUCCAACACCUGUGAUUUUACAUGAAGCAUUAUUUCCCAUCAAAACAACAUCUUUAGACACUAUUUCGUAAAUUGUAAACCAAUCCCGAUUGGGACUCACGUGGAAGGUGCAGCCUGAAUCAAGUAUCCACUCCUCGUUCACUUUAGAAUUAUUGACAGAAGUGACUAGAAGUUCACCAUCACUAAUAUCAACUUCACCAAAUUUUCUGGUUGUUUUCCCUUUUGAUUCACAGCCUUUCUUUUAAUCUUGUUCUGUAACUUAUAGUGUCGAGAUCAUUUUUAAAUCGAGUUUUGGAAAAUGGGAAUCGACUUUAAGAAAAACGAAAACGGGAGUCGCCACUAAUCUUUUUAGGUGUGAUUGGAUCACCUUAUAAAAUGUUUUGUUUUAAAACAUUAAUUUUGGUCUACGAAAGUCAAGAAAACGUAUUCGGGAGUCGGUUAUGUACGAGGAAGGGUUAGCACCCUCCUAACGCCCAAAUAUUAGUACCUAAUUGAUUAUCAAGUGUCUUUAAUGUUGGAAAUUUGAAAGUUUUAAGAUGCAAACCUCUUUUAAUUAGAAUGUCUAAAUUUUGAAAAUUAAGGCUCACUUUUUUCAAACGAGUAAAAACAUCACAUCCAGUAAGUUAGGACGCAACAUUUUAAAACCUUCGAAACCAAGCUCGUCUUUCGAAAAUUUCUAUCUCAAAACAACAAAACGCCAUAUCCAGUAAGUUAGGACACUAUGUUUUGAAAUCUCAAAAUAAUUGUUUAAGUUUUGAAAACUCAAAAUCACUUAGAAGGGUACUUGACUAUUCGAAUUCAACGAGAAAAGUCGCAACCCAGUAAGUUAGGGCACUACCUUUCUCGAAGUUUCCAAACAUCAAGCAAUGCCUUUUAUUUUUUUUAAAAAACCCUUGGAAUAUUAUUUUUAAAUUGAUGCUAUAGGAUGACAUAUUAAUGCAUCAUGAAGCAUAGAUGUACAAAAUAUUCUAACAUUUCCAUACAAACAUAAAUAAUAUCAUUAAGACAAAACUAAAUAACAUGAACAUACGUUUAAUGAAAAAAAAUCAUACUAGGGUAAAUAUAAGAUAAUAAACAAAUAAAAACAUGAGUAAACUAAAAGAAAACAUAAUACAUGCAAAAAUUAUACAACAAUAUAUAUCAUAAAAUAGCACAUAGAAGAAAUAAUUAAACAUAGCAUAUAAAAAAAUGAAACUAUGCACAAAUAAGAUAAAUGACAUACACUAAAAAAUGAAUAAAUAGAACAUUUACAAAUUAUAAAAAUAUAAUGCAAUAGUUCAAAAUACAUGAAAUGAUAAUAUAAUAUAUAUACAUGCAUAGAAAAUAUAUAUUUGAAAAUAAACUAUAUAAAAAGGUUAAAUAUUAUAAUAUAUAAAAUACAUAAUCAAAUGUAUAAAACAUAGGAAUAAAUAUACAUAUUUGAAAAAUGAAGAAAUUAAAAGAAAAAAAGGUUGAAAAACUAAUAUAGACGAAGAAUAAAAUAAGAACAAACCACAGAGAGUAAGAACGCAAGAGGGAGAGAAAUUUGAGUGAAUGCUCUCAAGAAUUCUUAUUGCUUCCCAAACUCAAGUGUGUUUACAAUGAAGGGAGAGGCCUCUAUUUGUAAUUGAACCUCCUGAAAUCCAACGGUACAGAUCAAUUACAUCAACGGUUAAGAUUAAACGGUAUCUACAAAUUAAAUCUCUAAGAUUACAAAAUCAUAUCUUCUAAGAUUGCAUAUCAUAUCUAAGAUUGCAAUCAUAUCUAAGAUUGUAUCAUAUAUAAUAUUGCAUAUCAUAUCUAAGAUUGCAUAUCAUUGAAGAUUAUAUUUCCAUAUGAGUCAAGCUUGUAGAUGGACUUUAAACCUUUUCAAGUAAUAGGCCAUUUCGAUCGGGCUAAAUUAUAUUUGUAAUUCUAGACUGAACUUGGACUUCUUUUUUUUUUGGGUUUAUUAUAUUUUAUUUUUGGACUUAUUUCUGGGCCCGGGCAAAAUUGAGUGUCUACAGCUGCCCAUCUUUUCUCAUUGCUGUGUAACAGGAAUAUAGCAAAGACUAUAAAAGGACCAAUUUUCCCCGGGCUCACCGAGUUUUGAGUUCUUGAUCCUUGAUCUUCUUUAAAUGGCCUCUUGACGGCUUCAAUCUGCUUCACUGCAACUCAGGAAGGUGAUAUCUGCUAUCUUUGAUCUACUCCCCGUCUAAUAUAGAGACGCCAAAUCUGUUAUCUUUGAUUUGCUCCCCGUCUAAUAUAGAGACACCAAAUCUGCUUCUUCAAUCUGCCCUCUGAUAAUAUAGAGACGCCAAAUCUUCUUAGAUCUGCUUCAGCGUAAACACGUGAAAGCCAAAUCUGCUGUGUCUUUGAUUUGCUCCUUGUGAACACAAGAAUGCCAAAUCAUCUUGGAUCUGCUUCAGUAAAAUCAUCUGAGGUUAGAUCUACUAUGUAUCUACUCUCCCUUGAAAUGGAGAUGCCAGAUCUGUUAUCUUGGAUCUGCUUUGGUGUGAGAACAUCCGAAAGUCAAAUCUGAUAUGUCUUCGAUUUGUUCCUUUUAAACACAAGAAUGCCAAAUCAUCUUGGAUCUGCUUCAGUAUAAACAUCUGAAGGUUAGACCUGCUAUGUACCUGCUCUCCGUCGAAAUAGAGAUGUCAGGUCUGUUAUAUUGGAUCUGCUUUGGUGUGAGAACAUCUGAAAGUCAAAUAUGUUAUUUCUUCUAUUUGUCAGUUGUAAACAAAAGAAUGCCAAACCAUCUUGGAUCUGCUUCAGUCAUCUGAAGGUUAGAUCUACUAUGUAUCUACUUUCUGUCGAAAUGGAGAUGCCAGACUUCAAUUUGUUAUCUGACAAUACAGAGAUGCCAAAUCAUCUUAGAUUUUCUUCAUCGUAAGCACGUGAAAGCCAAAUCAGCUAUGUCUUCAAUUUGUUCCUUGUAAGCACAAGGAUGCCAAACCAUCUUGGAUAUGCUUCAGUAUAAACAUCUGAAAGUUAGAUCUGCUAUGUAUUUGCUCUCCGUCGAAAUGGAGAUUCCAGACUUCGAUUUGUUCUCUGGCAAUACAGAGAUGCCAAAUCAUCUUAGAUAUGCCAAAUCAUCUUAAAUCUGCUUCAGCGUUAACAUGUGGAAGCCAAAUCUGUUGUGUCUUCAAUUUGCUCUUUGUGAGCACAAGGAUGUCAAAUCAUCUCGGAUCUGCUUCAGUAAAAUCAUCUGAAGGUCAGAUCUGCUAUAUCUUUAAUCUACUUCUUGUAAACUUAUGACUGUCCUAUUGAUAUCUUCGAUCUACUCUCCGCCGAAUACAGAGACGCCAAAUCUGUUUCUUCGAUUUGUUCUCUAACAAUACAGAGAUGCCAAAUCAUCUUAGAUUUGCUUCAGCGUAAGCACGCGAAAACCAAAUCAGCUAUGUCUUUGAUUUGUUCCUUGUAAGCACAAGGAUGCCAAACCAUCUUGGAUCUGCUUCAGUCACCUGAAGGUUAGAUCUGCUAUGUAUCUGCUCUCCGUCGAAAUGGAGAUGCCAGACUUCGAUUUGUUCUCUGACAAUACAGAGAUGCCAAAUCAUCUUAGAUUUGCUUCAUCGUAAGCACGUGAAAGUCAAAUCAGCUAUGUCUUCGAUUUAUUCCUUGUAAGCACAAGGAUGCCAAACCAUCUUGGAUCUGCUUCAGUAUAAACAUCUGAAGGUUAGAUCUGCUAUGUAUCUACUCUCCGUCGAAAUGGAAAUGCCAGACUUCGAUUUGUUCUCUGACAAUACAGAGAUGCCAAAUCAUCUUAGAUAUGCCAAAUCAUCUUAGAUCUGCUUCAGCGUAAACAAGUGAAAGCCAAAUCUGUUGUGUCUUCAAUUUACUCCUUGUGAGCACAAGGAUGCCAAAUCGUCUUGGAUCUGCUUCAGUAAAAUCAUCUGAAGGUCAGAUCUGCUAUGUCUUUAAUCUACUUCUUGUAAACUUAUGACUGUCCUGUUGAUAUCUUCGAUCUGCUCUUCGCUGAAUACAGAGACACCAAAUCUGUUUCUUCGAUUUGUUCUCUAACAAUACAGAGAUGCCAAAUCAUUUUAGAUUUGCUUCAGCGUAAGCACGCGAAAAUCAAAUCAACUAUGUCUUCGAUUUGUUCCUUGUAAGCACAAGGAUGCCAAACCAUCUUGGAUCUGCUUCAGUCAUCUGAAGGUUAGAUCUGCUAUGUAUCUGCUCUCCGUCGAAAUGGAAAUGCCAGACUUCAUUUUGUUCUCUGACAAUACAGAGAUGCCAAAUCAUCUUAGAUUUGCUUCAUCGUAAGCACGUGAAAGCCAAAUCAGCUAUGUCUUCGAUUUAUUCCUUGUAAGCACAAGGAUGCCAAACCAUCUUAGAUCUGCUUCAGUAUAAACAUCUGAAGGUUAGAUCUGCUAUGUAUCUACUCUCCGUCGAAAUGGAGAUGCCAGACUUCGAUUUGUUCUCUGACAAUACAGAAAUGCCAAAUCAUCUUAGAUUUGCUUCAUCGUAAGCACGUGAAAGCCAAAUCUUUUUAGGUGUGAUUGGCUCACCUUAUAAAAUGUUUUGUUUUAAAACAUUAAUUUUGGUCUACGAAAGUCAAGAAAACGGAUUCGUGAGUCGGUUAUGUACGAGGAAGGGUUAGCACCCUCAUAACGCCCAAAAAUUGGUACCUAAUUGAUUAUCAAGUGUCUUUAAUGUCGGAAAUUUGAAAGUUUUAAGAUGCAAACCUCUUUUAAUUAGAAUGUCUAAAUUUUGAAAAUUAAGGCUCACUUUUUUCAAACGAGUCAAAACAUCACAUCCAGUAAGUUAGGACGCAACAUUUUAAAACCUUCGAAACUAAGCUCGUCUUUCGAAAAUUUCUAUCUCAAAACAACAAAACGCCAUAUCCAGUAAGUUAAGACACUAUGUUUUGAAAUCUCGAAAUAAUUGUUUAAGUUUUGAAAACUCAAAAUCACUUAGAAGGGUACUUGACUAUUCGAAUUCAACGAGAAAAGUCGCAACCCAGUAAGUUAGGGCACUACCUUUCUCGAAGUUUCCAAACAUCAAACAUUGCCUUUUAUUUUUUAUUUUUUAAAAACCCUUGGAAUAUUAUUUUUAAAUUGAUGCUUUAGGAUGACAUAUUAAUGCAUCAUGAAGCAUAGAUGUACAAAAUAUUCUAACAUUUCCAUACAAACAUAAAUAAUAUCAUUAAGACAAAACUAAAUAACAUGAACAUAUGUUUAAUGAAAAAAAAAUCAUACAAGGGUAAAUAUAAGAUAAUAAACAAAUAAAAACAUGAGUAAACUAAAAGAAAAACAUAAUACAUGCAAAAAUUAUACAACAAUAUUUAUCAUAAAAUAGCACAUAGAAGAAAUAGUUAAACAUAGCAUAUAAAAAAAUGAAACUAUGCACAAAUAAGAUAAAUGACAUACACUAAAAAAAUGAAUAAAUAGAACAUUUACAAAUUAUAAAAAUAUAAUGCAAUAGUUCAAAAUACAUGAAAUGAUAAUAUAAUAUAUAUACAUGCAUAGAAAAUAUAUAUUUGAAAAUAAACUAUAUAAAAAGGUUAAAUAUUAUUAUAUAUAAAAUACAUAAUCAAAUGUAUAAAACAUAGGAAUAAAUAGAUAUAUUUGAAAAAUGAAGACAUUAAAAUAAAAAAAGGUUGAAAAACUAAGAUAGACGAAGAAUAAAAUAAGAACAAACCACAGAGAGUAAGAACGCAAGAGGGAGAGAAAUUUGAGUGAAUGCUCUCAAGAAUUCUUAUUGCUUCCCAAACUCAAGUGUGUUUACAAUGAAGGGAGAGGCCUCUAUUUGUAGUUGAACCUCCUCAAAUCCAACGGUACAGAUCAAUUACAUCAACGGUUAAAAUUAAAAGGUAUCUACAAAUUAAAUCUCUAAGAUUACAAAAUCAUAUCUUCUAAGAUUGCAUAUCAUAUCUAAGAUUGCAAUCAUAUCUAAGAUUGUAUCAUAUCUAAGAUUGCAUAUCAUAUCUAAGAUUGCAAUCAUAUCUAAGAUUGUAUCAUAUAUAAGAUUGCAUAUCAUAUCUAAGAUUACAUAUCAUUGAAGAUUAUAUUUCCAUAUGAGUCAAGCUUGUAGAUGAACUUUAAACCUUUUCAAGUAAUGGGCCAUUCUGAUCGGGCCAAAUUAUAUUCGUAAUUCUGGACUGAACUUGGACUUCUUUUUUUUGGGGUUUAUUAUAUUUUAUUUUUGGACUUAUUUCUGGGCCCGGGCAAAAUUGAGUGUCUACAGCUGCCCCUCUUUGCUCAUUGCUGUGUACCAAGAAUAUAGCAAUGACUAUAAAAGGACCAAUUUUCCCCGGGCUCGCCGAGUCUUGAGUUCUUGAUCCUUGAUCUUCUUUAAAUGGCCUUUUGACGGCUUCAAUCUAUUUCACUGCAACUCAGGAAGGCGAUAUCUACUAUCUUUGAUCUACUCCCCGUCUAAUAUAGAGACGCCAAAUCUGUUAUCUUUGAUUUGCUCCCCGUCUAAUAUAGAGACGCCAAAUCUCCUUCUUCAAUCUGCCCUCUGACAAUACAGAGACGCCAAAUCUUCUUAGAUCUACUUCAGCAUAAGCACGUGAAAGCCAAAUCUACUGUGUCUUCAAUUUGCUCCUUGUGAACACAAGAAUGCCAAAUCAUCUUGGAUCUGCUUCAGUAAAAUCAUCUGAAGGGUAGAUCUGCUAUGUAUCUGCUCCCCCUUGAAAUGGAGAUGCCAGAUCUGUUAUCUUGGAUCUGCUUUGGUGUGAGAACAUCCGAAAGUCAAAUCUGCUAUGUCUGCUAUUUGUUCCUUGUAAACACAAGAAUGCCAAAUCAUCUUGGAUCUGCUUCAGUAUAAACAUCUGAAGGUUAGACCUGCUAUGUACCUGCUCUCUGUCGAAAUAGAGAUGUCAGGUCUGUUAUAUUGGAUCUGCUUUGGUGUGAGAACAUCUAAAAGUCAAAUCUGCUAUUUCUUCGAUUUGUCAGUUGUAAACACAAGAAUGCCAGACCAUUUUGGAUCUGCUUCAAUCAUCUGAAGGUUAGAUCUGCUAUGUAUCUGCUCUCCGUCGAAAUGGAGAUGCCAGACUUCAAUUUGUUCUCUGACAAUACAGAGAUGCCAAAUCAUCUUAGAUUUUCUUCAUCGUAAGCACGUGAAAGCCAAAUCAGCUAUGUCUUCGAUUUGUUCCUUGUAAGCACAAGGAUGCCAAACCAUCUUGGAUCUGCUUCAGUAUAAACAUCUGAAGGUUAGAUCUGCUAUGUAUCUGCUCUCCGUCGAAAUGGAGAUGCCAGACUUCGAUUUGUUCUCUGACAAUACAGAGAUGCCGAAUCAUCUUAGAUCUGCUUUAGCGUAAACACGUGAAAGCCAAAUCUACUGUGUCUUCAAUUUGCUCCUUGUGAACACAAGGAUGCCAAAUCAUCUUGGAUCUGCUUCAGUAAAAUCAUCUGAAGGUCAGAUCUGCUAUGUCUUUAAUCUACUUCUUGUAAACUUAUGACUGUCCUGUUGAUAUCUUCGAUCUGCUCUCCGCCGAAUACUGAGACGCCAAAUCUGUUUCUUCGAUUUGUUCUCUAACAAUACAGAGAUGCCAAAUCAUCUUAGAUUUGCUUCAGCGUAAGCACGCGAAAACCAAAUCAGCUAUGUCUUUGAUUUGUUCCUUGUAAGCACAAGGAUGCCAAACCAUCUUGGAUCUGCUUCAGUCAUCUGAAGGUUAGAUCUGCUAUGUAUCUGCUCUCCGUCGAAAUGGAGAUGCCAGACUUCGAUUUGUUCUCUGACAAUACAGAGAUGCCGAAUCAUCUUAGAUAUGCCAAAUCAUCUUAGAUCUGCUUUAGCGUAAACACGUGAAAGCCAAAUCUAUUGUGUCUUCAAUUUGCUCCUUGUGAACACAAGGAUGCCAAAUCAUCUUUGAUCUACUUCAGUAAAAUCAUCUGAAGGUCAGAUCUACUAUGUCUUUAAUCUACUUCUUGUAAACUUAUGACUGUCCUGUUGAUAUCUUCGAUCUACUCUCCGCCGAAUAUAGAGACGUCAAAUCUGUUUCUUCGAUUUGUUCUCUAACAAUAUAGAGAUGCCAAAUCAUCUUAGAUUUGCUUCAGGGUAAGCACGCGAAAACCAACUCAGCUAUGUCUUCGAUUUGUUCCUUGUAAGCACAAGGCUGCCAAACCAUCUUGGAUCUGCUUCAGUCAUCUAAAGGUUAGAUCUGCUAUGUAUCUGCUUUCCGUCGAAAUGGAGAUGCUAGACUUUGAUUUAUUCUCUGACAAUACAGAGAUGCCAAAUCAUCUUAGAUUUGCUUCAUCGUAAGCACGUGAAAGCCAAAUCAGCUAUGUCUUCGAUUUAUUCCUUGUAAGCACAAGGAUGCCAAACCAUCUUGGAUCUGCUUCAGUAUAAACAUCUAAAGGUUAGAUCUGUUAUGUAUCUACUCUCCGUCGAAAUGGAGAUGCCAGACUUCAAUUUGUUCUCUGACAAUACAGAGAUGCCAAAUCAUCUUAGAUUUGCUUCAUCGUAAGCACGUGAAAGUCAAAUCAGCUAUGUCUUCAAUUUGUUCCUUGUAAGCACAAGGAUGCCAAACCAUCUUGGAUCUGCUUCAGUAUAAACAUCUGAAGGUUAGAUCUGCUAUGUAUCUGCUCUCCGUCGAAAUGGAGAUGCCAGACUUCGAUUUGUUCUCUGACAAUACAGAGAUGCCGAAUCAUCUUAGAUCUGCUUUAGCGUAAACACGUGAAAGCCAAAUCUACUGUGUCUUCAAUUUACUCCUUGUGAACACAAGGAUGCCAAAUCAUCUUGGAUCUGCUUCAGUAAAAUCAUCUGAAGGUCAGAUCUGCUAUGUCUUUAAUCUACUUCUUGUAAACUUAUGACUGUCAUGUUGAUAUCUUCGAUCUGCUCUCCGUCAAAUACAGAGACGCCAAAUCUGUUUCUUCGAUUUGUUCUCUAACAAUACAGAGAUGCCAAAUCAACUUAGAUUUGCUUCAGCGUAAGCACGCGAAAACCAAAUCAGCUAUGUCUUCGAUUUGUUCCUUGUAAGCACAAGGAUGCCAUACCAUCUUGGAUCUGCUUCAGUCAUCUAAAGGUUAGAUCUGCUAUGUAUCUGCUCUCCGUCGAAAUGGAGAUGCCAGACUUUGAUUUGUUCUCUGACAAUACAAAAAUGCCAAAUCAUCUUAGAUUUGCUUCAUUAUAAGCACGUGAAGCCAAAUCAGCUAUGUCUUCAAUUUGUUCCUUGUAAGUACAAGGAUGCCAAACCAUCUUGGAUCUACUUCAGUAUAAACAUCUGAAGGUUAGAUCUGCUAUGUAUCUGCUCUCCGUCGAAAUGGAGAUGCCAGACUUAGAUUUGUUCUCUGACAAUACAGAGAUGCCAAAUCAUCUUAGAUUUGCUUCAUCGUAAGCACGUGAAAGACAAAUCAGCUAUGUCUUCGAUUUGUUCCUUGUAAGCACAAGGAUGCCAAACCAUCUUGGAUCUUGCUUUAGCCAGAUCUGCAAUGCUUCGGCCUAUUACCCUACCGCUUAGGGGAUUAAGGCGCGUCAUCUUUGAUAACCUGUAGAAUGAUUAUGCCUACUAAUUGGGAUGCUAUGAUCGAAGUGAGUCGAAUGUUCCUAAUUAAACAUGUUAUGAUGCAAAAUGUUGUGAACAUGACCCCUAUCUUAGAUGUCACCACUUAUUCAUCUAUCGAGCUUUCCACCUCGUUCUUCUCGAUAUAUCAAUCAUACUCUGCUCGUAUGCCUCGAAUCUUCUCCAUCAAUUUGGUCUACCAUACCAUUCCCCGAAUGUUACGACCCAUUGAAGAUGUUUAUGAAAUGAUCCUUUCUUAAGAUCAAUAUUGCUUAAAACGUCCAACCACCUUUUGGACUGAAGAAGAAAAUCUCUCGAGUAUCUCCAACCCAUACAUAUGAGAAUUCCUUAAACAAUUGUCUUAUUUCAGUUUCUUGUAUUAUCUAGAAAUUUCCAGAGUAAUAUGCAAAACUUUGUUUGUGAAGAUAUUUUAGUUCAUCUAUCAUUAUUUCAAUGCAACAUGCUUUAUGAAUAAUGGGAGACAAAUAAAUUGAUCCUGAGGAUAAUUAGAUUUGGACACAUUAUUGGAAGGAAUGAAAAAAGAUUAACCUGAGAACAUAUCUUUGCAAAGAAAAAGAAUCCAAAGAUAGUAAAUAGGACAGAAAUCAGAUGCCCCAGAUAUCGCCGCUUGAACAUCUAUACACCAGCUCUAUGAAGACUUUCUUGAGUUCAACAUGUGUUUAAAAGAUCCAAAGUAAUUCAUUGAUGCCUCGAUAUGUAACAUACUUCACUUCUCGUCGAAUCUGGUAUAGCAAGGUCACUGCAUGACUUUCCAAAUUUGAGCUGCCCUUUCGGGUUUUCAACUCAAAACCCCUUUGGUCUCAAGGCGCCCUUUGUGGAUUUUCACCUUGGCCUCUCCGUUUUUCUUUUUAUCUUUUUUUUCUUUUUUUCUUUUUAUAUUUUUUCUUUUCUUUUUCUUUUUUUUUUGAAAUAGAAGUCCUAAAGUGCCCUUUCCAAGUUUUCACCUUGGCUUCCUUUCUCCUUUAGACAAAGUAAUCCUUGACCGAAUCCGAAUUCACUGGAUCAGAUAAAUUCUUCCUAUCCAUUUCUUGUCAAAAUCAGUACACCUCUAAAGAAAGCCCUCUUCGCAACAUAUGGCCCUUCCCAAUUCGGCAUCCUUUUGCAUGGGAAGGAUCUCUUUUAGCACAAGGUUUCCUUUAUGAAAUUCUUUUGGACGAACCUUCUUUGUCAUAAGUCUGUGUCUUCCAUUCUUAGUACAUUUGCUUAGGAUGAAUACUUUCAAGUUAAGUUUACUAGAGGUAUUCAAUUCUUGACUCCAUCAAAGUUUGGAGGAAAAAUCUUGAUUCAUAAACCCAUGAGAAAGGGAUUCCCCCAGCAGCAAUCCUAGCUGUUGUUUGUCAAACCCUACAAAAAGAUGGUUCAAUGAUUCUCAGCAGACAAGAAUAAAGUUGCUAACUUUAUCCUUUAACCUGGAAAGCUGAGGUACAGAGAUUACUCCCAGAGCAUACAUCCCACCAUGACUCGAUGAUGUUUCUGAAGCAUCCCUAAUCUUUAUAAAAUGCCCCCAACUGUGAAGCUGUCAAAUGAACGUAGCAAAUAGGAGCCACAACAAAUAUGGCUGUGGUGCUCCUUUGAUACAUAUAGGAUAGAGAAUAAACAAACUCUUGUAGAUCAUCAGCCGAAAACCCAGCUUGGUCUAAGGGAACAUGAUAGUGGGUCUGCCUCGUGAUUCCAAUCAUUCUAGCAUAGGUACCAAGGUAAAAAUAAUUGUUCUUUGGAUGGCAUACUUUGUUGUCAAUGGCAGUACCAUGUAGCACAUUGUCAGGAGAUCCCUGCUGAAAAAACUUGGUAUGAUGGUUUUUCGUACAACAAUAACCAUAAUCUUUAGGGUUCCACUUCUCGUCAAGGAACUUGCAAGCCUCAAUAACUUGAUCAAAACUUGAUUAAAUUGAGACUCGCUAACCCAUCCCUAAAAAUAAUGAUUUGAUCAUGUUUCCUCUUCCCUGAACUUGUAUAGCAGUCUAAGAGAGCUUCCUUCAUGAUACCGUCAUCCACUUUGUCAGAAACUGGUUUUGAAGAAAGAAUCUAUCAUUUUAAGUUUCAAAGACUGUGUACGGCCUAAUGCCCCAUAGCUGGAAAUCAAUGGCCACCGCCUGGAGCUAACCAUUGCAGCUAUUGACGGUACAUCAGACUGCUCAGGGAAGCCAAACAAUGUACCCAUUCCAAGGAUGAUGGUUGGAACCUUUGAAACAACUGGAAUUGAAGGUGUUUGCCCCAACGUAAGCAUAAAGAGUAGGUGGUAGUUUCUUAUGCCAAUUUUUACCAAUCUCGGUCAUCUUCUGUAAUUUAUUUUUUUCUUCUUUUUCUUUUCUUUUGGCAACCUUUUUUGUACUGUGGUAUGGCGCACUAUCUUUGAAAAGAUUGCAAACUUUUGGUAUUGUGCAGUUAUCUAUAAUCUUUUUUUGGGGAAAUGGAAGACUUUUGACUUUGUAAUAUUGGCAUUUGAAGCUAUCUCCCCCUCUUAAUGGAGUAGUUGGCAUCCACAAAGAUGAGUCAUUGUCAGCUUGAAACUUUUGACGAGCUCGGGGCCCUAACAUACAUGCCCCAUAAGUCUUGACUCCUUUAAAUUUGGCAUUCAUAGUACAACUGAUGCGAUCCCUUUCCAUAGUGGACCAACAGUGCCCCAAAACCUCAUGUUUAUCCUGGCAAUUGUAAAUCCUCUUGCAUGCGUCUUUGGACCACAUUUUUGAAUUCCCAUAAUAGUCUCAACAAGGUCUUGUUUUGUCUCCUCAGCUAAUUCCAAUUUUGCAACCUUUCCUUCCUCUAAAGCUAUAUUUCCUACCACCACUUCAUGGGGUAAAAGCCAUUUUUAACAAAUUCAGAAACAAGUCACAAUUUCUGUCACCUUCAAAGUACUGAGAUUCCUCUAAACACAUAUCGCACUCAAAAGGAACUCUGAAUCUGUAGUAUCGUUGCCCAUGUCAUUGAUAUCUAGGGAUAUAUGAUAGGCACACAAAAGAAUAUACAAGGAAUUCAAGAAUGACUAUUUACAUGAAAUGAAAAUUUAUAAAGAAUGUCAAAGGUCAAAAGAAUCAAAAUGAAAGAAUAUUUACUCGGAUAAAUAAUAAAAGUUUGUUUUAUUGAAAAUAAAAAUGUCUGAACAUGAGCCCACUUCUCAAAGGAAAUCUCAUUACUCCUAGGCUUUAGAGUAACAAGAGUGUUCUGAAUGCCCUCAAGGUUUCUUUGUUCAGUCCCUUCCUCAUGUAUGACAUUGAUGGGAUGAUUUUCAUUUCCAAACACCCCCUUCUCCGGGUAAGCUAUCCCUCCUGACACAAAGGUCGGGAAUAUGUAAGGGAACGUCGUUAAUUCCCAUUCAACUUCUUUUUCACUCAGCCGUGACCCUCUUCUCUCUCUCUUUUUUUCUUUCUCUUUUUAAUAACUUUAACUAAUUAAGGUCUUUUUAUAAUUUUGAAUGCAAAUGAUACAAUGAAAUGUUAUAAGAUGCAAAUGAAUGCAAAAGAUAUCAAUCUCGAUUCAAUCUCAUUUAGAAAACUUUAUUUAGAAAAAGAAUAUCUUUACAUAUAAAUGGAUUACAAAUAUGCUUUCGCCCUAAUGCCCAAAGUUUUAACUCUAUCUAAUAAAAAGGCUAACUCUCGUCCUAUAUCCGAUGACGAUUCGUACAUUAGACUCAAUACAUCAGCUCGUAUUACCAAAUCUUGCACAUAUUUGGCAACCUCUCGAAUCUGGGCUACAACUUCACCAAUGACAUGAUCCCUUUCUCUGACUUGUCCUCUAGACUGAUGAAGCUCUCCUUUUAGAUAAUCUUAUCGCGCCUCGAGCUGCUCAAUCCGAAGUUCACCAUCAUACAAUGCCACUUCCAAAUCUUCCACCUUACUUUUUAGCUCCUUUAACUCGACCGUAGGAUCAUGAUUUCGAUGCCAACGAAGGGAUCUUCCAAGCUCAGUUACCUUGGUCUUCAACCCUUUAUUUUCUGCCUCUAAUGCCAAAUUCUGCAACUGCAUCUCUUGGAACUUCCUCUCCCAAUACUCGGCUUUAGCUUUUUUCCUCUUGGACCUCUUUCUACAACUGAUCCGAAGACCCCCUAUUCUCACUCUCCUCAAGGAUACUUGUGCCUUUUUGUAAUGCUCUUUCAAAUCAUCUUGAUCUUCCUCUUUUCUUUCCUCUCUUUCUCGACCUCCAUCUUUUGAACGUCGACGUCUAAGCUCAAGUACAUCAUUUCUUCUUCAAGCUUUGCUAUCCUUUUCUCAAGCUAUAAGUUCUUUCUCUCGAACUCUUGCUUCAUAAUUUCUAACUCCGAGGGCAUAACUUGCAAAUAUUCCUCUAUCGGUCGAGCUCCUUCCACGUUUGGCUUAGGGAUGUUAUCAUUAAUCCUUCUACCUCUCCACUCGACGUACUCCAGAGUCGUAGCAGUGCUAAUAACUACUCCCUUUAAUUGACAAGUCUUGUUCCAAGCACUAGAGAUCUCACUGACCUUCCUCUUGUAGUCAGCUCCUCUAUACAUGAACUCACUAUGAACCAAACCGUAAGUUGCCAGUAUGAACUGUCUCAAUCCAUGUUGCCUCAACACAAGCAAAGGGGCAUAACUAAUGGCACCCCAAAUUCCCAACAGAGGGACCCAAUCAAAACUGCCGCAUCGGUAAAGAAUCUCACCAGGAAUCAUCCAUAGAGCCCUCCACUCUACGUCUUUUGACUGUAGAUUCUGAAGUAGCACUAUCCAACUUUUUUUAGGAACAUCAACUUUCCUAGUUGAAGCUACUAUGUCCUUCAACGAGGAGUAAUCCUCGAAGAAGACCCGACAAACCACCCUAUCUAUCAAACAUAAGUGACUGUAGAACCAAGCUAAAAGUAACUGAGCACAACCAACAAACAUGCCCGCACUGGCCCUCCUACAUGCAUUCAAGGACCUGAAUGUCUCUGCCAAAAUUGUAGGAACAAGAGUGACCCACUUGCUAAGUCGAUGGAAGAGAUCCGUGGUCGCCUCAUCCACAUAUCCCAAGGCCUUGGGGAAAACCAUCAAUCCGUAUAAGCUUAAGGCAAAAAUGUCUACCCUCUUCGCCUCGUCUAGAUGUUUCUGGAUCAGAUCUUUCAAAGCUCCCCACAGAAUGCACUUACUCUCUCACCCUUUUCCUUAAUUCUAGCCAUGAUCCACUGCUCACUCAUCCCCGUAAUGGUCAUCAACUUCUUACCAAAGGUUGGGACACAAGCUGCUCGAGAAUAAAUCCUAUCACACUAAAAUCUAGGACAGCAAGUAAAGCUGUGUAUUCCUCCAUAGUAGGCACUAAAUCUACCUCCCCAAAGGUAAAACAACUGUAUACUGGGUUCCAAAACUGAGCGAGAGCUUGAAAAAAGUUCUCAUCAACCUGAAUAUCAAACAAAUAGGGCAAAUUUUUGUACUUACCGUAGAAUAAUUGCUUGGUCUCAUUGCCCCAUUGAUCCCAAAUCGCCUUAAGCUCCUACAAAUUAUUCUGUGUGACACUGAUGCGAGUGUAGUCUAACAACUCCGACAUAUAUCCCACAGUUAUGCUAUCCCCUUUUCCUAGCUGAGCUUGCUCAGACCAUCUAUGGACAUUAGUGUUGCCCUCCACUCUUUCAAGAAGUCUGUUCUCCAUAAUAAAACUUUCUAACUUAGAAACUGACCGUGAAUCGAUACCUUUUAAAUGCAAAAUGACAUGUAAUGAAAAAAAGAAACAGUCAGUAUCACAUAAUGUUAAUAAACUCAAGAACGAUAUGUGAAGGUAAUAUCUAAAGUACAAUUCUAACUAAGUUGAGCUCUUACGAUUUUUCUAUAUGAGGUUUUAGUUCUAAAGUUAAGGUACCUGAACCAGCAGAUUCCUCGAUUCUCACCCAUUAUAGGCUCAUUUGAAUCGAGUUCAGUUCAGGGGAAUACAUUUCCCUAUGGCUACACAGAGAUGAAAAUCUCACGAAACCAUAGGUACGGAUGUAUCCCGAAAGUGAUCCACUAUCCUGCACGAAGGCGAAAACCUCACGAAGGCGUAGUUUCUCACUCCCACUUAAGGGUGUGACCACAACGGUCAUGCAAAUGCAAUGCGUAUCAGAAUAUAUAACAUAUGCAAUAAUACAAACACAUGUAAUGCAAAGAGGAUUGAAUUUUAAUAUUUUUCAAAUUUUCGACAUUAAGACAAAAGGUAAUCAAUUAUAUGGCUUGACUCUCUUAUUAAUCCCCAGUGGAGUCGCCAAGCUGUCGAGAUCAUUUUUAAAUCGAGUUUUGGAAAAUGGGAAUCGACUUUAAGAAAAACAAAAACGGGAGUCGCCACCAAUCUUUUUAGGUGUGAUUGGAUCACCUUAUAAAAUGUUUUGUUUUAAAACAUUAAUUUUGGUCUACGAAAGUCGAGAAAACGGAUUCAGGAGUCGGUUACGUACGAGGAAGGGUUAGCACCCUCGUAACACCCAAAAAUUGGUACCUAAUUGAUUAUCAAUUGUCUUUAAUGCGGAAAUUUGAAAGUUUUAAGAUGCAAACCUCUUUUAAUUAGAAUGUCUCAAUUUUGAAAAUUAAGGCUCACUUAUUUCAAACGAGUCAAAACAUCACAUCCAGUAAGUUAGGAUGCAACAUUUUAAAACCUUCGAAACUAAGCUCGUCUUUCAAAAAUUUUUAUCUCGAAACAACAAAACGCCAUAUCCAGUAAGUUAGGACACUAUGUUUUGAAAUCUCGAAAUAAUUGUUUAAGUUUUGAAAACUCAAAAUCACUUAGAAGGGUACUUGACUAUUCGAAUUCAACGAGAAAAGUCGCAACCCAGUAAGUUAGGGCACUACCUUUCUCGAAAUUUCCAAACAUCAAGCAUUGCUUUUAUUUUUUUUUUUAAAAACCCUUGGAAUAUUAUUUUUAAAUUGAUGCUUUAGGAUGACAUAUUAAUGCAUCAUGAAGCAUAUAUGUACAAAAUAUUCUAACAUUUCCAUACAAACAUAAAUAAUAUCAUUAAGACAAAACUAAAUAACAUGAACAUACGUUUAAUGAAAAAAAAUCAUACUAGGGUAAAUAUAAGAUAAUAAACAAAUAAAAACAUGAGUAAACUAAAAGAAAAACAUAAUACAUGCAAAAAUUAUACAACAAUAUAUAUCAUAAAAAAGCACAUAAAAGAAAUAAUUAAACAUGGCAUAUAAAAAAAUGAAACUAUGCACAAAUAAGAUAAAUGACAUACACUAAAAAAAUGAAUAAAUAGAACAUUUACAAAUUAUAAAAAUAUAAUGCAAUAGUUCAAAAUACAUGAAAUGAUAAUAUAAUAUAUAUACAUGCAUAGAAAAUAUAUAUUUGAAAAUAAACUAUAUAAAAAGGUUAAAUAUUAUAAUAUAUAAAAUACAUAAUCAAAUGUAUAAAAGAUAGGAAUAAAUAUACAUAUUUGAAAAAUGAAGAAAUUAAAAUAAAAAAAGGUUGAAAAACUAAGAUAGAAGAAGAAUAAAAUAAGAACAAACCACAGAGAGUAAGAACGCAAGAGGGAGAGAAAUUUGAGUGAAUGCUCUCAAGAAUUCUUAUUGCUUCCCAAAACUCAAGUGUGUUUACAAUGAAGGUAGAGGCCUCUAUUUAAGUUGAACCUCCUCAAAUCCAAUGGUACAGAUCUAUUACAUCAACGGUUAAGAUUAAAAGGUAUCUACAAAUUAAAUCUCUAAGAUUACAAAAUCAUAUCUUCUAGGAUUGCAUAUCAUAUCUAAGAUUGCAAUCAUAUCUAAGAUUGUAUCAUAUAUAAGAUUGCAUAUCAUAUCUAAGAUUGCAUAUCAUUGAAGAUUAUAUUUCUAUAUGAGUCGAGCUUGUAGAUGGACUUUAAAUCUUGUCAAGUAAUGGGCCAUUCCGAUCGGGCCGAAUUAUAUUUGUAAUUCUGGACUGAACUUGGACUUUUUUUUGGGGGUUUAUUAUAUUUUAUUUUUGGACUUAUUUCUGGGCCCAGGCAAAAUUGAGUGUCUAGAUAUAGCACUCAGAUUUAAUGUGUCAUUUCUUCUUACAGAAGUUACAAGUUUUACCUCUGUUUGAAGACUUCGAUCUACCCUUGGAUUUACCACAAGGAUUUCGUUCAUGUGUCCUUCCAUGAUCAUCAUCAGCAUUCUGAUCUUGUCUCCCACGAACAAUGAGACUCUCUCCCUGAGAGUUGGGUUUAACCACAAGAUGCUUCAUUUUAUGAUACCAGGUUAAAGAAUCAUAAACCUCAUCAAUUGUGAGAGACUCGUGGCUAUAUAAAAUAGUGUCUCUAAAGGUUGAAUAAGACGGGGGCAACGAACAAAGUAGAAUCAACCCUAAAUCUUCCUUAUCAUACUGAACCUCCAUGGCCUUUAAGUUUGAGAGAAUUUCUUUAAACACUGUUAAGUGUUUGUGUACAAAUGCACCUUUCUCCAAAAGAUGAGCGUAAAGACGUUGUUUUAUAUGCAACUUACUUGUUAGAGUUUUCAACAUAUACAUUUGUUCCAGCCUCUUCCAUAAUGCAGUGGAGGUCUUGUCCUUCAUCACAUCCUGUAAAAUUUCAUUGGACAAAUGUAGAUGUAAUUUUGUUAACGCCUUUCGAUCCUUGCGCUUCUUCUCUUCAUCUGUUAAUGUUGAAGGCAUCUUAUCUAUCCAUAGCAGGGCAUCCUCCAGAUCCAUCUGCGCAAGAACUGCUUGCAUCUUAAUCUGCCACAACGAAAAUUUAGUGUUGCGAUCCAACAGCGAAAUUUCAUACUUCAAAAAUGCCAUUACCGUAAUCGAGAUAAACUACUCGGAAGCUUUGAUACCAGUUUAUGAAAAUAAAAUAAAAUAAAAUAAGGAAUACACAGAUUUUACGUGAAAAACCUUUCGGGAAAAAACCACGGGCAGAGCAGAAGAAAAUUUACUAUGUCGAAUUUGAAUUGAUUACAAGAGAAAUAGACUAUGUCUAUUUAUAGGCUUGUAAAGCCAUAUUCUAGUAAUACUGAAACACCUUAUUCUAAUCAAUAUAAAAUAGAUGGACUUUAAUAAGGUUUAAAAAACCUUAUUCUAAAAUAAAAUAAAAGAAGUGUAGUUCUAUAUGGAUUUUACUUUUAUUUUAUUUUACCACUGUAUUUUAUUUAAAUAAGGAUUCGGGUUAUUUAAUUCUAACAAAUUCGAUUUAUAGAUUCUCCUGUUAGAUUUGACUCUAAUCCGGUAGAUUUAUAUCAUUCUAUUUCUAAGAUUACAUGCAACUCCACUCGAUUAGGCAAGAUCUACUCUUAAAUAGGGUCUGUUCCUCUUCUGAUUUAAGCACAUCAAACAUGAAUCAAUAAUUUAGAAAUAUCAAACCAAGAAUUAAGCACACAUAAUUGAGAACAAGAUCCAAGUAUUUAUUGCGUAAAAUAAAAAUCAAAUGACAGAAUCCAUCAUAUGGCUUAUCUCCCUAGGUAUUUAGAAAAUUAGUUCAUGCUUGAAAAUAAAAACAUCUAAAAAAACAAUAUAACCAAAAGAAACAAAGAAACUCAUGAUAAUCUCCUAAGAAAUCAACUGGAAUCUUCAAUCUUGACGGAAAUAUGCUUUAGGUCAGUUUCAAUGGUGUUUUUUGAGUUGUUUUCUUGAAUAUUCUACGAUGACUCCCACUAUCUUUUUAUUAUUGUCAUAUAUACGUCUUAGAAUGCCCGAAAAACCUAAAAAUCAUUUUUUUACAGUUUAGGGUGCAAUACUGUGUAAAUGACACGGCCUGCCACAUGGUCGUGCGACAGCCCAUGUGGCUCACGCGGCUAUAUGUUUAGGUCGUGUGGAAAUGGUCAACCCGUGUGGCUCCUAUAAGUCGCUCCGAUUUUUCGGUUUUCGCUCAUUGUUCUUUCCUUUUGCUCCCAAAUGCUCCCAUAAGUUUAAAAACAUGAAUUUAAAGGAUUAUGAGUAUAAAUUUUACUAUUUACAUCGAAUAAUUACUCAAAAAUGCAUUAAUAAUGAAACUAAAACAUGUUACUUUCUGCAGUAUGUUAUAAAGCCAACCAAACCCAACAAUUAGAAACAGGAGCCCUAUACUUAAUGAGAUCCAAAUAAUUAUGUAACUUAAAUGAUUAGCUCCUAAAAUCAUUUAUGUUACCAUUUAAACGACUAUUUGAAAUAAAAAUUAGUUGGACAUGUCUCUUGCUAUAUGAAGUUGUGUAUCCAUCUAGUAGAGUUUAGUAGAAUUGUGGAUAGGUGAUUCGAACCUUAUUUGAUUCUUAAGUUGGUGAUUAUAAGUACAUAACAUGUCUUUUAAUUUGAUUUUAGUAAUUGAAAUUUAGAUUUUGAAUUAAUUAUGCAUAAAUUUUGGUUUUUAUUAGACCAAGUAUUUGGCUGAUUCGCUUACUAGGGGUGAAAGACACUUGUUUAUCCACUACAGCAAAAUUCACUUUUAGCGGCGUUUUUUUAGGCCUUUAGCGGUGCUUUUAAGCGCCACUAAAACUAUUUGCGGCGUUUUUAUAAGCGCCGCAAAAAACGCCGCUAUAGAUGGCAUCGCUAAAUUUUGCGGCGUUUAUUUGAGAAAACGCCGCUAAAGGUCAUGGCCUUUAGUGGCGCCGCUUUUUCCACAAACGCCAGUAAAGGUCAUGAAAUUUAAAAAAAAUAAAAUAUUAAAAAGAUCAUGAAAAAUAUAAAAAAAUUAAAAUUCAUUAUCAAAAUAUUGAGAAGAAUAAUGUCCAUGAUUUAAAUAUAAAAAUUUUCUAUUAAAAUUCAUUAUCAAAUUAAAAUAAAAAUAAAAAUAUAGAAUCAAAACUAAAAUAAAUAAUAAAAAUUAGAUUAAAUAUAAAUAUAGAAUCAAAAUAAUAAAGCACCAAACUUGUAUACUGUCCACCAUUAUAAGUCACUAAAAGCAAGAAAAACAAAAUGACUUAAUUCAUGGAAUUCACGAAUGUUAACAUCAGACAUGAGUUUAAAACUUUGCCUUAAUUCGAAAGGAUGUUCAAAACCAGAAUCCAGAAUAGAUCGAAGCAGCUUCGGUUUCAGCAGAAAGUUUCUGAAUCUCGAACUGUGUAUUCCAACAUACCCCCUACACCACAUAAAAAAGAACAUUGCUUUACACUAAAAUUAGCAGAUUAUAUUAGAACAUUGUUUACUUUAAAAAUAUGUAUAAAUUAAAAUCAACUAAGGCUAAAAUACUUGAGGAAGUGCUUUGACACAGCUGCGAUAAGUAUAAAGCACUGAUGCCAUCUCCUUCCCAUCCUGGAUAAGUGUGUUCUGCCAUGCCAUCAAAUACAAGAUCAGAGACUAAAACAAAAUACUAAAAAGUUUAUCAAAAUUUUGCAAUUAACUUUAGACUCUAACUAGCUUGGGCAAAAAAUAAGUAUUUAUGUAUAUAAGCAAAAAGGAGAAAAAAUAAAAUAAAUUGACAUACAAGCUGAUUGAGAGCUUUUGUGUCCUCUGUAAGAGCAGAAACGAUAAGUAGAAGUAAUCAUGAUGUCGUUCAUAUUUCUGUCCAACUUCAUUGUGGAGAACUUGAAGAACUUCUCCAUGCUCUGUAGAUUAUGAAAUUAGCCAACUCAUCAGAAAGAAAAGAAAAACAAAAUAUGCCCUCAGUGAACAAAAUAUAGAAAAAGGAGAAAUUCAGCAACCUGAUUACAAAGUGGUUCUAAUUGUAAACUCUCCACUGUGAUUCGCCUUUUGACCUUAACUUUGUUAACUCAACCAAGAUUUUCAAUAUUGCAAUGUUGCUCAAACAUGAUAAGCUAUAAAAUACAAGUAAUAUUUUAUUAAUAUAACUAAAUUAUAAUAUUAAAAUUAAAAUACUAAAUAACAUUUUAAUUUGAAAAUAGAACUAAAUCUAUUAAAAUUCUGAAAAAUAAGAAUUAUAUUAUAUAUAACAAUAUUUAUGUACGCGUAAAUAAAAAAUACUCAAUGCCAAAAGUUCCAACUUCCUAAUCUGGAUCUCCUGCACGUUCAAAUAAAAAUAUAUAUGUCAACCAAGAAUUUCUGAAGAUGCUAAAUUCAAAAACAAUGCCAAUGUAAUAAAGGAUUAUGAUAUUACUGGAUAGCUUUAGCAUUGACAAUGACUACAUUUCUAAAAUAGGAUGGUUUCUCAAUCAUUUAGGUUGUUCCUUGACAGCAAGUUUAGAGAGUUAAGAGGAAAUAAUUGACUGAGGGUGGAUGAAAAGAUGGCAUUAAGCUAACCUUGUUAGUUUUUGAGUGGUAAGAACAUAAAGUGGAGGAUCAACAAUGCUCUCAUCAGCAUGCCGCAAGAAGAGCAACAAAAAUGAGAGGUUUCGGCGAAAAAAUUAACCAUCUAUAACCAAGUUUUAAUAAUCAUCAGUGUUCAACACAAAUGAAGCUGGCAAGUCAAAGUUUUGAAGCAGAGGUGAAAGCAUGUAAUGGUCAAUCUAUAUUUGCCAAAAAAAACCCCAAAAAGGAUUUCAAGCACUAAGUAAGACCAUUUUCACCAAUAAAAAGCAACGUUUUACCUUAAAAGACUAGCGUUGAAUCAUGGUAUCUGAAAAAACUUAAAGAAAUAGAAAUGAUUGUAAAGAAGCAGUGAAUAAGAACAUUACAUACUAUGAAUUUAUAUUCAAUGUAUAAGUUUUUUGCGAGUAAUAUGUAAAAAUAACAAACAGGCCAUUACACAUGUGACAAUAACACAUUAAAUCUUAAAAAUAACAGAACUUAAAAACUAAAAUUUUCAAAUUCCAAAAGUAUAAAAACUAAAAAUGACUAAAUUAAAGUGGAGACUAAAUUAACAAAUAUAGUGUCUGAUAAUAGAAUUUGAAAAUAAACUUAUUUGAUAUUAAUUUAAGAUAUGAUAUGACAUAUCCAAUGGAACCAUUUUAGCUUAACUCCAUAUUGCAUUUAAUAUUUAGCACAAAAGUUCAAGUUAAACUACAAUGAUCUAAUUGAAUAUACUACCUCACUUCAAAAUAUCACAUACAGCGUGUUUGGUUCGCUGUAAUAGGUAUACCAUUACUCCCCGAUUACGCGCCUAUUACAUUACCGACCUAUUCCGGCGUUUGGUUCGCUGUUUUCUCAUUCCGCGCCGAAUCAGUUACUCCCCCAUUACAUUGACUGCGGGUAAUAGGCAUUACGCUCCCUCAGCGCCGAUUACCCAUUCCGCGUCUUUCCCUUUUUUCUCUUCCGUUUUCUGCCCUCGUCCUCAACGCUCCGAUUCUCCCACGCUUCCUUGCACAGGUAAUUUCUUUUCCCUCAUCCUCUUCCGACGUUUCUCAAUUUUUUCCUUUCCAGAUUUCUACUUCUUCUUCUGGUACGGUACGCUUCUUUUCUUCUCACAUUUCUUUUCUUUUCUCCAUUUUCUUUUCUCCAUAUUUCUGCUUCUUCUUCCAAAUUUUUCCCUGUUUUUCUUUUCUUUUCUUUUCUGUAGAAUCGAUUUUGAUUUUGAUUUUAUUUAUCUUUGUCGAAUUUCGGAACACUUCUAAUCGGGAAUAUCAUAUAAGUUGGAUGCUUUUCAUUCGUGUCUAGACACUCAUCGUCUUCUCUGAGAAUCGAUUUCAUUUGUCAGGUAAAAUUCCCAUAUUUUGCCUAUUAUUUUUUCCCCUUUAUUUGCAUUCUUGCCUGUGGAUUUCUCUGUUCUAUUUUUCUUUCUUUAUAAUUUUUUUCUAAUUCGAGUCUCUUUUUACUAGAUCUAUGUUUUUUCUGCUGUUAUUUAUAAUCUCUUUGCAUGCAAACUAUUGUUUGGGGGGUGAUUUUGGGUUCAAGUUAUUGGGUUUGAAAAUGUUGUUGUUUUCUUUUUUCUUGGUCAAUUUUAGAAGACCAUUUAUAUGUAUGCUGUUCAAAUUUUCUGUUUUGAUUUGAUUUUUUUUCCUGUGAUAGAAUCUUUGAAAUAUUGUUUCCUUUUUCCUCAUUAUAUGUUACAUUAAGGAUAGUUGAUUAGAAGCGGGAUUUUUGUUUGUUGUAGAAUAUAAAUUUGUAGGUUGAAGUUGUAAUUAGUAGGUUACAUUGUGAAUUUGUGUAGUUGAAAUGCUAAGUUGUAGGAGGUGUUGAGUAUUUAUUUAAUCGUAUUGUUCAAAAUGGUUUUACUAUUUGCUUUCACUUUCUUGAAUUUUUUGAAAAAAUUAAUGUCUUAUGGUUGAAUUAUAGUAUUUAAGUUAGCAUUAUAUUCUGAAUUUUAUGGAAAUAAUUGGCAAAAACAAAGGGUGCAAUUCAUUUGUUUUAUAUGUAUUGCUAUUUAGAAAAUAAAAAGGGGGGGUUAAAACAUAUACAUAGUUAAUAAUUUUUUUAUGUUUAGAAAAUGAAGAUGGCAUUGCGAGGAGUUUAGCAACUUAAAAAGCUAAUUGUAAGCUAUUGUGAUUGGGGAGGUAGUAGUAAGGGCAUCAGGUAUGAUUUUAAUCCUUCUGUUUUUUUCCACUUGUUAACUUUUAUAUAAACCUCUUGAGUAUUAUCUUCUAAACUUUCUGGCUUAUAUUUUUUUUGGUAUAUUUGCUUGACACCUCUGGAGUAAAGUACUUUUUCGAAAUCUCAAUGUUUGUUUCAUUUCUCCUUUCAAUUCCAACAUUGCAAUGUGUUUUUCUCGUCUUUGUUUGCCUAAUAAAGCAGGUACUUUUUUGUUAAAUGUUUUCUUGAUCUGUUGGCCAAGAGUUUGUGCUAAGAUUUGCAUUUCAACUUUAGGUAUUAUUCUUGUUUAUGCUGUGGAGACUCGUAUCUAUAUAUAAACUAAACUAUUGAACCACUUCUGAGUAAUUUGCAAAUAAUGAAUGAACCAGCUUCUCAAGCUAGUAUUAAGCUGUGUCACUUUCAUCUGCGCAUAAUGUGAUGGUUUGAUAGUUGAAAUUAUGGAUGAUCUGAAUCUAGCUAUAGGUGAUUAAAUAUAUGAUCACCAAAGUAGUGGCAUCCAUCUAAAGUAGUUUUCUACCUUCCUGGGCUAAGUUCAGUUAAGUCUAUAUCAUCAUCCUCCCCUUGGCAUAUUGCAUUCAUUUUAGCUAUAGAGUUAUUUGCACAAUUGGUGAUUAUCGUUUGACAUUUCUCAAUCUUCUAUACUGGCCUAGUAGUCAUUCUUCUCUCCUAACCUUUCUCAUAUGUGAUCAACUGUACUGUUUUAUUGCAAGCGCAGUCUCCUAACUACAAUGCUACCCUGAAACAAAUUUUCCCCAAUAUUAAGCAAAUCGAUUCUGAGGUAUUGGCUUAGAAAUUUUGGUAGGUUCUGGACUUUUGUAGUUGAAUGUUCAUAAAUUUGCAAUCACGCGUGUAGUAUGCUAACGGUAACAUCUCCAGUCCCUUGUUGUCUGGAGCUUGUGAGUUUGCAAAUGUUGCUAGGGGAAAACAGGGUUCUGGAAGUGAUCCCUAAUACAUGACAACCAGCAGGAAGCAUGUGAGUGCUUGGUGGGAUGAUAUUAGCAGCAGACCGUCCUAGCAGAAGGUUCUCCAGCUCUAUGCUCCUCAUUUCUAAGAAUUGAAAAUGAUGCAAUCUGGGGAUGGGGUCUUUUUAAUGAUGUCUGCUUUGUUGUUUAGCAGUUUGGUUUGGUUUGGGGUCUGGUCUUUGACUGUUUUAAGAGGCCAACUAGUUAUCCUGUGUUAGUUAUACUUACAAUAAAAUGUUGGUAGGGGUAGGGGGUUACAAUUAUCGUUUUGUUUGCCUAUGUUUGAUAUUAUGAAUAAAGAUGAAGAAAUCAUGGAGAUAUCAAAGAGAACCAAGUGCACAAUUGAAUGUGCUUCAAAGGCAAAUUUUUUCUUUUAUUUUCUAUGGUUUUAUUACUUAUUGAUUUUCUUUUUGUUGGUUUAAAUCUUCGAAAUAAUUGUCCAAAAGGUUUUGGUGGUGUUGGCAUUGGCAUCAAUAAAAGUUUGAGCUUACUAUGAGUAUAAUUUGAACCCAAAUGUGGUAGUGUUGGCAUUGGCAUUAUUUUAAAUUGUAUAAAUUCAUAUAAUAAAAUUUAUUAUCAAGAAUUUUAUGAAAUUUUAUAUUAUUAUUAAAUUAUAUGUAAUAAUUAUUAUUUUAAAUUAUACAAAUUCAUAAAAUAUAAUUUAUUAGUUAUAAUUAUUUUAAAUUUUAUUAAAUCAUAUAUUUAAAUUAAAAUAUAUUUAAUAUUAAUUAUUUAAAAUUUUAUUUUAUAGUAUCAUAUAUUAUGAUUUGAGUAAAUUCAUAUAAGAAUAUUAAUUAUUAAGAAUUUUAUUAAAUUAUAUAUUUUAAUUAUAUUAUAUUUAAUAAUAAUUAUGUUAUUUUAUAUUUUACAGUAUCAUAUAUUAUGGUUUGAGUAAAUUCAUAUAAGAAUAUUAAUUAUUAAGAAUUUUAUUAAAUUAUAUAUUUUAAUUAAAAUAUAUUUAAUAAUAAUUAUGUUUAAAUAUGAUUAAAUUAUUUAUUAUUGAUAUUAAUAAUCUUAUUAAAAUUUAAAUAAAAUAAUUUACCAAAACAAAUUUCUGCUAAUUAUUAAGAAUUUUAUUAAAUUAUAUAUUUUAAUUAAAAUAUAUUAAAUAAUAAUUAUGUUUAAAUAUGAUUAAAUUAUUUAUUUUUGAUAAUAAAUAAUCUUAUUAAAAUUUAAAUAACAAUAACAAUAAUCAUUUACCAAAAUAAAUUUAUGCUAAGGGUAUUCUGGUCAUUAAAUACAUGUCCUCGUGCAGCGCUUUUCCUUUUUUAGUUUAGAAAAAUUAAAUACAGGUCAUUUUAGUUUUCUCCAUUUUAAAAGCUUCUUUGUUGGUUGGGCUUCGAUCUGUUCUUUCCUUGUAAUUUCUGACAUGUCCACUGCAUCACAAUGAAAAAUGAUAACCAGUUAGAAAUUCCACGUACAAAACCAAACAUAAAUAAAUGAAAAUGUUGGAAAAUAUUGUUCAUAAAUGAACUUCAUUGGACCACGGACAAGCUUUGGAAUCUUUUCCAAUUAAGUUCUUGAAGGUUUUUCGUUCUAUGUCAACAAAGUAACAUGUAUUUAGUUGCUUUUUUUCUUUUUUUGCCUACAAAUUCGAGAAAGAUCAGUCAUUUUUAAACGAAGUAAUGAAGAACAAUACUAUCAGGUCCCCGAGCCAUCAAGGUAAAGAAUAUAUUGUUCAGUUUCUCCAUCUUCUUGGCCUCCUAUGCUUGAUCUGUCUUGAACUUAAGGCACUAAUAGCAAAUAAAAUAGUUUAUAAUGAGAAACCCCAUAGCAUUUCCCAUGAAAGAAGUAGGGUAACAUCAAAUCCAGAAGUCAUAAAUCCAGUACUUUACAAUUGAUCAAGCUCUUUCCCUCAAACAAACAAUAAAAAUUACUAAAAUUGAAUGCCAAAAACACAAUAGAAUGUGAAAUAAUGAAAAACCACAGAAAAAGUACAUGUACGUUAGGAACGAGUCUCAUAUUUUCACAACAAAACAGAUUAUACUGAUUUUUAGAAGAGAUCCCUCAACUGCUUUGGGUUAUUCGUCCAAUACAGAUGCUAUUAUAGGUCUAUAACUUAUAGAUUCAAACUUGAGAUAUUCAAGCAACACGGAAGAUAAAGUUUGUAAGUUAAAGAAAUCAGAUACCAUGAUUUUGCAGGUAGACAACAGGGAAAAGGGGGAGGUGGCUGCAGGUGCAGGUUUUGGAGUGGACCUAGAAGAUGCUGAUUUUGCUGCAAUGUUGGAGAGCAUCGAUUGACACUUCUCCUGCUGCUGUUUAAAUCUACCUAACUUCUCUUGUAAUGCCAUCACUCAAGACCUUCUUAACCUUCAUAACUCUCAAAUCCCAGAGACAAAAAAGAAAGAAAAAUCUCAAAUCAACCAGAUUUCCUAGAACUCCCAUUUCUACUACUACCUUUGAAGAAAUGAAAAGGAAGAAGAAGUGUGAUUGGUGUAGGUGUAUUGACUUGUGCUGGAAAUGGGAAAUUUGGGGGUAAAUUUUGAGAGUUAUUUGGGGGAUUUAGGGCGCGACGGAGAUGAGAAGAAGAGGGAGUAAUGAGCAGGUAAAAAAAAUUUAGGGAUUUUGACUUUCCCUUUCUGCGGCGUUUCCACUAAAAACGUCGUUAUAGUUCAACUUUUUACGGUGUUUUUUUUAUAAAAACGCCAGCUCAAUUUUUUGUGGCAUUUUACCUAAAAACGCCACUAUUGUUUAAUUUUAAGUUUUUUAUAUUUUUAAUAUAUUUUUUCUAUUUUUUCUUUCAAAAUUUUUAUGCUAAGAUUAUCAUUUUUAAAUUUUUUUUUAAAUAUUGAAUAUUAAACUUUUUAACUGAAAUAUGGACUAAAAUAUUAAAUAUUAAAUAUUAAAAUUUUAAGUUUUUUAUUUUUAUUUUUUAUUUUUAAAUUUUUUAUUUUUUAUUUUUAAAUUUUAAAUUUUUUUUGAAGAUUUUUAUAAUUUUUAAAUUAACAUAUAAAAUACAAAAGGAAACUUUAAGAGAAAUAAAAUGGAAUCGAUGAAUUAAAAAAAAUAUAAAAUGACACAGCAAUACAAGCAUUAUUCUUUUAAGUAUGGUCCGCAUUAGUUGUUUAGAUUUUUAUAUAAUGGCAUUCUGGUUAUUACAUCAAAUUUUAUUAAUUUUGUUACAUAAAAAUUCAAUGAGUGUGCCAUAUUCUAGUAUGAUUAUUUUUCUUUACGAAUUCAAAACAUCCAUUGUUUCGAAUCGAGUUUUAAAUAAAAUUAAUUGUAAUUUUAUAAUUUAUAUCAAUUUGAGUGCAAUAAUUGUUUGUCUAUAUAAAUUAAAUAUUAAAAAUAUUUUUAGUUGAAUCAUAUAAAUGGAAAGAAAAUUUUAUAAUUAUAGUUAUUUUUUUAUUAAGUUGCUGUUAUGGGUUAAUCAAGUAUAUUAAUUCAGUUGUGAAAUUAUUAAUUUACCCUCUCACAUAUAAAUUAAGUUAUAAGAAUGUAUUUUUAUAUUUAUAUAUAUAUAAAAUAAAAAUUCGAAAAACAAUUAACUUUAUGAUUAUAACCAAAAUAACAAUUAAUUUUUAUAUAAACUUUUAAAUUAAUUUUUAUAUAAACUUUUAAUAAAUAUAUGAGUUAAAUAAUAUCUUUUCGCAUAGGAGUGUUAAAUCUUAAAAAAGAAAAAGUAAUUCUUUUAACAUACUUUAACAAAUUGAAUACUAAACCACUUAAUCUGUAAAAGCUAAAAAUAUGAGAUAAGUAUUUGUACUUUUCGUAAAAUCAAAAUUUAGUCAUUAUAUUUCUAUUCUUAAGAAUUUAAUUCCUCUAUGUUUCAAAUUUCUGAAUUUAAGUUUAAUUGUUAAAAUUACUUUUUUAUUAUUAUUACAUUCGUUAAGGAUUUAGGAUGUCGAAUUUGGGAAUGGGUGAUAAUACUUUAGGGAUUUAGGAUGAGGAAGAAGGGGGAAAUAGAACUGGGGAAAAACGGGGAAAAUGUUAAGUGUAUCAGGUGUGGGUAAAAAAUAAGACAACUAAACGACGAAGUUUUGAACAAAAUAAUUUAACAUUAGCAGCGUUUAUAACCUAGCGCCACUAAAAAUGCACCAAUUGCGGCGUUUAGGGUUUUAGGGGUUAUAGUUUAGUGUUUAGGGCUUGUUAGGGUUUAGGGGUUUACUAUUUUAGGGGUUAUAGAUUAAUGUUUUAUGUUUUUUGGGGGUUUAGGAUUUUAGGAGUUAUAUGACUUUUAGUGGCGUUUUACUAAAAGUGUCGCUAAUGCUCUGGUUUUUAGCGGCGUUUUACCAAAAGUGUCGCUAAUGCUCUAUUUUUUAGCGGUGUUUUACCAAAAGUGCCGCUAAUGCUCUGGUUUUUAGUGGCGUUUUACCAAAAGCGUCUCUAAUGCUCUAUUUUUUAGCGGCGUUUUUUAUUGCUCUGUGUUUUACAAUUUUUGCGGCAUUUUUUGAUAAAACGCCGCUAAAAACGCCGCUAAAGCCCUAUUUUCCUGUAGUGAUCACAUCUUUUAAGUAAAACCUGUUGGUCAUUUGACACGGAUGCUGAUGUCGAUAUUGAUAAAUAAGAAAGAAGAUCAUGGGGAUGCCGAUGUUGAUAAAUAAGAAAUAAGAUAAUCGGAUUGCCCCCCAUAAAAACUUCUAUUGUUAACAUCCCAAAACUGUAAACGUCACCAAUUCUCAUCUACUUUCAUUAUAUAAUCCAACUCUACAUGAAAAAAAUAUAUACUAAUUAGCAUAUGCUAUUUGAACUUUUUUUUAUCAUAAAAUUAACAAUGUACGAGAAAUUAACAUUUCUAACAGAAUAGAUAACAUGUACAGGAAAAAAAAUGUAUCAGCUAAUACCUGGAGCUAUAUACCAGUAGCUAGGUGCCUACAAGUGAAGUCCAAUUGGAGCAGUUAGGCUUUAAAAUCCUAGAAGUGCCGAAGUCAGAGAUAUGAGCUUCAUAGUCCAAAUCCAAGACAACAUUGUAAAAUAAAAUAAAAGUAAAAUAUUAUAUGUCGAAACCAUUUUUAAAUCGAGUUUUGGAAAAUGAGAAUCGACUUUAAAAACAAAAAUAGGAGUCGACACCAAUCUUUUUAGGUGCGAUUGGAUCACCUUUAAAACAUUUUGUUUUAAAAUCAUUAGUUUUGGUCUACAAAAUUAGAAAACGGGUUUGGGAGCCAGUUACGUACGAGGAAGGGUUAGCACCCUCGUAACGCCCAAAAAUUGGUACCUAAUUGAUUAUCAAGUGUCUUUAAUGUCGAAAAUUCAAUAAUUUUAAGAUGCAAUCCUUUUUAAAAUAUUUUGAUUUUGAAAAUUGAGAUUCACUUGUAUCAACAUAUUGGCACUAAGUUAGCCCCCUUUUUUGAAAUCCAUAUCUCGAAACGACAAAACGCCACAUCCAAUAAUUUAGGACACAACGCUUUGAAAUUUCAAGACAGUUGCUCAUAUUUUGAAAACCUUAAAAGAUUUAGAAAGGUACUUGACUAUUCGAACUCAACGAGAGAAGUUGCGACCCAAUAAGUUAGGGCACUACUUUUUUGAAGCUUCCAAACACCAAGCAUUGCCUUUUUAUUUUUGAAAACUUUGAAGUCUCGUUUUUAAAACUGAUACAUGAAGGAGCACAUUGACAUAAUAAAACAUAACAUACAAGAUAGCAUAUUAUAGUAAUAGGUAAAUAGAAGCAUAAUAACAAUAACAUAAAUGUCAUACAUUAAUUGAUAUAUAUAUAAGAAAUAUAAAAUAUGGCAAAUUUUAAAUAAAUAAAAUAUACAUACAAAAAACAACAUAUAUUAAAGAAGAAUAGAUAAAACAUAUAAACAUGUAAUUCAACAUAUAUUUAAACAUAUUAAUAAACGAGAAAAUGAUGCAUGAUGUAUAAUUGUAUAAAAACAAAACAAGACGAACAAAUACAAUAAUAUAUAAUAAUAAUAAUAAUAAUAUAGUAACAUAUGUUAUCAAGCAAUCAAUACUUUUAUAAAAUCAUGAAAAUAGCAUUUAAUACACGGAUAAUUUAUAAUAUAAAAAAAUAUAAAAAGGUUUAAUAAAAUAAAGUGAGUAAUUUGGAUAUAUGUGUAUAUAAUUAAAAUAUAAUUUAGAAAUGGGUGAUAAUAAUAUGUUAUAGAUAAACUUUAAUUUUAAGAUAAAAUAUAAAAAAAUAUGAUAUUAUAUCAAAUAAUAUAAACAUUUAAUAAUACAUAAAAAUAUAAUAUUUAAUAGUGAAUUUUAAAAUAGAUAAUAUAUAAUAGUAUAUAAAAAUAAUAAUAAAUGAAAUAAUUUAUAAUAUAUAAUAUAAAAAUGUAAGUUUUUAAAAUAAUGUAUAAUAUAAAUAAAUAAAUAUAUAAGAUAUAAGUUAAAAUAUAAUAUAUAAUAAUAAUCUAAAAAUUUUGAAAAUAUAAAUAAUAUAAUAAAUAAUAUUUAUAUAAUAAAUUAAAAAUAAGUUUAAAAGUAUAUAAAAAGGGUGAAAUUAAAACGAAUUAAAAUUUAUAGGUUUUUUUUUAAAGAAUAGAAUUUGAGGGCCAUUUGGAAAGCAGUUUGAAUUAAUGGACUCACUGGGCAAUUUGCCCCAAUCCCCAAAACGGCACCGUUUCCGUAGCUAAGCCUUAGAAGGCCAUUUAGGACUAAAUUGAAACAAAUACAAACUAUUAGGGCCAAAUCAUAAAUAAAAUAAAACGUGAUUAUAAACACAAAAAAUUGUGAAAGGACCGAUUGGGUAAUUAAUCCAAUUCUCAAAAACACGCGGAUCCUCCCCGGGUAAUCGGUUCAACGUGCGGAUCCUAGCCUUAAUACGACGUCGUUUUAAGCUUAUUGGAUUAAGCUAAAACGGCGUCGUUCUGUUGUGGCUAUAUAAGCCAAACUAUUAAUUUUAAAUCAUUUUGAAUCGGUUCUGAGAAAAAAAAAACUUUCUGAAAAAGAGUUGGGGAGGGGUAUUCGGAGGGUCACCGAACCUCCAUCUAGGGGUCUGUACGUGCUCACGCGCCCUUGUCUUCUCCACCGCAUGCGGUGGUCGGAGGUUUAAAAACCUCGCCUUUCAACGCCGAUUAAAGGUAUUGCUUUCUCUUUUCGUUAUUUGUAGUAUAUAUAUGUACAUAUAUUUAAAAAAUUUCACCUUUGUGUAUUCAAUCGAUUGAGAUGCUUGCUCUGUAUAUCUGUGCGAGAACAAAUUCUUUUGCUGAAUCUCUAAAUUUUUAUUGAUUCUCUCUGUGUGUAUUCUUUUUUCGAACUUAAGUCUUUACAUCAUUUUAUUUGGGCUUUUAUAGCCACUGCUUUGUUACAUAAACUGGGAAAGAAUCUUUCCAUUUCUUUUCCACUGUAUCCACCGUAUCUUUGAUUAUGAUCUGCUGAAAUCCUUUUAUUUUAGUUUCCUUUUUCGUUUUUCCAUAUCUGCUGUGUUUCCUUUUCUUUUGCAGGUACUUGCGAGAAAUCUGGUGGUGACGAGGGCUUGUGUAGAUUCGUGCGCUGAUUUCGGAGGCAGAGUCACAGCACUGAUGGGGGGUCACUGGAACAACAUGAGAGAUGAGCAGACGCGUCCGUUGAAAUGGCUUCUGGAAUCUUCUAUUUGCGGCGCGAGGAGAAAGAACUAGGGUUAAAAACCCUAGCUGGUAAUUUUUAAAAUUCGGGCCUCUGCUAUUUGGGUCUGGUUUAGGUUUGGGCUACGGGUAGGGUGUAACCGGUCUGUUUGGGUGUGUGUAUAAUGGGUCUGGGCUAUUUUGGGUUUGCUGUAACGAGUCUGAGCUAUUUUGGGUUUGUUGUAACGGGUCUGAGGUAUUUGGGCUUGUGUUUGGGCUCUUGUAAGGACUUUAUAUGGACUGUUAAACAUUUAUUCAUUCAUUUAUUUAAUUUGGUUUUAUUUAAGUCCGGUCAAAUUUGGGCUAUUACAUUAUAAAUUUAAAAAUUAGUUGGCUCAUGACUCAAGUUUUGAAUAUUGAUGUUGAGUGGCAUUUAGGGCACGUUUGGUUCGCUGUAUUGGAUUAGAGGUGUAUUGGAUUAGAGGUGUAAUAGCAAAUCAACUGUUUGGUUGAAUGUAAUGGAAUAGAGGUGUAAUAGUAAUCUUGUGUUUGGUUGAAUGGAAUAGAGGUGUAAUAGUAUAAUGGAAAAAAACUAAAAUGACUAGAAUACCCUUACCAUAAAUUUGUUUUGGUAAAUGAUUAUUGUUAUUGUUAUUUAAAUUUUAAUAAGAUUAUUAAUAUCAAUAAUAAAUAAUUUAAUCAUAUUUAAACAUAAUUAUUAUUAAAUAUAUUAUAAUUAAAAUAUAUAAUUUAAUAAAAUUCUUAAUAAUCAAUAUUCUUAUAUGAAUUUACUCAAAUCAUAAUAUAUGAUACUAUAAAAUAUAAAUUAACAUAAUUAUUAUUAAAUAUAUUAUAAUUAAAAUAUAUAAUUUAAUAUUAUUAUUAAUAAUCAAUAUUCUUAUAUGAAUUUACUCAAAUCAUAAUAUAUGAUACUAUAAAAUAUAAUUUAACAUAAUUAUUAUUAAAUAUAAUUUAAUAAAAAUAUAUAAUUUAAUAAAAUUCUUAAUAUUAAAUAUUCUUAUAUGAAUUUAAUAAAAUCAUAAUAUAUAAUACUAUAUAAUAUAAUUUAAAAUAAUUAUUAUUAAAUAUAAUUUAAUAAAAAUAUAUAAUUUAAUAAAAUUCUUAAUAUUAAAUAUUCUUAUAUGAAUUUAAUAAAAUCAUAAGAUAUAAUACUAUAUAAUAUAGAUUAAUAAUGUAGAUACUUGCUAAGAAAACAUGGAUUAAACAAAUGUCAAGCAUAGGCUUCUUCCAAAAAAAAUUUUCUAUGAACAAUCACAUAGGCAUAAAGCAACCAUGGUAAACUAUAAAAAAAAAAAAAUCUAUAUGUUAUCAAGCAGCAAAUCUGUGUUUGUAACUUCUAAUAUAUAAGUUCUGCAUGCAUAUUCAAGAAAAACAACUAGUAUACAAAUCACUUACCAUACAAAAGUUAAACUAUAAAGCAGUAAACAGAGUGACAUUAAAGUGAACUUGAAACAACCAACACUGACUCAUAAAACAGAUUCUUAAGCCUUAGCAAUAGCUUUCUAGUGACAUUUACAUGCAAUCGCAGGCUUUGAGAAAUGAUGUAGACUAGGGUCAUUUUCUCAUUUACAAACAUUAUGGACAAACAUUGCAAGUAUUGACAGGUUUUCUAUCAACACUUUAUUUCAUCAAAAACAUUGCAAGUAUCUCUUCAUCAGUCGAGUACAAAUUAUCAAAAUCUGACUCGAACUCUUCAUCAUCCACAUUGUCUCGUGGUUGCACCUCCAAUUCAUCCAUCAAUUCAUCAUCGGUCUCCUCAUGCUUCCCAGCUAACUUUCUACGCAAAAUGGCCUCAAGAACUGAAGGGAGUGCCUCUUCAUCCCCUUCAAAGUACUUCUUGAUUCGGGUUUUCAGCUCUGGCACCAAAUAACUAAGUUAAACAACAUAACAAAAAAACAAACUAUCAUGAUUUAUCCAAACAAAUAUAUACAUAUAUCAUGAUUUAGUUUCCCUUCCUUUCUCAACAACCAAACAAAUAAUUUCCAAAUAAAAAGAAGCUGGAGUCCAAACAUCAUAGUUGAAGCAGGAAAAUCAUCUAAACAAAAGGCUUUGCAUGUCCAGAACUAGAAUGCAGGCAUAUUAUAGCCUUGUGACAAGUAUUAUAACAAAAAAAAUAACAGCCAAACCUCUUGUCCAGCACCAGUUGAAAUGAUUGAAGUCGGUGAGAAAUCUUCCAAUUCAGCAGCCUUUUCUCUUGCAAGAGCAACAACACUUUCAGGAAAAUUGGCAAAUUCUACCACAUGAAUACCAAAACUUUCAGGAUAAACAGGUAUAUUUCAGAAGCUAUAAAUCAUGAAUAAAGCCUUAGUGCAACACAUAAAGCAAAUAACCUAUCAAAUAAUUACAGUUCUUCACAGCUUGCAGACCUUAGCAGCAAUAAGUCCACUGAUUUGAGCCAUAUCACAAAGCAAAACAGCACCACACUUAUCCGCAAUCUGUCGAAACCUUCCGUAAUCCCAUUCCCUCGAAUACGAACUACCACCACAAAUCAAUAUCUUAGGCCUAAAAUCAAGCGCCCUCUAUUCCAACUUCUCAUAAUUUAUAUACCCAGUUUGUGGAUUCACUUUAUAUGGCAAACUCUCAAAGAAAAUUGAAGCAGAAGAUACUUUUCUACCAUGUGGGGUAUAAUACCCAUGACUGGUAUUCCCUCCUGAUGGAGUAUCCAAUCCCAUGAUCCUAUCUCCGGGCAAUAGUAACCCAGUAUAAACUGCGGCGAAGAUGAAACUAACCCUAAAGAGAGCGUUGAUGAAGUGUCAGCCGAUUGAGAUAACAAAUCCAUGGAACAAAAGCUUGCAUUCAAACAAAACCCAAACGAAAAAAACGAAUAAAUGAGAGAAAAAUUAAAACAGAGAAAGCCGAAGACAAUGUUGAAGCAAAGAUUCAUACCUGAAAUCGGCCUCCGAUGAAACAAUGUUGAGGAUUUGUUAUGAAAGCAGAAGAAAUGAGGAUAGAUCUGCAAUGCCGAUGGAAGAAGAAGCAGAAAUCUAUGAGGGCAGAAAAAGGAAACGAAAAUAAGAAAUGGGGUAAGGAUUCUCUAAUCGGCGCUGGAUGGGGGGAAAUAGCUAUUACGGGACCGGGUGUAUUAGGGAAGGAACAGAUUUGGGACGUAAUGGUAAUACAACCAACCAAACAACAGAUUAAAUGGAGAUUAAGUGGGGCCCAUCGAUUAGGGGAUUAAAUGGUAAUAUUUUAAAUGGAUCUAUUUUUUUCAAAUCAUUUUUCAUAUUUAAUAUUUUUUUGUUUAAAUCUUCCUAAAUAUGAAGUUGAACAAUCAGCUUUAAUAAAUAACCCGACCCUUAAAUAGACCUAUUUGUAAACUUUUAACAAAAUAAUACAAUUAGUUAUUUAAUUGCAAGAUUAAAUUUUACAUGCUCAGAAAUUCUUUUGUAAUUUUUAUUUAAAAAAAAAAUUCUAUGAUAUUUGCAGGGUUAUAAUUUAAGUGAUUACUACCCUUCACUUCAACCACCAAUCUAAUAAUAUACUCGUGAGCAAAUUUAAAUUAUAUGAAGAUGAAGUUUAGGGGAAGUUAUAGUAGUUUUGAACUAAAAAAAAAUUUAACAGAAACUUUAAUGUCAUAAAUUAUUUUAGUAGUUCAAUGCAAUCUUUUUGACUUAAAACUCAUAAGCUUCGUUAAACAGGAAAACGAAUUAAAAUAGAAGACAAAUUCUAUACCCAAACUAUCGCGCUUUCUCAAUACACCCAUGAUAAAAUAUUAUCAUUUAAGUGAUUACUUCUUCUCGAUUUUAAUCUAAUCAUUGGUAAAAUCCAAUAACAAACAUUAAAUAUUAUAUACAGAACUGAAAUGGAGUACAAAGGAUAACUUAACAAACAUGAUAAAAUAGGAUACAAAAUUAAACAGACAUUAUACAUGAAAUUGAAACGGAGGUAAUUUAAGAAACUUGAUAAUAUCCACAACCGCAACACUUUCUUCUUUUCCAAGCUGUGACAUAAGGAAAAUACUUGCAAUCCUGCUAUCCAAAUUCAGUGUUUAAGCAUCUGAUUCUCAACAAAGGCUUUAUUAUUACAAUGCUUCUCGAUUUUCAAAACAAAGCUGCGAAAUAAGAGAUAAUUGGAACAAAAAGAGAAAAAGAGUUGAUAUAAAGCAAAUAAUACAAAGAGAACUAUAGGUUGUGAAUGGCCAUGAUGCAUAUAAUACAAAGCAUUAGCCAAUCCUUUUAACAACAUUUAGCCUCUUCUUCCAGUCCAGUUCCUUAGCCUGUUCAUUGUUGCUUAGCACCAUUCUCAAACUUCCCCUUUCCACGAGCUCAUAAACCAGAAAAAGAAUGCUUUGGAUGUGAAAAAAAACCGUACAUCUGCACAAUGUUACGGUACCUUAUUUCUAAUAAAGCGAUAAUCUCGCUUUCGAAGGCUUUCAAGGUGUUGAUGAGUAUGUUGUCUUCAGAUCGGUGAAGUUUCUUCACAGCAACCACCUGACCAGUUGCUAAUGCAGCUUUAUAGACACUUCCAUAUCCUCCUGAACCAAUGCAAUAAUCGGAGCUAAAAUCUUUAGUGGCUUCAAUAAUGUUGUCAUGGAGUACUCUUCCAUUAAAUCCCAAUACAGUAAAAAUAUCUCCUUGUUGUUCCUCCCUUGGCUCUGAUUCUUUGGUUUGAGUCCUUUUGCUGAAAGUAAAGAAACUUCCAACCAAUAAAAAUAGUAGAAGUAGAUCUCCAAAGAGUGGAAGCAUAACUGAAAUGAUGACUUUGGUCCUUUUUCCAUGAGCAUGGUUGGCCAGAAAAGAAGGAACACAAGCCAUUAGUCCAGUGGCAUUUCCGCAUAGGCCUUUAUUGUUUCUUAUGGCAUCAAACGAAGCCACAUGAAAAGCCUUAAGAUUUGGAAUAGGACCUUCAAAUUGAUUGAAAGAUAUGUUCACAAAUCUCAAACCACGCAAAUUAUUAAAAGCUUCCGGGAUGGAACCGUUAAGCAUAUUGUGAGAAAGGUUCAAUUCUUCCAAGAACUGUAACUUUCCAAACUGUUGUGAGAUACCUCCAAUAACUGAGUUCUGACUCAAAUCUAGGCUUUGAAGUAGAGCAUUAAUGUAGUUUAUUGUGUUGGAAAAUAUGGAAGUGAUAUAUAUAAUUACAUGUUAUUAUUUACUAUCAUCAUAGGUAGUCCAAAUUAAGAGUGAUCUAAUUUGGUUAAAAUUUUAUUGGGCUUUAAUUAUUAAAUAAAGUAUUUAUCAAAUAUGUGUAUAUACUCUAGUAAUGGAGUUCUAAUCAAAUUCUAAUUAACGAUGGGCUAAUUAGAAUUUGAUUAGAACUAAUAUGUCAAUGUUAUAAAUAUUAGGGUUAUGGUCCCAAAUUAUACAGAAGAUAUCUUUUCUAAUAUCUCAUCAUUAGGAAAGAGAGAGCAGAUAUUCUCUAAAUUUCUUGUGUGCUAAUUUGGAAGAUCAAAUCUCCAAGAUUCAGAAAAAUUUCAAAGAAUUCAUGAAUUCAGGUACGCUUCCGCAGCUAGUUUUGUUCUUGAUUUAUUCUUGAUGAUUUGACAUGAUAGAUUCUAGUUUAUUCAGUUUUGUUUUAGAUUUAUUUUACAAAUUUAACAAGUGGCAUCAGAGCCUCGUCAUGUCGAAUCAUUGAGAAUUGAUUAAAUUUCUAUUCUUUUUUAAAUGAUCCAUUCAUAAAAUUUUAAUGGGUUUAAUAUUUUAGUUUGGUGUUUUGAUCAUAACCUAUUAAAUUUUUUGGAUUCAAGAUUUUAGGGUUUGGUAUAGAAAUUGGGCAAGCAAUGGUGUUUCGAAAUUCCACAAUUUAGAUGCAGAUUAAUUAUUCGACUUUUUUUCAUUGGCCUAGAUACUUCUUUGGGCAUUGUUGAUAGGCCAUUGUUGCGCCUAAAAACUCAAUGUGUCUUAUAAUUAAGACAAUUUAACUCACUGAUUGAAUCAUUCCUUCGUUGCCCAUGAAUUUUACUUUUCUUAUUAUUGAUCAUGUUUUAUCUUUGCCUUUUAAUAUUAUUGUUGGCUGGUGAUGUUGCCUUUUAUCUAUCUUUUUGUGAAGUUUUUUUUUUGGUUGAUCUGGUUUAUGUUAUCUGUAUUUGUUAAUGAGUGUCAGACACGGGAAUUUUUAGUGUUUUGGUAUAUUGUUGGGAUAAAAUUCUAUUAAAAAAUAUAUAAAUAUAGUUAUAUAUAUUUAGUGAUUACAAAAUUUUUAAAAGUAUUCAUGCAUAUAAAGGUUUUUUUACGCUAAUCCACUUAAUUAUAAAUUCAGUCUUGGAUUUAUAUGUAGAUGCAAAGUAAAGUCGGUAAUAUAUUAUAUACAUAUAUAUCCAUGAAUUUAAGGGAAUAAUGCAUGAUUUUAUUUUGCAUGAAUUGAGAUUGAUUUUAACGAUAUGGUUAUAAACUUUGGUCGAAUUAGUUUGAUGAUUGUUUUGAUGCAAUUUGGCGUUGCUUAUUAUAUGUGUUUAAAGAAUUUUUUUUAUAUAAUUAUAUUUAUGGAUUAAGUUAUGCUUCCACCUAUUUUAGGCAAUAAAGUAUCAGAUAUGUCUAUUGACUUCUAUAAAUUCAUUGUUAAUUGGCUAUAUGAGAAAAUAAAUAAGAAAGUUAUUCUUGGAUUUCGCAUAGAAUCUAUGUGUAGCGUUGUUCUUUAUUGAUUUGGUUCAAAGGAUUUUUAUGUACGAAUCUAUUAAGAUUAGAGUUUUACAUUGUUUUUUAAGGUUGAACUCACAUUAUUUUCCUUUGAGCAUUUGAUUUUGGCAUAUUAUGAUCUCAAAGAUUUAGUUAAGUUAUGAUGAUAUGUUUUAUUAUAUGAAUCGUGAGAUAUGCCAACUAUUAUGAUUUUAGUUUUUGAGAUUUAUUGGCUUGAAAAUAUUUUUCAAGUAUUCAUGUGAAUAUCUGUUUAAUCAUAAAUACAACUUUGGAUUUACAUGGUAAAUUCAAGGUAAGUUUUUCUAUUUGAUUAUGAAUACAUGUAUAUGCAUGAAUUGCUUUGGUGUUUUUAUCCAUGCCAAAAUUAUGAAUACAUAUGCUUGUUAAUUAUUUGACUUUGAACCACUAUAUUAUUUCUAUUUGGUUUUGAUAUAUAUGGUUUUGGAACAAAAAAGAAAUAGUCAAAAAUUAAGAUUUUCAGUUUUUUAUUGCAUUAUUAAGACAACCUUAUUUUGGGUUAAUUUGGAGUCUAUAAAGUAGUAAAAAAAUAGUUUUGACAUUUCACUAUUGGGUAAAUUUUAAAUUUGAAUAUUGGUAUUUUUAUAUGUAUAUUAAAAUAACUUAAUUGAAGCAAUAAGUCGCCAAAGUGAUUUUUUUUUGCAUAAAUUAUUUUGUUUUAAAAUAUAAAAGGUUGUGUGCAUGUAACUUCGGCCCAAAUGAAGGUUAAUAAUACAUGUUCAACUAUGGUAAUAAACAUGUGAUAAUUAUUCAGUUUUUCAUGUAAGCAAUAAAUUGCCCAAAAGAAGAUUUUUGGUUUGACAUGUUCUUAUUGUCAAUAUUUAAUUAUUACAUCAAUAUAUCACUUACAAGUUAAUAUUUUGUCUAAAGAUAAAAUAUUAAUGGAGUGUCUGUUGAGAUAAGGUUUACCUUUAUUCAAAUUAUUUUGGUUUAAAUUAGAAGUCUUAUGGUUUAUGAUUUAUUCAACUAUUAUUAUAUUUACGAACAUCAUUGUAUGUUGUUUUGGGAUAAAUAUAUACAUAUAUAUACUAUUAUCUUUUAACCUGAUUGAAAGACGAAAUUAAGAGAAAUAUUUUGAAACAAAGAAAUUCAUAUUUUGGCUUUAGGUUUUAAUUAAGGAUGUCUAAUAUUUUAAAUGGAUUAGUUGAAACAAAAUGUCGCCAAAGUGACCUCUUUUGUGUAGAUUAGUUUAUUUAAAAUAUAAAGAUGAUUAUAUGCUUUUGCGAUUCAUACGUUUAUUAAUUGACCCAAAGAUAAGUUAAUAUUUGGAAAAAUUUCAACGACAUCUGUGGUGAUAAAUAUGUGACAAUUAUAAGGUAUUUUAUAUGAGCAACAAGUUAGUCCAAAGAUUAAUUAAUUGUUUGACAUAAUUUAUUGUCAAUGUUUGAUUGCUACAACAAGAGUACCGCUUACUGUUAAUAUUACUGUUCAAAGACUUGAUAUUAAUGUUGUGUUUGGUAUCUUGAGAUGGGAUUAGCCAUUAUCCUGAGUUUAUUGUUUACUUAUGAAUAUUGAUGUGAGCUUAUUUUUAUUUAUUUUUGUUCUAUAUUCAGCUAAUUCAUCUUCUACUGCCACAAUAUCUGCUAAUAUAAAUUUUAUACCCAUGUUUAAUAAGACUAAUUUUAAGGAAUGGAAAAGACAUUUAUGAUGCUUGGUUGUAUGGACAUAGACCUUGCACUAAGGGAAGAACAACCCCCACCUCUCACUGCAGAAAGUGCCCCUUAUGUUAAAAAAGAUUUUGAGGGGUGGGACCAUUCAAAUCACAUGAGCAUAAUUAUUAUGAAGCACAAUAUUCCAAAAGCCUUCAGGGGCACAGGAUCUGAAGAGAUUACUCAGGCCAAGGUUUUCUUGAUGAAAUUGAGAAAUGCUUUGCUAAAAACAAUAAGGUUAAUAUGACACCACUUUUGACUUCUUUGGUGUCUAUAAAGCAUAAUGGUCAAGGAAAUUCUGAGUAAUCUAUGGGCUAUGAGUUUUAUGAUCCCAUAAUUAGGAAUAUUUUUGAGACGAGAACUGCAACAUUUUUUGAAGAUGUUGAGUUUGGAAGGAGAAAUAAGGUUAGAGACAUUGCUUUUAAGGAGGAAUUAGAUUACAACUCAGUUCCUACUAUCACUUUUGACGAUGUUUAGUUUCUCAUACGUAUCAUUGAUUAAGAAGUGAAUCCAAAAUUUUAAUAAUAAAAUAUUGAACAACUCCCUAUUCAAGGUGAGGUAAUUGUUCCAGAAGAACAAACUUAACAACCUCAAAAAUUAAUGUCAUUAAAAAGGUCCACUAGAGAAAUGGUUAUAAUGGCUUUAGUGGAAUAUUUUGACAUUAAGCUACAUCAUAUGAAUAUUAAGCUAAUGGUUUUUCAAUGAUAACAUUGAUCAUACAUUUAUAUGGUGCAAUUAGAAAGCUUUGUCUCUAAUGAUGCAAAGUUAAUGAUUUUCAAAAAACUUCAUUUAUGGGCUUAAGCAAACUUCUCAUCAAUAAUAUUACAAAUUUUACCAAAUGAUUAUCUCAUUCAGUUUAGAAAUGAAUUUUAUUGAUAAUUGUAUAUACCAUAAGUUUAGUAGGAGUAAGGUUCUAUAUUUGGUUUUAUAUGUUAAUGACAUACUACUUGUCAAUAAUAAGUAUAGCCUCAAUCAAUGCCCUAAGAAUAAUUUUGAGAUUACAAAAAAAUGCAUUAGAUUUUUUACAUUUUAGCAGUAGAAAGUCUAAUGUAUGUUUAGGUUUGUAUGAAUAUUGUGUACACUAUUGGGAUGUUAGGUAGAUAUUUUAAGCAACCCUGGUUUGGACCAUUGGAUAGCAUCCAAGAGGGUUAUAAGGUAUUUUUCAAAGAACAAAAGAUUACAUGCUCACAUAUAGGAGGUCUAAUCAGUUAGAGAUCAUCAGGUAUAUAGACUCCGAUUUUGAUGGAAUAUGGAUACGAUACUUUGUCACUAAGGUGCAAAUUGUGAAAACAAAUUGCAGUCUUUUAUUCUAAUAGCAACAUGAGCACAUCAAAGUAAAAACACAUGGACUUCAAGUUCCUGGUUAUUGGUUAGGUGCUUAUAAAGCAUAUUAGGACAAACUCCAUGAUUGCAAAUCUGCUUACUAAGGAACUACGCCUAAGGUUUUAUAAGAGUACACUACUCAUAUGGGUGUAAUGUCAUUUAAAGGAUAUUUAGUUUUAGUGAGAGUUUGUAUUUUUAAAUGCUUUUAUGUUAUAGACACAUUUUUAGUUAUUUCAGUUUAAAGAUAUUAAGUUUAUUUUUUACAGAAAUAAAGUUUAUUUGGUUUAUUCACACUCUGAUUUUGGUAAGGUUUGAUCUCACUAAGGAGGAUCAGUUGGAAAUAAACAUGUUUAGAUCAUAUUGCAUGUAAUUUUCAUGCUACACAUCCAUUCUUAAUCUAUGUCAUUUGGUUGUGUUAAUAUACGUGAUCAUGGAUAGAUUUAGUUACGAUAUAUGUAAUGAAAGUCGCCGUGGUUCUAUGUUAACAUAAUUAAUGGACGAGAUUGUUCGGAAUACCUUUUGGAUAUGAUAGUAAAAUUUUGAGCUCAUAAGGUUAUAUAAUGACAAGUAAUUAUAGAGUAAUUAGUAUAUAUAUGUGGUCCAAGUGAGAGAUUGUUGGAAAAUAUGGACAUCACAUAUAUAAUAAGGGUAAUUACAUAUGAUUUACUAUCAUGAUAGGUUAGCCCAAAUUAAAAGUGAUCUAAUUUGGUUAAAAUUCUAUUGGGCUUUAAUUAUUAAAUAAAGUAUUGGUCAAAUAUGUGUAGAUACUCUAGUAAUUGAUGUACACACCAAUUUUUCCCAGGCCAAUUUUAACCUAAACCUACCCCAACCCAAACAAAGGCUAAACCUACCCAAUAGCCCAAAACUAAACAGAUCCUAACCCACUUACAUCAGCCCACUACCUAAACAAAUUGUGGCAGAAAUCAGAAAACCCUAGCCCUCCUAGUCGCCAUUUUUGUCCCAUCGCCUAUGCCAGUCGGCCACUUGCUCCACCGCCUUGUCUUCCACUUGCACCUGCAAAUUAAACAGAGAAUAGACAAGUAUUAAUAAAAAAAAAGAUAUGUAAAUUGGCUUUAAAAAAGGCCAAGCCAAUUCCAUUUGUAAGUUCGACAUUUUUUUUAAUGAAAAGCACUCGAUCUUUCUGAAAAUCAAGAGCAAAAUAGUGACUUUAACAACACUAAAGCAGAGGAAUAGUCUCAAAUCAGAGAACCAAAUACCAAAAAAAUCAAAACCGAAAAACCAAAAGUGACUCUUUUUUUUCCUUUCUUUUCUUUCUAUUUUUGAAUCUAGUCCCUUACAUAUUUACACAUAUUAAAAGCCUAUCAAAAAAAUACAAAAAAGGGUACCUUUUGGAGUUCCGGCCACCGCGUGCGGUGUCAGCGACGGUGGCCGGCGGUGACAUACGAUGGCCUGCUCGCCAGAUUUUGGCUCUGACUAGAGGGCGAGAGAGAGGGAGUGAGAGAGCUUCUAAGAUUUUUUUUUAAAUGAUGGCAAAAUGAGUUUUUUUUGUCAAAAAUAAGCCUUUUAUAUUGUAAGAAAAACGACGUCGUUUCACUUGGGGGCUAUAGCGCCCAAAACGGAGCCGUUUGGCAUGGCCGACCCGUGACCCGACCCGAUCACCCCUGGGAUCCGUGUGUUUCUGCGGAGAGGGGAUAAUUACGCACUAAGUCCUCCUCUUUUACACAGGCAUUCAAUUGCGCAUUGCUUGUUUUAUUUCAUUUUAAAAUUUAGCCCUGUAAUUUGAGCAUGUGUGCAUUUUAAUCCGCGCCUCAACGCAGCAUUUUGGGACCUAAAAUAUUUUUAGAUUUGAUCCCUGUGCAUUAACACACGUUGCGCGUUGGUCUCCUUCUUUCUAAUUUCAUUAGUUUAUUUUAUUUAUAAAUUAUCCCUUUUAUUUUUAUUCAAUUUUAAUUUAGUCUUCUAUUUAAUAUAAUUUACCAUUUUAAAAUACAUUUAAUAUUUUUAUAUAUUAGUUUAUUUUGAUAAUUUUGCUUUGUUUUAUUUGACCAAUUAUUGUGAAGUUUCUUCUAUUAUAUUAUUUACACAUUUUGUAAUGACUCAUUUAAAUAUUUUUUGUAUAUAUUUGUACAUAUAUUAUUUUAAUGGCUAAAUUGUUGUUUUAAAGUUCCUUUUGUGCUUAUAAAAUUAUUGUUUUGAAAUUCUUUAUAUUGUAUUAUUAUAUUAUAUAGUAUCUCAUUCAAACAUUUUUGUAUAUAUUUGUGCGUAUAUAGCAAAAUUAAUUUGAUCCUGUAUGUAUUUCCCUUUUAUUUUAAAUUUAUUUAUAUAUAUAUAAUUUGUAAAUCUAAUACGUUCCUAAAAUUAUAUUUCAUUAUACAUUUUACUAUCUUUGUAUAUUUUAUACAUAAUUCAAAUUCUCCUUUAUUGUAUGUAAAUUGUCAAUUUUAAACCAAUAUUCUUUAAGACUUCGUAUAUUACUCGAUUUAAAAAUAUUCAUUCUAUAACAUAUAUUUUACAUGAUUACAUAUGUGUUGAGACCAUUUUUUAAAAUCAAGUUUUGGAAAAUGGGAAUCGACUUUAAACAAAAACAGGAGUCGCCACCAACCUUUUUAGGUGUGAUUGAAUCACCUUUAAAACAUUUUGUUUUAAAAUCAUUAGUUUUGGUCCACGAAAUAAAAGAACGGGUUCGGGAGUCGGUUACGUACGAGGAAGGAUUAGCACCCUCGUAACGCCCAAAAAUUGGUACCUAAUUAAUUAUCAAAUGUCUUUAAGGUCGGAAAUUUAAAAAUUUUAAGAUGCAAUCCUCUUUUUAAAAUAUUUUGAUUUUAAAAAUUGGGUUUCGCUUGUAUCAAAAUAUUGACACUAAGUUAGCCUUUUUGGAAAUCCCUAUCUCGAAACGACAAAACGCGACAUCCAGUAAGUUAGGACACAACACUUUGAAAUUCCAAGACAGUUGCUCGUAUUUUGAAAAUCUCAAAUCUUAGAAGGGUACUUGACUAUUCGAACUCAGCGAGAAAAGUUGCAACCCAAUAAGUUAGGGCACUACUUUUCUCAAAGCUUCCAAACAUCAAGCAUUGCCUUUUUGAAAACUUUGAAGUCUCGUUUUUAAACCGAUGCAUGAAGGAGCAUAUUAACAUAACAUACGAGAUUACAUGUUAUAACAAUAGGUAAAUAAAAGCAUAAUAGCACAAGUAUCAUACACUAACUGUAACGCCCCAAUUUUCGGGAAUUCUGUGAAUGUUGGCAUAGGUUUAAUUAUGUUAGUGGGCCUCUAGAAGGCCCAAGCUUAAGAUAGAACCCGGCAAUUUUAGUUAAUUUUUGUUCCAUAAGAAAAAGGGGGUGAAAUUAUGAAAUAAAACCUAUGUGAAAAUGUUUGAAAAUGCUAUAGGCUAAAUUGAAGUGGCCAAAUAAAUAGGAGUGCAAAAUAGGAGGAUUUGUAUGACAAACCUCCCAUUUUACAUGAAGUGGCUAGCCAUCAUGUUGUUGUAGACAAUAUGAGCACUUGAUAUCCAUAAUUUAUGGUACAAAUUGAUACAAAUUGAUAAUGGGUUAGGUAAAUGUUCCAUGACAAUGGAUUAGGUAAAUAUUCCAUGAUAAUGGGUUAGGUAAAUGUUCCAUGAUAAUGGUUUAGGUAAAUGUUCCAUGAUGGGAAUUUCAUGUCUUUUGUAUUAAAGAAUUAAAUGGAUGAAAUAUGAAAUUUUAUUAAAAGAAAAAGGGGUGAAAAGAACAAAGUUUUGUCCUUCUUUGUUUAUCAUAGCCUAAAGUUAGAGAAGAGAAAGGAGAGGAGAAAGCUCUUAAAUGUUUGGUCACUUGGGGAAGAAAAUUGAAGGUAAGUUCAUGGUAGUUUGCUUCUAUCUUGAGGUUCAUGAGUUCUUCUUGAUUCUACCUUAACUCUUGAAGCAUAUUUUGGUUUUUAGUUGUGUUGUGAGCAUUUAGUCAUGAAUUAAAAUGAAGGAAAUGGUUGUUAUUUCAUGUUCUUUUGAUGAAAAAUGGAAGAUAGGUGAAGUUGAGCCAAACAAAUGAGCAUGCAUGUGCCUUAGAUGCUAAGGGGAACAUAUUUUGAAUUCUGUACAAUGAGAAAUUUGAUUCAUAAUGAAGAGUGGUCAGAUUAGUCAAACAGUGAAACAUGGGAAAUUUUAAGAAAAAUCUGGUAUUGAUUGGCCAUACCAAAAAUUCUGAAAAUUGUAUGGAUAGAAGAUAUAUGAGUCUAUUUUUAGGGAAAAUUAACUGCACUUGAUUUGGAGUUUCGUAGCUCCAGUUAUAAAUAAUUUAGUGACUGUUGCUCUGGAAGACAACUUGCAGUGAAAUUAUGAUUAAGUGGUAAACAUUGACAAAAAUUUGUUAAUGAGUUGCUUAUUGUUUUCUUAUAAGCUUACUAUGAUCUGUAGGUGUGGUUGGUCGAAUAUUGUAAGGGGUUAUUACGUAGUUCGUAUUUGAAUAGUUAGAUUAAUGUGUUAGUAAUCCAAUUGUAGGCAGUUCGUGUGUGGAUCUCGUCAGCAUAUCGUCGCAAACAGGUGUGUAACUAACAACCUCUUUCUUAGUCUGGAUCGGCAAAAGUCGAAAAGCUGAAAUGCCAAAAACCAGUAUUUUGUAGAUUUGCGAGUGUGCGAAUGCUCGUGAGGUAAAUCGAUUAAUGUUUUUGGUAAGCUGCAAAAUUUGGACCGCAAAGUGCAUGAUUUCUGUGCCCUCGAUAUUUUUGGGCUUAAUGGGCCAAAAUUGGAAUGAUGGGCCAACGGGCCCAAUUCGGUAAGAACCCUCGGUACAUGAUUCUGUUAGUACGUGAAAAGUAGGAAUAUGCAUGAAAAACCCUAAAAUAGAUAAAUUACUGAAAUACCUUUAAAAGUGGAAAAUUUACAGUUUUACCCCUAGUAGAUAAAUUAUCGAAAUACCCCUAAGGUUAAAUUGACCUAAAUGCAUGUUUGACGGUUGUUAUUUACUGCAUGCCAUGUUGUUAUUAUCUGAUGCAUGGGAUUGGGAUAUUGACGGAGGAAGUACUGAAAGUGGCUUGUCCACAUACUGGAGGCUUUGCCUCAAUUUACUGUUAACUGAGCAGCAAGGCUGCAACUGUGGAGUGUUGGGCUGGGUGGGUUGAGCUAUUCCCCACAUGGAGUGUAUGGCUAGUAUGGGUGGAGUGUAGUGGUUGGUGGGUUGAAUAGUCUCCCCAAAUGGGUUUGCAUAUGUUUAUUGAUGUUGCAUGUAUUUUGAAAUGAGCCUAUGGGCCAUACUGUUAUCUGAAUAAGGGGCUACGGCCCAGUUUAUUGUAAUCUGAAAAGGGCUCUGGUCCAGUACCACUGUUACCUGAAUGGGCUUAGACCCAAUAGGCUUGAGCUGAAUUGGGCUUUGAAUGGGUUUUCCUUACACACUGAGUUUCCCCAAACUCACCCCUUUUAUUUUCAUCCACGCAGGAAAUCCCCAACCAUAGUGGGCUUGGAGCUGUGAGGGAAUUCAGAGUGGCCACCCGUUCGGAAAGUUUGAUUUUCUUCUGGUGAAUUGGACAUCCUUUUAUUUACGUUUGAAGUUUUGGGUUUUUAAAUGUAAUAAGGCCGCUUAAUUAUUUUUAAUGGUUUUAAUAUGUAUUAAUAAAAUAGGUAUUACUUAUUUUAACUGUUGAAAUUGGAUAGCUUUAGGGCGCGUUUUCAAAAACAACAGUUGAUUUCAAAAUAACACGACAACAAGCAAAGCUUCCGCAAUGAAAGUAUUUUCCAAAAUUAAUCACUUUUCCUAAAAAUGACUUAAUCAAAUCGGUUUCCUAGAAAUGUCCAUGACGUUAAGCUGUGCAAUGGCGGUAUGCAUGUCUAGGAUUGGAUCCGAAUGGAGCUUGGUACUUAAGCAGUCCGAUGGACUCACCACCUCUUUUUCGGUUUCUUACCUGGUGCACAGCUUCCAUUCACUUUAACCUAUAAUGAAAUUAUCUUUUAAAACACUAAGUAGGUUUUUCUGGAUCAACAAUAUAAAAUGUUUUUAACGCUUCGAUGUGGCAUGUCGGAUCCGGCCAUAACGUCUGGGCCAGGUUUGGGGUGCUACAUUUAGUGGUAUCAGAGUUUAGGUUGCAACAACUCGGCUGUGGAAUGGGUUUACAAAAACAAAGAUUUUCGAAAAUUAAAAUUUUAUAAAGAAUGCGAAAAACUCGAUUUUCAAAAUUUAGAUCUUUAGAAGGUGGCAUUCCGAAUCUCUGGCUCAAGUCUGUAAGUAUUCUGAAUUUUUCUGAAUAUUUUCCUGAAUUAUCUGUCUGUACUAAAACCCUAUUAGGAUACACUAAAUAGGAUGAUACUGAAACCAUAGGAAAAUCUGAUAAGAGAUUGAAACUGUAGCUAGACUUCGAUUCUGCGAAAACAAACUCUGAACUAUUGUCUGAUUCAUAAAACAUCUGUAAUAAACACUGGAAUAUUAAUUGAUGCAUAAAAAUUCGUAAUCAAGAUAAUACGAUAUGAUUACAAGAGGCCGUGGACGAAGCCGAGGAAGUGCUCAAGCGAGAUCUUCGUCUUCAGGACAUAUGCCGGCGGUGGAUGCACUGGUACCAACUACAACAGAGGUAGAGUCUCAUGACCGCGGUGCCGGGGAUGAUGCCCUAUCACAGGCAAUGCUUCGUGUUCUGGAAAGGGUUGCCGGGGAAAGUGCGGGCAAUGGAGUUCGCGGAUCUAUUUCUGAAUGACUUCGGGCUAACGGAGCGGAGAUCUUUAGGGGCGUGUCUGGUGUAGCCCCGAAUGUGGCAGAAUAUUGGUUGGAGGCCACAAAACGGAUUAUGGACGACUAGGACUGCUCUGAGGAGAUUGUGAAUGGGGUAUCUGUACUAAGUCCUUUGGGUCACUCGGUUAGGGUAGACAAACUGUAUAGGGAUGUACCCUUAGAAACUCAAGGUAAGAUUUUCCCUGGAGAUCUGAUGGAGUUACCGUUCGGAGAGUUUGAUCUCAUUUUGGGAAUGGACUGGCUUGUUAAGCAUAAAGCGACUCUGGAUUGUACUGCUAAAUGAAUGGUGUUAAGGACCACAAAGGAUUAGGAGGUUAUGGUGAUAGGUGAGCGAAGGGAUUAUUUGUCCAAUGUGGUGUCGGCAUUAAGAGCCAAAAAGUGGAUUCGGAAAGGUUGUGAGGUCUAUUUGGCAUUUGUAAGUCAGUCGGAAGAGGAGGGACUGAUAGUGGAUAAGGUUAGGACCGUAAAGGAGUUCCAAGAUGUUUUUCCGGAGGAGCUUCCAAGAUUGCCUCUGAAUCGAGAAGUGGAGUUUGGAAUCGACUUAUUGCCUGGAACGGCACCAGUGUCUAUCGCACCGUAUAGAAUGGCACUGAAGGAGUUGGUGGAGCUAAAGGCACAAAUUCAAGAGUUGUUGGAUAGGGGCAUCAUUAGGCCAAGCGUGUCUCCAUGGGGAGCACCGGUGCUAUUCGUGAAAAAGAAGAAUGGUACAAUGCGGAUGUACAUUGAUUAUCGCCAGUUGAACAAACUGACAAUUAAGAAUAAGUAUCCACUGCCAAGGAUUGACGAUCUGUUUGACCAGCUUAGAGGGGCUUCUGUAUUUUCUAAGAUUGACCUCCGAUCUGGAUAUCAUCAGUUAAGGGUCAAGGAGGCGGAUAUCCAUAAGACGGCAUUCAGGACUCGGUAUGGUCAUUACGAGUUUUUGGUUAUGCCAUUUGGACUGAUGAACGCUCCUGCAGCAUUUAUGGAUCUGAUGAAUCGGGUGUUCCAACCAUUCUUGGAUCGAUUCGUAGUCGUCUUCAUUGAUGAUAUCCUGGUAUAUUCUAAAACUGAAGCGAAACAUGAUGAGCAUCUCUGUAUAAUGCUGCGAGUGUUAAGGAAGAAGGAACUCUUUGCGAAGUUCAGCAAGUGUGAAUUUUGGUUGAGGGAGGUAACCUUCUUAGGACAUGUGGUCUCUACUGAAGGGAUUAAGGUGGACCCUUGAAAGAUUGAAGCAAUUUUGGAGUGGAAGCCAUCUAGGACAGUGUCGGAAAUUUGAAGUUUCCUAGGGUUGGCAGGAUACUACAGAAGGUUUGUGGAAGGUUUUUCUGUGAUGGCAGCACCUCUGACAAAACUCAUAAGGAAAAGGAGUACCGUUUGUAUGGACUAAGAAGCAGUAGGAAGCUUUUGAGAAGUUGAAGAAAAUUCUGACUGAAGCACCUGUGUUAAUUCAGCCAGAGUCUGGGAAGGAAUUUACUGUGUACAGUGACGCAUCACACGUGGGUUUGGGCUACGUUUUAAUGCAGGAGGGUAAGGUGGUUGCAUACGACAGCUUAAACCUCACGAAGGGAACUAUCCUACUCAUGAUUUGGAGUUGGCGACAGUGAUAUUUGCACUUAAGAUUUGGAGACAUUACUUGUACGGGGAGAGGUGUAUUAUAUACACAGACCACAAGAGUCUUAAGUAUUUGUUGACUCAGAAGGAGCUGAACCUUAGGCAAAGGAUAUAGAUUGAGUUGCUUAAGGAUUAUGACUGUUCAAUUGAGUAUCACCCAGGCAAGGCUAUUAUGGUAUCCGAUGCUUUAAGUCAUAGAACCGUAUCUGAUCUGAGAGCAAUGUUUGCUCGUUUGAGUCUUUAUGAUGAUGGUAGUUUGUUGGUUGAAUUGCAAGUAAGGCCAACCUGGGUGGACCAGAUUAAGGAAAAGCAGUUGGAAGAUGAGUCUUUGGUUGCUUGUUUUCAACAAGUUAAGAAAGGGGAAACUUUUGAGUUUGGUUUAAAUGGUGAUGGAGUUCUGUGUUUCCGAGGAAGAAUUUGUGUUCCGAGGGACUCUGAUUUGAGGCAGACAAUAUUGAAGGAAGCACAUGGAGGACUUUGUGCCAUGUACCCUGGAGGGAACAAGUUGUAUCACGACUUACGAGAAUUAUACUGGUGGCCUGGACUUAAACGAGAAGUAACGGAGUUUUUAGGGAAAUGUCUGACAUGCCAGCAAGUGAAAGCUGAGCAUCAAUUACCCUCUGGACUGUUACAGUCAGUGAAGAUAACACUUUGGAAGUGGGAGAGGGUAACCAUGGACUUUGUGAGUAGGCUACCCUUGACACCAUCAAAGAAAGACUCGGUGUGGGUGAUUGUGGAUAGGUUGACCAAAUCGGCCCAUUUCAUACCUGUUCGUACUGACUUUUCACUUCAAAAGUUAGCCAAGUUGCAUGUGGCGGAGAUUGUGCGACUUCAUGGAGUCCCAGUUUCAAUUAUUUCUGAUCGGGAUCCCAGAUUUACAUCUCAGUUUUGGCAAAAGUUGCAUGAGGCGUUGGCGACGUGAUUGAACUUUAGUAUGGCUUUCCAUCCCCAAACUGAUGGUCAGUCAGAGAGGAUUAUUCAGAUUCUGGAGGACAUGUUGAGGGGAUGCGUGAUUGACUUUCGAGGUAGUUGGGAGGAUUACUUGCCGUUGACAGAAUUCGCGUACAAUAACAGUUACCAGGCGAGUAUUCAAAUGGCACCGUAUGAAGCACUAUAUGGAUGAAGGUGUCGUACACCUACGUGUUGGACAGAGUUGGGUGAACGACAAGUACUUGGACCGGAGUUGGUGGAGAUACUGAAAGUAAGGUUAAGUUGAUAAGAGAUUGAUUAAAGGAGGCAUCUGAUAGACAGAAGUCGUAUGCAGACCUAAAGCGCAAAGAGAUAGAGUUCGCGGUUGGGGAUAUGGUUUUCUUAAAGGUUUCACCUUGGAAGAAGAUCUUGAGAUUCGGCAGGAAAGGCAAAUUGAGUCCGCGGUUUAUAGGGCCUUAUCGGGUUCUUAAGCGGGUAGGGCCAGUAGCGUAUCAGUUAGAGUUACCACCAGAGUUAGACAGAAUCCAUGACGUCUUUCAUGUGUCUAUGUUAAGACGAUAUCGAUCGGAUCCCUCACAUGUUGUUCCAGUGGAGGAGAUUGAAGUAAGGACUGAUUUGACCUUUGAGGAAGAACCCAUACAAAUUUUAGAUCGAGAGGUUAAAGUUCUAAGAAGGAAGUCGGUUCCAUUGGUAAAAGUACUGUGGCGUAAUCAUGGAAGGGAAGAAGCUACUUGGGAAUAAGAAGAGACUAUGCGUCAACAAUACCCUCAACUAUUUGGAUCAGGUAAAUUUUGAGGCCAAAAUUUCUUUAAGGGGGUAGAGUUGUAACGCCCCAAUUUUCGGGAAUUCUGUGAAUGUUGGCAUAGGUUUAAUUAUGUUAGUGGACCUCUAGAAGGCCCAAGCUUAAGAUAGAACCCGUCAAUUUUAGUUAAUUUUUGUUCCAUAAGAAAAAGGGGGUGAAAUUAUGAAAUAAAACCUAUGUGAAAAUGUUUGAAAAUACUAUAGGCUAAAUUGAAGUGGCCAAAUAAAUAGGAGUGCAAAAUAGGAGGAUUUGUAUGACAAACCUCCCAUUUUACAUGAAGUGGCUAGCCAUCAUGUUGUUGUAGAUAAUAUGAGCACUUGAUAUCCAUAAUUUAUGGUACAAAUUGAUACAAAUUGAUAAUGGGUUAGGUAAAUGUUCCAUGACAAUGGAUUAGGUAAAUAUUCCAUGAUAAUGGGUUAGGUAAAUGUUCCAUGAUAAUGGUUUAGGUAAAUGUUCCAUGAUGGGAAUUUCAUGUCUUUUGUAUUAAAGAAUUAAAUGGAUGAAAUAUGAAAUUUUAUUAAAAGAAAAAGGGGUGAAAAGAACAAAGUUUUGUCCAUCUUUGUUCAUCAUAGCCUAAAGUUAGAGAAGAGAAAGGAGAGGAGAAAGCUCUUAAAUGUUUGGUCACUUGGGGAAGAAAAUUGAAGGUAAGUUCAUGGUAGUUUGCUUCUAUCUUGAUGUUCAUGAGUUCUUCUUGAUUCUACCUUAACUCUUGAAGCAUAUUUUGGUUUUUAGUUGUGUUGUGAGCAUUUAGUCAUGAAUUAAAAUGAAGGAAAUGGUUGUUGUUUCAUGUUCUUUUGAUGAAAAAUGGAAGAUAGGUGAAGUUGAGCCAAACAAAUGAGCAUGCAUGUGCCUUAGAUGCUAAGGGGAAAAAUCGGCUAACAUGUUGUGCUUUAAAAUGAUGAAAUGGAGAUUAUACUUAAGUAAAAUCAUAGAUAUGUGAUGAUUGAUUGGUGAUAUACAUGUUUAAAUAACAAGCAUGCAAGUUAGGUGUGAAAGAGUGAUUUGGUAAUAAAUCUGCUUGAGACAGCAGCAGUAACGUGACUUUGGAAGAUCACCAUAAAUUAUGGGAGAUGAGUUAGAAGCUGCAUAAAUUAUUUAAUUAAAGCUUAAUGAGUCUAGUUUCAAAUGGAAUAAACGGGAACAUAUUUUGAAUUCUGUACAAUGAGAAAUUUGAUUCGUAAUGAAGAGUGGUCAGAUUAGUCAAAUAGUGAAACAUGGGAAACUUUAAGAAAAAUCUGGUAUUGAUUGGCCAUAGCAAAAAUUCUGAAAAUUUUAUGGAUAGAAGAUAUAUGAGUCUAUUUUCAGGGAAAAUUAAUGGCACUUGAUUUGGAGUUUCGUAGCUCCAGUUAUAAAUAAUAUAGUGACUGUUGCUCAGGAAGACAGCUUGCAGUGAAAUUAUGAUUAUGUGGUAAACAUUGACAUAAAUUUGUUAAUGAGUUGCUUAUUGUUUUCUUAUAAGCUUACUAUGAUCUGUAGGUGUGGUUGGCUGAAUAUUGUAAGGGGUUAAUACGUAGUUCGUAUUUGAAUAGUUAGAUUAAUGUGUUAGUAAUCCAAUUGUAGGCAGUUCGUGUGUGGAUCUCGUCAGCAUAUCGUCGUAAACAGAUGUGUAACUAACACCCUCUUUCUUAGUCUGGAUCGACAAAAGUCGAAAAGCCGAAAUGCCGAAAAUCGGUAUUUUGUAGAUUUGCGAGUGUGCGAAUGCUCGUGAGGUAAAUCGAUUAAUGUUUUUGGUAAGCUGCAAAAUUUGGACCACAAAGUGCAUGAUUUCUGUGCCCUCGAUAUUUUUGGGCUUAUGGGCCAAAAUUGGAAUGAUGGGCCAAUGGGCCCAAUUCGGUAAGAACCCUCGGUACAUGAUUCUGUUAGUACGUGAAAAGUAGGAAUAUGCAUGAAAAACCCUAAAAUAGAUAAAUUACUGAAAGACCUUUAAAAGUGGAAAAUUUACAGUUUUACCCCUAGUAGAUAAAUUACCGAAAUACCCCUAGGGUUAAAUUGACCUAAAUGCAUGUUUGACUGUUGUUAUUUACUGCAUGCCAUGUUGUUAUUAUCUGAUGCAUGGGAUUGGGAUAUUGACGAAGGAAGUACUAAAAGUGGCUUGUCCACAUACUGGAGGCUUUGCCUCAAUUUACUGUUAACUGAGCAGCAAGGCUGCAACUGUGGAGUGUUGGGCUGAGUGGGUUGAGCUAUUCCCCACAUGGAGUGUAUGGCUGGUACGGGUAGAGUGUAGUGGUUGGUGGGUUGAAUAGUCUCCCCAAAUGGGCUUGCAUAUGUUUAUUGAUGUUGCAUGUAUUUUGAAAUGGGCCUAUGGGCCAUACUGUUAUCUGAAUAAGGGGCUAAGGCCCAGUUUAUAGUAAUCUGAAAAGGGCUCUGGUCCAGUACCACUGUUACCUGAAUGGGCUUAGGCCCAAUAGGCUUUAGCUGACUUGGGCUUUGAAUGGGUUUUCCUUACACACUGAGUUUCCCCAAACUCACCCCUUUUAUUUUCAUCCACGCAGGAAAUCCCCAACCAUAGUGGGCUUGGAGCUGUGAGGGAAUUCGGAGUGGCCACCCGUUCUGAAAUUUUGAUUUUCUUCUGGUGAACUGGACAUCCUUUUAUUUACGUUUGAAGUUUUGGGUUUUUAAAUGUAAUAAGGCCGCUUAAUUAUUUUUAAUGGUUUUAAUAUGUAUUACUAAGAUAGGUAUUACUUAUUUUAACUGUUGAAAUUGGAUAGCUUUAGGGCGCGUUUUCAAAAACAACAGUUGAUUUCAAAAUAACACGACAACAAGCAAAGCUUCCGCAAUGAAAGUAUUUUCCAAAAUUAAUCACUUUUCCUAAAAAUGACUUAAUCAAAUCGGUUUCCUAGAAAUAUCCAUGACGUUAAGCUGUGGCAAUGGCGGUAUGCAUCUCUAGGAUUGGAUCCGAAGGGAGCUUGGUACUUAAGCAGUCCGAUGGACUCACCACCUCUUUUCCGAUUUCCUACCUGGUGCAUAGCUUCCAUUCACUUUAAGCUAUAAUGAAAUUAUCUUUUAAAACACUAAGUAGGUUUUUCUGGAUCAACAAUAUAAAAUGUUUUUAAUGCUUCGAUGUGGCAUGUCGGAUCCGGCCAUAACGUCUGGGCCGGGUUUGGGGUGCUACACUAACAUAUAUAUAAGAAGUAAAAUAUGACAAUUUUUUAAAUAGAAAAAAUAUACAUAAAACGCAAGACAUAUUUAAGAAGGAUAGGUAAAAAAAACCUAAACAUAUAAUUCAACAUAUAUUUAAACAUACAAAUGAUGCAUGGCAUAUAAUUUUAACACAUAUAUAUAUAAAAUGUAUUUGUAAAUAAAUUAUAAAAGUCAUUUAAAACAUAACAUAGCAAUUAAUUCUAAAGUAAUUAAAAACAAAUAUUGUAUAAUAAAACAUGAGUUCUAAAAAUAUAUGUAUAAUAUAAACAAUUGAUAAAUAGAAUGAGCAUAAAUAAAAAUGUGAUAUUUAAUAAUAUAAUAUAUGGUAAAAAAUAUUUACAAGAAUAAUAAUUAUGUGAAAAAUAUAAAAUAUAUUGGUAUAUCAAGUGUAAAAGAAUUGAUAUUUAUAAUAAAAUAAUUACAUAAUAUAUAAGUAUAAGUUUAAAAUGAUAUGAAAUAGAUAAUUAAUGAUGAAAUAUAUGUAUUAUUAUAAUAUUAUAAUAUCUUCAAAAUGUGUAAUAAUAGAAUAUGAAUAAAGUAAUUAUUAAUCAUAUAAAUAAAAAUAAGUAUAUAAUACAAUUUAAAAUCUUUAAUGAUAAUAAUGUAUAGAUAAAAAAACAUAAUAAUAUAAAAAUGAAAUAAUAUAAAAUAAUUAUAAUAUAUAAUAUGAAAGUAUAUAUGUAUAUAUAUAAAUAAUUAAUAAUAUAUAAUACAAGUAAAAUAUAAUAAUAUAUAAAUAAGAAUGUGAAAUAAUAAUAUUUUGUGAAAAGUGAUCUAUAAUAACAAUAAUAUAUAAUAAAAUAAUUAUCUAAUAUGAUAUAAAAAUUAGAUUAAAAAUAAAACAAAUAACAAUAUAAAAAGUUUUAUAUAUAUAAUAAUAAUAGAAAUAAAUAUAUGGGGUUAAAUUUAAAGUUCAGCAAAAUUACAGGGGUGAAUUUAAAAAAUAAAGCUGAAUUAAGGUCCUAAUUAAAACACGCGCAAAACCAAAGGGACUCAUUGGGCAAAUUGCCCUAUUCCCAAAACGGCAGCGUUUUAAUCCAGGUCUCAAAACAGCUACUGCAGGGACUAAAUUAAAACUAAAACAAAAUAAUAGGGCCAAAUCAUAAACGAAAUUGUAAACAUAAAAAAAGUAGAGGGACUAAUUGGGUAAUUAAUCCAAUUCUUAAAAACAGGCGGAUCCUCCCCGGGUAAUCGGGUCAAUGCGCGGAUCCUGGGGGCCUAAAACGUCAUCGUUUUAAGCUUAUCAGACUAAAUUAAAACGAUGUCAUUUUUGUAGGGCUAUAUAAACCAAAACCUAAGCCUAAAAUUCAUUUUUACACCGAUCUCAAAAAAAAAGGUUUGUAAAUCCUCUGAAGAGGACUGGGGGUUGGUCUGGCCUUCGAUUCCCGACUAUGGUGCAGUACCUGCACACACGCCUCACACGCCAUCGUAUAUGGUGGUCUAAGGGUUAAAAAGCCCUCGUCCUUCCAUAGGUAAAUCCUUUUCCUUUUAAUCGUUACUAUUUUUAAAAAAAAACGAUUCAUAUAUUCGUAAUAGAGAAAAGAAAUUAAAGUAUGGGGAAAAAACUCACUUUCUGAAAUAUUAUUGCAAAGGUUUGGAGUACAAUGAUUUUGUGAUGUGUUUCUCUCUAUCUCUUUUGUGUAUUCUCUCUGUUUCUAUCUAUGUGUGUUUUUCUCUCUGUCUCUCCCUCCCCCCUUUUUACAAGUGAAAGGGAAGGCUUUAUAACCUUAAUCCCUUACAUAUUCUGGGAAAGAAAUCUAUGAUUUCUUUCCAUUUUCGUGUCUUCUGUAUCUUUGACUGAUAUGCUAUGAUUUUCUUGCCCUUUCCUGCUCUGCUUUUCGCGUAUCUACUGUUUGUUUCCUUUUCUUGCAGGUGACUUGUGAAGAUUUCGGUGGCUGGGCUUGCUGUCAUGGAUUCGAAUCUCGGCAGAUACCCAUUUAUGCACUGAUGACCACGGGAUAGUCUCUUUUGCGGAGAUCUCAGCGUUAACGGAGGUACCAAGGUCGGAGAUGAGGCCUGAGAUCACGGUGCCGGACAGUCGUGAGAGGGACAAGCUACUGGACAACACAUUGAUGGUGCAUCAGCGUGCAUUGAUGGCCUCGUUUUGGGGAGUUGAACAAAUGCUCCCCGAGGCUUCCAGAAGCUGCUGCGGUGCUGUAGCCUUCAGGAAACCCUAGGGUUUCUUGUUUCCUUAAAGUCACUUGGGCUUUUUGGGCCGUUUUUUAUUUGGGUUUGGUUUAUUGGUAUUCUGUUUGGGUCAAGGGUGUAAAUGGGUCUGCUAGGUAGUUUUAGGCCUGCUGGGUAGUAACCGGGUACACGGGUAAUGGGCCUAAGGUAUUUGAUUUUGGGCCUACUAUUUGGGCUUUGUAACCUGGACUUGGACUGUUUAAUAAAUAAACAUUUAUUUAUUUAUCUAUUUUUAUUUGGUUUUAAGGCCCGGUUAAAUUUGGGCUAUUACAAUAUGUAUCUCUAUUUUUUUUAUCAAAUCAUUUUGUGUGUUAUAUAUUAUGUGUUUAUCAUUAUUUUAAUUUUGUUUUAUACCAUAUUGUUCUUUUAAUUUUCAUUUUGUUUUGUAUAUCUCGUAUUGAUUAUGUUAUAUUGGGCUUUGUAUAUUAUUGUGGCAUAUUAUUGUGUGUAUUGUUUUGUUUGUUUUGUUGAGAUGUAUUGUUAUAUUAUUAUUUUCGUUUUGUAUUGUUAUAUCAAUUAUUCCCCGUACAUGAUGGAAAUUGGGUUAUAUUUUUUUAGGUUACUUAUAUUUAAUUGUUUAUUUUAUUAGUUGAUUAUAUAAGGCUACAUUAUCUUCAUUCAUCAAGUAUUGUGUCUUAUGCAUGUAUUGUAUCAUGAUCAUUGUUUUCCUUUUGGUUUACGAAAUGUUCUUUUAUAAGGUCCAACUCUUCAAGAUUAAUUCUUCCAUUUUAUUUCAAACCAAAAUCAAUGCGUUUUAAGCUGGCUUUACAAUUGUUCGUUUGAAAAUUCCUUAAAACGAAGGCAAUAUUUGAUGCUCAAUAAUUCGGGGAAUCGUGCCCUAUCGUGAUGGGUUUCGAUUUCCCGUUUGUUCAAAAUAAUCGAAUAUUUCUUUAGAACUUCACUCGUGUUUUUCUAAAUUCUAAAACAAGGCAAUGUUUGAUAUUUGGAAAUUCAGGGAAUCGUGCUCUAUUGUGCUGGGUUUCAAUUUCUCGUUUGUUCAGAAUAAUCGAAUAUUCCUUUAGAAUUUCAUUCGUAUUCUUUAAAUUCUAAAACAAACCAAUGUUCAAUGUUUGGAAGUUCGAGGAAUCGUGUCCUACCGUGUUGGGUUUCGAUUUUUCGUUGGACUAAAUAAUCCUUUUGUAAUUUUCAAUGUAUAAAUUUUUGGAAGCCAAAAAUUUAUCAUGUUCUCAAAGGAAUGAAGUAUCGUGUCCUAUCAUGUUGGAUAUGAUGCUGCAUUCCUUUGAAAUAAGAGAAUUUUGACGACCAACUUGAGCUAUUCAAAUUUUUUAAAGAAUCAUAUUUCAAAAAUAGCUUCAAAUCUCAGACAUAAGGACAGUACUUAAUCAAUUUGGUACCAAUUUUGAGCGUGGUGAGGGUGCUAAUCCUUCCUCACACGUAACCGGCUCUCGAACCCAUUUUCUCAAAUUUACGUAGGCCAAAAUUGAUUUAAAUGAAAUAAAAUGUUUUAUCAGGUGAACCAAUCACACCUAAACAAAAGAUUGGUGGCGACUCCAUGUUUUGUUUUCAAAAAGUCGAUCCCCGUUUUUAGAACAAAAGUGGUUUAGACACCUUGGUGGCUCCGCUGGGGACCAAUAAGAGAGUCAAGCCAUAAAAUUGAUUAUUUGUUGUCCUUUCAUCAAUGAAUUGAAAAUUUGUUUUGAAAAUCGUGAUUUCUUCAAUUGCAUUCGAUUGUAUGAUUGUUAUGGUUCGGGUAUUGUAGAAUAAUAUUGCAUUGCAUUGCAUGACUGUUGUGGUCACAACUUCUAAGUGGGAGUAAGAAACUAUGCUUUCGUGAGGUUUUCACCUCCGCAUGGGCUAGUGGAUUGCUUCCGGAAUACAUCCGUACCUAUAAUUUUUUGAGAUUUUCAUCUCCUCAUGGUUAUAGGGAAAUGUAUUCCCCUGAACUGAACUCGAUCCAUAUGAGCCUAUAAUGGGUGAAGAUCGAGGAAUCUGCUGGUUCAAGUACCCUUACUCUAGAACCAAACCACAUAUAGGGAACCCUAAGAGCCCAUAUAUAUGCUUUGAUUAUCUUUAUUUUGCUUGUAUUUUAUUAUUAACACUUGAUACUGACUUGUCUUGUUUUGAUUGUAUUUUGCAUAACAUUACAUACUAAAUGAGGUGUUGAUUCGUAUUCGAUUACUAAGUUAGAAAGUUUAACAUGGAGAAUUAAUUUAUUAAUAAAGUUGAGGAUAAUGCGGCCGUCCACGCAUGGCCAGAGAAGUUACAAUCGGAGAAAGGGGAUAGCUUGACAGAAGGAUACAUAUUAGAGUUGCAAGAAUUCACUCGCGUCAAUGUAGCACAAAAAGAGUUGCAAGAGUUGAGAGAUAUCUGGGCUCGUUGGGAUGAAGGAACCAAACAGUUGUUCUAUCAAAGCUAUGGUGAUAUAUCUUACUUGCUAGAUAUUAAGGUGAACAAGCACCUGUUCUGAGUUAUGGUUCAAUUUUGGAAUUUUGCUUACAGGUGUUUCACUUUUGGGGAAGUGGAUUUAGUGCCUACCGUAGAGGAAUAUACUACCCUUCUCAGGUGUCCAAAAGUACAAGUUAGAAAAGCUCAUGCCAAGGUUUUUAAUGGUCAAACCUUCACGAAGAAAUUGAUGAAUAUUUCAGGGAUGAGCGAGCCUUGGGUCACUACUCGGAUUCAACAAAAGGGAGAUAGUAAAUGUACCCAUUGGGAGAAUUUGAGAGAUUUGGUUUUGACACAUCCUAAUGAAAGAAUGAGGGUCGAUAUCUUCGCCUUAAGCAUCUAUGGAUUGGUAAUUUUUCCUAAGGCUUUAAGGCACGUGGAUGAGGAGUCACUGACUUAUAAGAUCAUUUUGAUAAGGGAAUCACACCUGUACUUGCGAUAUUGGCUGAGACGUUCAGAUCCUUGAGCAUGUGUCGGAAGUUAGGUGAUGGGCAGUUUAUUGGAUGUGCGCAGCUGUUGAUGGUGUGGUUUCAUGGGCACUUUUAGAAGGUGGACAAGGUUUCUUAUCGGGUCUUUUCUGAAGCUUAUUCCCCGUUAAAAUAGGAGGCAGCCAUAGAAAGAAGAGAGAAUAUCUCAGAGGAGAAGUGGAUGGAAAUUCUUCAAAACCUCAAUGAGGGAGAUAUAGAGUACAGAGCAUUUUGGAUGGUUCCCGAUGAGAUCCUGUAUCGAUGUGAGAACUUUGAUUGGGUGCCGUUGUUAGGAAUUUAGGGAGCUACUGGGUAUACUCCAUUGCUUGCAUUAAGGCAAUACAAAUCGAGGCAAUUUGUACCCACGACUUACGGGCUCGCUCAGUGUGAAUUUUCCUAUAAAGGUGACCACUAUAAGAAGAAAGUUCGAGAACUAUCGGAUGCUUAGAAUCAAACUCGCUGGAUGAAGAGGUUGGUUGUUGGUUCCAUGAUGACACCUGAAUAUAAUGGAUGGUUUAGAAAAAGAGUCAAUGACAAUAUUCCUAGACCAAGUGUAGAAAGCACCAGACCAAUGGGGGAACAAUUACAAGUUACCCCGUCAGAGUUGGAAAUUAUAAAGCAAGACUUCGAGAAGAAGAGUUCUGAGCUUGGGAAAAAGAUCGACAAUUGGAGAAAGAAAAGGUGCAUCUGAGGUUAGACAUUGAUGUUCAGAGGUCAGAAGCUAAAAAGUUAAGAAAAGGAAAAAGUAAGGCCGAAGAAGAUCUAGACAGUUUGAAGAUAGAUUAUAAGAAGUUACGCCUGUCUAUGAGGGCUGCUGGGUCAGGUAAAACAUCAGAACAAUGGCACCAGAAAAUUCAAGAGGAAAGACCAAAGCCGACCGAUGGGAAAGGAAAUUUCGAGAAGCUCAUACACGAAAUAAGGAUUUAGAAAAGAGUCUGUCCGAAAGUAGAAAUGAACGAGAUGAACUAAAGGCUAGAAUGGCGGAACUUGAGAAAUCUCUUUAUUUGUACCGAAGCCCUAAUACCGCAAUAGAGUUAAGAGUAAGCUUGAGCAAGGUAGAAGAAAUAAAGGGAAAAAUCGAAGAAUUAGAAGCAUUUUUACAAAACUGUGAGAUGCAGAUUGAGUUUUUCGAAGCAAGUGAGGAGCGUUGGAAGGAAUUGCUUCACCAUUCGCAAGACCAAGUCAAAAAUAGAGAUUACAUUAUGGGAGAAGCCAUAACCCAGAUUCGGGAGGUAGCCGAUUACUUGUAAGCUUUGGCAGUACAAGCAGACAUACUAGGCGUGAAAUACGAGUUGGAGUCGGAUCGGGGGCAUGAGCUAGCCUCAUUGUUUAAGAAAAUUAAGGCUCUGAGCAUUAGGACGAAGUCUUAUUUGUAACUCAGUUUUAUGUAAAGACUUUUAUUUUCUAGUAAAGUUUUCUAAAUGGAAUUGAAUCUAAAUUGAUGUCUCCUUUGCAUUCAUGCAUUGGCAUUAUAUUACAUCAUAUGCAUUAAAGGCCAUAAAAAGAUUUUAAUUAAUUAAAAACGUUUCAGUAAUCUGGAAACUGACGAAAAUAUCUCAAGUGCACAUCCCUACAGUACAAGAAGAAAAACUAAAGCAAUGGAUAAAAAAUUAGAAAGACUAAAACAAAUGCAGAAAGAGAUGCAGGAGUAGAUGCAAGCACAAGUGCAAGAACAGUUAGCUAAAAUCCAGCAGGAAAUGAAGGACUAAAUGCUGGAAUCACAAAGAAGCAUGAUGAAAGAGCUAACCCGACUACUGACUAGUAGGACGGACAAAGGAAAGAGCCCUAUGAUCAAUAUUGGAAAUAACAAUGAAGAUUUCCUUUACCCCCUGGUUUUACCCCAGCAAACGCUCAAACACAACAUGAGAUACACACGCAGAGGCCAUCCGUUACUGAGGAUCCUCUCUACCCCCUGGUUUCACCUCGAUGAAUACUCAAACGCAACCCAAACUGCACACGUGAAGGCCGUCCAUUACAAUUAGGCCCCAACAAUUCCAUGUCGAUACCUCGACGCUGAUGAAUUAUCAGGCUGGCUCAGGCUCUAAUCCGGGGGAUAACCCGACUAACCCCGUUGUCCCCAAUCUUAAUGAUGUAAUAGAAGCAGAAUAGACAAGGGUAGAGCUUCCGAAGGAACUUGAAAAACGGUGUAGAUGGUUGGAAGAAAAUUUUAAAGAAAUAGAAAACGGUGACUAUCGUGGUGGAAUCGAUGCUAAGGAAUUAAGCUUGAUUCCAAACUUGGUGCUUCCCCCUAAGUUUAAAACUUCGGAAUUUGAAAAAUAUAACGGGACUAGCUGUCCCGAAGCUCACCUCACCAUGUUCUGCAGACGAAUGGCAGGCUAUGUCAAUAAUGACCAACUAUUGAUUCACUGUUUCCAAGAAAGUCUGGUUGGGGCAGCAUCUAAAUGGUACAACCAAUUGAGUCGUACCCAGAUCAAUUUAUGGAAGGAUCUAGCACAGGCUUUCAUGAAGCAGUACAGUCACGUGACAGAUAUGGCCCCUGAUAGAAUCACGUUACAAAACAUGGAGAAGAAACAAAAUGAGAGCUUCAGGCAGUACGCCCAAAGAUAGAGAGAGAUGGCGACGCAAGUCCAACCACAUCUUCUGGAGAAAGAAAUAACCAUGCUCUUUAUCAAUACAUUGAAGGCUCCAUUCAUCAACCACAUGUUAGGGAGAGUUACUAAAAGUUUCUCAGGCAUAGUAAUGUCUGGAGAGAUGAUAGAAAAUGCAAUAAGAUGUGGGAAGAUUGAAGCAGGGGAAAGUGCUAAGAAAUCAGCCUCGAGAAGGAAAUGAAAUGAGGUGAAUAACACGAACUGUAUAAUAAGCCAGUCACCGUGAGCCAACCGAGGACGGUGACUACCAGCCAUCAGGGCUCCGCAAGACAAGACUCCAACCCAAAUCCUAACAAGGAAAGAGUCCAGUUUACGCCUAUCCCGAUGUCCUACAGAGAAUUGUAUCAGAGCUUAUUCGAUGCCCAUAUGGUGUCACCCUUCUAUCUAAAGCCAAUACAACCCCCAUUCCCCAAAUGGUAUGACACAAACGCCCAAUACAAAUACCAUGCAGGAGCCACAAACACUUGAUAGAAAACUGCACCACUUUCAAGAAACUGGUUGAAAGAUUCAUCAACAUGGGCAUCGUGAAAUUUGAUUAUACAUCUAGUGCAGAGAAUCCAUUACCUAACCAUGGGGAUAAGGUGAUAAAUGCGAUAAUCGAGAGUUCAGGGAAAGAAAUUAAGAUGAAUAUCACAGAAGUGAAUACCCCAUUGAAAAAAGUAUAGAAGAAAAUGGUGGAAAAAUGGUUGAUGACACAGAUUCAAGGAAUAGACACCGAGAAGCAAAGAAUUAUUGCGAGUUCCAGAAUCAAGAGGACCAUGAGAUUUAGAAAUGCAGCGAAUUCAGGGCUCUAGUACAAGGAUUGAUGGAUAAUAAGGAGCUAGAAUUCCUUGAGUAUGUCGGGAACCCAAAAGGAACAGACUUGUGUGCCUUAGAAGAGGGGUCGACGAAGAAUGCUUAUGAAGUCAACCACCCAGUGGUUAUCAUAUCACGUCCGAGAAUUAAUGAAGCCGGGGCACAAGUUGCACCAAAAGUCGUAAUCCAGAAGCUCGUUGCUUUCCCUUAUAAAGAUAGCAGAAGGGUACCUUGGAAUUAUAGCUGUAAUGUGACAAUCCCAGGGGAAGAGAGUGCGACUAGUACUUCAAAGAAGAACCAAGAUAUAGGUUUCUAUACACACAGUGGGAGACGUUCUGAUCCUGCGGGUACAAAAAUUGAAACCGUUAAAAAAAAGGCCCCAAUAGUUGAGCAAAAGAAUGAGAAGACGGUCAGGUUUGAAUCGCCAGUCAAUGAGUCAGUAACCGAGAAUGAAGCUAGGGAAUUCCUAAAAUUUUUAAAGCAUAGUGAGUACAGCAUUGUUGAACAUCUACACAAGCAACUGGCUCGCAUCUCAGUACUAGCCUUACUCUUGAGCUCGGAGACGCAUCGGAGCUCGUUAAUGAAAGUGCUGAACGAGACUUAUGUCACGAAUGACAUCUCUAUCAACAAACUGGAUCGUCUGGUCAACAACAUCAGCACCGAUAAUUUUAUUUUCUUUAACGAUGAUGAAAUACCACCGGGAGGUAUGGAGUCCACAAAGGCUCUGCACAUUACUACACGUUGCAAGGGAUACACGUUGCCAGGGGUCUUGAUUGAUAAUGGAUCGGCACUAAACGUCCUACCCCUAUCCACAUUGAAUAGGCUGCCCGUGGAUAAUUCCCAUAUGAAAACAUGCCAAAAUGUAGUAAGAGAGUUUGAUGGUACCGAAAGGAAAGUAACGGGGAGGAUCAAAAUACCCCUUAUAAUCGGCCCUAACACGUACGAGGCAGAUUUCUUUGUAAUGGACAUCAAGCCCUCUUACAAUUGCUUAUUGGGAAGGCCAUGGAUUCACUCAGCGGGGGCAGUGCCGUCAUCGUUACAUCAAAAGCUCAAAUUUAUAACGGAAGGUCGAUUGGUGACCAUAAACGCGGAAGAAGAUAUCAUUGCAUCCGUUACCAGCAAUGCACCGUAUGUGGGGCUAGAUGAUGAAGCCAUAGAAUGUUCUUUCAGUCGUUAGAAUUUGUAAAUGCGACCUUUGUUGUCGAAGGAAAUAAGGUCUCGACGCUUAGAAUCUCCAAAACUACAAGCAUGGGCCUACAACUGACUAUUGGGAAAGGAGCUUUGCUAGGAAAAGGGCUUGGAAGAAACCUACAAUGAAGGGUCAAGGCACCUAUGCUCAUAGACAAACGAGACCGCUUUGGCUUAGGAUUCAAACCAGAUGCGAAACAAAAGAAAAAGGUGCAAGAGAAGAAACAAGAAAGGAGAAGAGCGUGUUUAAGCGGGGAAGAGGUUAAGUGGGAGCCGAUGACCUUUCCUCACAUAUCCAGAAAUUCGUGUCGAGAGGAACUAUUUACUCCGAAGGAAGAUUGACAAGGAAAUGGUCUGCCGAAAAAAUGUUAGAAAACUUAAGCAUUAACGCCACAUACGAAGAAGGAACUGGAAAAUUUGUCUGGCAUUCGCCCUUAUGAGCCGGAAAGUGUUCUGAAUAAUUGGAUUGCGGAAGAGAUUCCUGUAGUGUAACACCCCUAUCCCGUAUCCGUCGCCAGAAUAGGUGAAGGGGCAUUACCAGACUUGAAACUCAUAUCAGAACAGUAAAAUUUUUUUUAGAACAUUCCUUUAGAUAAAUACUAAAGACAACCAGGGAUACAAAUUUAAACUUCUAUAAGUACACAUUCAAAAGAUGCCAUUUUCGCAUGGCUUAUAUACAUUAACCAAAAUAUUCUUCGGCCACUGGUCUAUUCUAUACAUGCCAUAAAAUAAUCCAAAACAUAACAGUAACAAGCAGUGGAUAGUGAUAGUGUGACUAGUUGCUGACGAUCCCCGAGUCUAUAGCUUCCAAAUGAGAUCUAUAAAACAGAGGAAACAAAGUAAACGGAGUAAGCAUUACAAUGCUUAGUAAGUUUUAAGCAGUGUCAACAGAUAACAAUCAAAUUAUAGCAUAGUUGUUCAUAUUUUUAUUUCACUCUUCCUUCGGGCAUACCAUCCCUUUACCGAAUAUGCACAUCUCAUCAUAUACAAUAGGCAGAUAAACUUUCACAUAAAAGUGAGCUCAUGAGACAUAGAUAUAUUGUAUAGUUUCACAUAACCUUUCACACUGAUCCGACGCCACAUAAUCAUAGGAAUAGUCUAUAGAUUUCUCACGUAUGCAUCACAUAACUACCUUAUGAUUUAGUUCAAAUCAAGCUCACAUAUAAACUCAGAGUACAUACCUGUUUAACCUUUCGCAUUGAAAAUAUUUAUAAGCAAUUCUUAUUGCGAUGUCUUAUAGCUUUAAACUCUACUCGGAUUAUCGGCGAGACCUUUAGCUCAAAUGAAAUCUCCACAUGAAGUCAGCGGGUUUUAACCCAGACAUAGUCACCACAUAUAGUCAUCUGGUCUUUAAUCCCGGGUUUACAUCACAGAGUUUCAUGCAUAUUUAUUCACAUGUUACAACAUUCACAUCGACUAUCAUAUUUGUAAUUCAUUUACCUCAUCAAAUAUCUAAUAAAACACACCUUCCACCGUUUAUCAUUUGGCCACAAUAUAUAUAUAUACAUCUCAUACAUAUCUCACAUUAGCCAUUUGGCUUUACCACAUAUCCAUCUCAUACACAUUUCGCAUUAGCCAUUCAGCUUUACCACAUAUAUACACUUCCACGUUCAUCACAUUGGCCAUUCUGCCUUAACACAUAUAUGCAUGUUCACAUUCAUCACAUUGGCCAUUCGGCCUUAUCACAUAUAUGCAUGUUCAUAUUCAUCACAUUGACCAUUCGGCCUUAUCACACAUAUGCAUGUUCACAUUCAUCACAUUGACCAUUCGGCCUUAUCACACAUAUGCAUGUUCACAUUCAUCACAUUGGCCAUUUGGCAUUAUCUCAUAUAUGCAUGUUCACAUUCAUCACAUUUGCCAUUCGGCCUUAUCUCAUAUAUACACAUUCACAUUCAUCACAUAAAAUCCUAAAUCAAAAUAUAAAUUUUCAUGUACUCACAUCACAAUUAUCCAAAUAUACUUCACAUACCACAUAUACUUUCAUGUAUACACACUGUCUUGACUGAAUCUACAUCUAUCAUUUUCCAAUGAAUAAUUCAAUUUCAAGCCAUACUAUCAUUUCAUAUUCGAAUACUUAUAAACUUACAAUUUCACAAAUUUUAAUAUCAAAGAUCCAUCUAACACUCAUAUAUCAUUUUAUAAUAUCACAAUUUAGAAUUCACGUAUGGGUUUAAUCAAUAGCUUAUGAGCAACUAAAACAAGUUUUAUCCAUGUUUACAACGUAACCACAAAUUCUCUACAAGCUAUUUUCCUGAGCAACAGUCGUCAAAUUAUUUGUAACUGGGGCUACCAAAUUCCAAAUUAUGUGCCGUUAAUUUUCCAUGGAAAUAGACUCGUAUAUCCUAUAUCCACAAAAUUUUUAGAAUUUUUGGUUUGGCCAAUCAAUACCAAUUUUUCUUAAAGUUUCCCCUAUUUUACUGCUUGACUACUCUGACUACUCUUCACUAAGAAUUUAAUUUCUCAUUGUACAGAAUUUGAAAUAUGUUUUCGUUUAUUUUGUUUGAAACUAGACUCAUUAAGGAGUCUAAGCAUAUAAUUUUAUCUUAUAAUCAUUUUUGUACGAUUUAUAAUGAUUUUCCAAAUACUGAACAGGGGAUUUCGGGGCCAUUCAGACUCUAUCUCACACAACUUUGAAAAUCUCAUUAUCGGCAACCCCUUUACUUACACGAUUUCUUUUAUACGAAACUAGACGCAUCAAGCUUUAAUUACAUAAUUUAUUCAGCCUUUAACUCAACUCCCACAAUUUAUGGUAAUUUUUCCAAAACACGCUACUGCUGCUGUCCCUAGCUGAUUUAUACAAUUUACUCUGUAAAGUUCUCAUUCACAUAUUUAAAACAUAAUAUCAUAUAUGCCGUCAUUUAGAAAAUUCAUUGACCUUAACGUAUAUACAUAAUUCAUAUUCAUCUCAUUUUAAAACUUAAAACUUACAAAGGAAUCAAACUCAAUUACUUAAGAACUUACUUUAUUUAUUUGAGCAACUGCGGAUAGGCUACUCGACGGCUUUCUCUUUCCCCUUAUCUAAUUUAGAUCCUCUUUGCUCAUGAGCUCAUUCUAGCCAUCUUCUAAGCCAAAAAUCAAAGCAACCAAACUUUCUUCUCCCUCCCUUUAGGCUACGGCAAUGGAGGACAAGGAUGAACCAACUUUGGUUUCUCCUCCCACUAACUAUUAUCUAAUAUCUCUUUUUUUUCUUUUAUUAAUUCAUUUGUAAUAUAAUAUCUUAAAUCAAAAUACAUAUUAUAUAUAUAACACCAUAUCAUGACCGGCCACCAUCUCAAAAGUGGGUAAUUUGACAUGCAAGCCCCCAUUUUUGAAUACAUGUUCUAUUAGAUUACUUUAUAUAUUUACCUAACCUAUUUUACCAAUGUUUCACAUAAGUCCCGUUUCAAAAUUUCACAUACAAAUGGCAAAAUUAAUGCUUGAAAUUUUUACACAUGCAUUUACUCACAUCAUGAACAUAGAAUAUAACUUUCAAUUAUUUAUAAAAAUCGGUUUCGUGGUCCCGAAACCACUUUUCGACUAGGGUCUACUUAGGACUGUCACAUGUAGUCUUUAGAACUAACACAGAGUAAUGCCCAAAACACACCUAUUACUCUAGGCCUAGGAGUAAUAAGUGUCCUUUUGUGAAAUAGGCUUAUGUUCAAAAUCGUUAUUUCAAUGAAAUGCAUCCUUUUGUCUUAUUCUGUGCAAAUAUUCUUUUAUUCUUUCAUUCAUGAUCAUACAAUACACAUCAUUGUUCUUAGAUUCUUUUGUUCUUUGCAUCUUUUUUCACACCUACAACAGGUCUCCAGAUAUCAACGAUAUGAGCGACAUUGCUACUAACUCAGAGUCUCCUUUUGAGUGGGAUAUGUGUUUAGAGGGAUCUCAGGACUUUGAAGAUGACAGAGACUGUAACUUAUCCCUUGAUUUGUUAAGGAUGGUAUAACAAGAAGAGAAAAAGAUUCUACCUCACAAAGAGUCAGUAGAAGUCGUGAACUUGGGAGAUGAACUAGAAAGGAAAGAGGUAAAGAUCGGAGCUUGCAUUACUAUAGAGACAAAGUGGGACCUUAUUGAGUUACUCCAAGAGUUCAAGGAUGUCUUUGCAUGGUCGUAUCAAGAUAUGCCUGGGUUAAGUACUGACAUUGUGGUACACAGGCUCCCCAUUAAAAAAGAAUGUAAGCCAGUUCAACAGAAGCUCCGAAGGAUGAGGCCAAAUGUUUUGUUGAAAAUAAAAUAGGAGGUCAAGAAGCAAUUCGAUGCUGGUUUCUUACAAGUAUUUAAGUACUAGGAAUGGGUAGCUAAUAUCGUCCCCGUCCUUAAAAAACCAGCCCGAAGGAUAAUUUCUCGUUGCCUCAUAUUGACACCUUAGUGGACAACACGACAGGUUACUCACUAUUUUCCUUCAUGGAUGGUUUCUCAGGAUACAAUCAGAUCAAGAUGCAUCCUGAAGACAUGAAUAAAACCACAUUUGUAACCAUGUGGGGAACCUUUGAUGCCGUUCAGAUUAAAAAUGCGGGAGCAACAUAUUAGAGAGCCAUGGUAACCCUGUUCCAUGAUAUGAUGCACAAAGAAAUUGAAGUCUAUGUCGACGACAUGAUCGCCAAAUCCUGGACAGAAGAAGAGCAUGUGCAAGUCUUGAGGAAAUUAUUUUUAAGGUUGAUGAAGUUCCAACUGAAACUCAAUCCAGUAAAAUGUACCUUUGGGGCCAGGUCAGGGAAACUGUUAGGAUUCAUAGUCAGUGAAAAAGGGAUUGAGAUUGACCCAGAUAAAGUCAAAGCCAUACAAGAGUUACCUUCGCCGCGUACUCAAAAGGAAGUUUGGGGAUUCUUAGGGAGACUAAAUUACAUCGCUCAAUUCAUUUCACAACUCACCGAGAAAUGUGACCCCAUAUUUCGUCUCCUUAAGAAACAUAACCCUGGUGUUUGGGAUGCGGAGUGCCAGAAAACUUUUAACAAGGUUAAGCAAUACUUGUCCAAUGCCCCAGUGUUGACACCACUUAGUCCAGGUAAGCCACUGAUACUGUAUUUGGCAGUAUUUGAAAAUUCUAUGGGAUGUGUACUUGGCCAGCACGAUGAGUCAGGAAGGAAAGAAAGAGUGAUAUAUUACCUCAGUAAGAAGUUCACUGAGUGUAAGACGAGAUACUCACCAAUUGAAAAGCUGUGUUGUGCCUUAAUCUGGACAACCUAAAGAUUGAGACAAUACAUGUUGUACCACACAACUUGGCUAAUUUCUAAACUAGAUCCUCUGAAGUAUUUGAUGGAGUCAACUGCUUUAAAUGGAAGAAUGGCCCGAUGGAAAAUUCUACUUUCCAAAUUUGAUAUCGCCUAUGUAAACCAGAAAGCUGUAAAAGGGAGUGCAAUAGUAGAUUUUCUAGCCAGUAGAGUUCUAGAAGACUACGAGCCUCUGAACUUUGAUUUCUCAAAUGAAGAUCUGGUGUACAUGGCAACCACUGAAGAAGACCCUCAAGAAGGACAUACUUGGAAGCUAAACUUCGACGGAGCAUCAAAUGCUGUGGGUAACAAAAUUGGGGCAGUCUUGGUAUCCCCAAACGGGGAUCAUUAUCCCUUCACUAGUAAAUUGGAUUUUGACUGCACGAACAAUAUGGCAGAAUACGAAGCAUGCAUCUUGGGCAUCCGUGUAGCUAUAGAAAGCAAGAUUAAAGCACUAGAAGUAUAUUGAGAAUCUGUACUAGUGAUUUAUCAACUCAAAGGUGAAUGGGAGAUGAGAGAUCCCAAGUUGAUAAAUUACCGAAGUCUGGUCCUUGAAUUAAUUAAAGAAUUUAAUGAUAUCGUCUUCUGCUAUCUCCCUCAAGAAGAAAUCAGAUGGCCGACGCCCUAGCAACUUUAGCUUCCAUGAUCAAGGUGAACAAACAAGAAGAUGUGAAACCGAUCCAAAAUGAGUAUUUACGAGGCUACAGCUCAUUGUUACAACCUCGAAGAAGAAGCAGAAAAUGAUGAUAACCCUUGGUACCACGAUAUCCUGCGAUAUGUGAAGAAUCACGAGUGCCCCGACCAAGCUACUAAGAACGACAAAAGAACGUUGAGAAGACUGGCCAGUGACAAUGUCUUGGAUAGAGAGAUCCUAUACAUAAAAAGGAAGGAUCAGGUACUGUUAAGAUGUGUAGAUGCUAUUUAGGCUAAGAAAAUCUUGGAAGAAGUCCAUGAGGGCAUCUGUAGGACACACGCUAAUGGCUUUACAAUGGCCAGGCAAAUUAUGAGGUUUGGUUAUUAUUGGUCCACCAUGGAAGGAGAUUGUAUUAACUACGCCAAAAGAUGUCAUAAGUACCAAAUUUAUGGAGACAAGAUUAAUGUUCCUCAUUCACCUCUGCAUGUUAUGACUUCUCCAUGGCCUUUCUCGAUGUGGGGCAUGGAUGUGAUUGGUCCAAUUUCACCAAAAGCUUCAAAUGGGCAUCGAUUCAUCUUUGUGGUCAUCGAUUAUUUCACCAAGUGGCUGGAGGCCGCUUCAUAUGCCAAUGUUACAAAAUCGGCAGUUAGCAAAUUCCUGAAAAAGGAAAUUAUUUAUCGAUAUGGAGUGCCAGAAAAGAUCAUAUCUGACAAUGCAUUGAAUUUGAACAACAGUACAAUAGCAGAGGUCUACAGUCAGUUCAAGAUCAGACACCACAACUCGUCACCAUAUCGCCCGAAGAUGAACGGUGUAGUCGAAGCAGCCAAUAAGAACAUUAAGAAGAUUUUGGGAAAGAUGACUGAAACUUAUAAAGAUUGAAAUGAGAAGUUACCGUUCGCCCUUUAUGCUUAUCGAACGCCCAUCAGAAGCUCUACUGGGGCAAUGCCUUUCUCAUUGGUCUAUAGAAUGGAGGCGGUUUUACCCAUCGAGGUCAAGAUUCCUUCCCUCGGAGUUUUGUCAAAGGUAAAGCUGGAUGAGGUAGAAUUGAUCCAGUCCCGAUACAAUCAGUUGAAUUUGAUUGAAGAAAAGAGGCUAAGGACUAUCCGUCAUAGUCAAAUGUACCAAAAACGGAUGAAGCGAGCUUACAACAAAAAGGUUCAUCCUAGAGAAUUCCAUGAAGGAGACUUAGUAUUAAAAAAUAUUCUGCCUAUACAAAAUGACUUCAGAGGAAAAUGAAUACCAAAUUGGGAAGGACCUUAUGUGGUGAAGAAGGCCUUUUCUGGAGAAGCGUUGAUAUUGACCGAAAUGGAUGGCAAGACUUUACCUAAUCCUGUAAAUUAAGAUUCAGUUAAAAAAUACUUCACCUAAAAAAAAAAGAAGAGGCCAAUGUGUAAACUCACAAAGAGCACUUUGAGACCAAAGGGAUUUUGAAUUGAAAACCCGUAAAGGGCGAUUCAAGCUUUGAUCAAAGGUGGGGCAUGCGGUACUCUUACAAUAUCUGAAUUAGUAAGGAGGAGAGAUGUUACAUCUUGGGGCAUCAAUAAGAGUACUUUAAGUUCCUUAAACACAUAUUUGGCUCAAAAAGGGGGUCCUCAAGAAGUUCGUACAGAGAAGCUCAUGCUGCGAUAUAUGGGGCACCUAUUUUCCUUUUAUUUAUUUUGUAUUCCAGCAAUAUUUUCUUUCUGUGAUUAAUCUAUUCCUUUUAAAUUUUGUUUUUGAUAAAUUUCAGUUCUGCCCAUUGUUACGAUCUUUCUCAAGCAUUCUGCAUUGAAAUAACGAUUAAUGAACUAGUGAAACUUUCGCAAAAGGAGUUUUGUAUAUCACUCUGAAAGUUUCUAAAUAGUACAGGAACCUAACACAGGACUAUUAAUUAGAACUAAUCAAACCUAAGGAUUAGGGAUAUUUGAGAAAGAAGAGUUUAAUUUGGGACUACUUCUUUGGGUUUUUAGUCCAAAAUCUGAGCUGAACAAGAAGAUAGGAUACCGUUUUAGUGACAAAACCUUGAUGAACAAAGAGCAAUGGCAACCAAAACAUUAAAAAGAGAUCAUUCUCAUAAUAUGCUGCACUCAUGCAUUUAUAGAUCAUUCAUGACACCUAUUUAGGAGCAUUCUGAUUCAUAUCGGUCAUAACAUCCUAAUUAUUUGGCAUAAGCAUAGACAUAUGAAAUCGAUUCUACAGGUCAUGUCCCUAGAUCGGUGAAUUGACAAGCCUUAACCCCCUAAGUAGCAGGGUAACAGGCUGAAGAUUAUAGACAUUGUCUCCCUAAGCAGUAGUGAAGCAGAUCGAAGACGAUGGACCUUAACCCCCUAAGCAGUAGGGUAAUAGGCUAAAUUUAUAGAUCUUAUGACCCUAAGCAGUAGGGAAAUAGAUCAAAGACAACGGGCCUUAACCCCCUAAACAUAGGGUAAUAGGCUAAAAAUUACAGAUCUUAUCACCCUAAGCAGUAGGGAAAUAGAUCGAAGACGACAGGCCUUAACCUCCUAAGCAAUAGCGUAACAGGCUGAAAAUUACAGAUUUUAUCACCCCAAGCAGUAGGGAAACAGAUCAAAGACGACGGGCCUUAACCCCCUAAACAGUAGGGUAACAAGCUGAAUUGACAGAUCUUAUCACCCUAAGUAGUAGGAAAACAGAUCGAAGGUGGUGAACCUUAACCCCCUAAGCAGUAGGGUAACAGGUUGAAUUGACAGAUCUUAUCACCCUAAGCAGUAGGGAAACAGAUCGAAGGUGAUGGGCCUUAACCCCCUAAGUAGUAGGGUAGCAGGCUGAAUUGACAAAUCUUAUCACCCUAAGCAAUAGGGAAACAGAUCGAAGGUGGUGAGCCUUAACCCCCUAAGCAGUAGGGUAACAAGCUGAAUUGACAAAUCUUAUCACCCUAAGCAGUAGGGAAACAGAUCGACGGUGAUGGGCCUUAACCCCCUAAGUAGUAGGGUAACAGGCUGAAUUUACAGAUUUUAUCACCUUAAGCAGUAGGGAAACAAAUCGAAGGUGGUGAGCCUUAACCCCCUAAGUAAUAGGGUAAUAGGCUAAAUUACAGAUCUUAUCACCCUAAGCAGUACGGGAACGGAUCAAAGAUGAGGAGUCUUAACCCCUUAAGCAGUAGGGUAACAGGCUGGAAAUUCAUAGAUUUUAUCUCCUUAAGCAGUAGGGCAACAGGCUGAAAAUUACAAGUCUUAUCUCCUUGAAGUUGCAGUGGAGCAGACUGAAGAUAGCAAGUCUUAUCUCCUUGAAGUUACGUUGGAGUAGACUGAAGAUAGCAAAUAUUAUCUCUCUGAAGUUACAGUAGAGCAGAUCUUCUUGAAGUUUCAGCGGAGUAGAUUGAAGCUACAAGUAGUCGCAGUGGAGCAGACUGAAGAUAGCGAAUCUUAUUUCCAUGAAGUUGCGGCGGAAAGGAUCAAAGCAAAAGAUGCAGUGGACUAGAAUGAAGCUACUUUAAGAAGAGGAUCACCAAAUAAGUCAAGACUCGGCGAGACCAAAAAAAAUUGGUCUUUCUUGAAAGUCUUUGCUCUGUUCUCCUUACACGACAACGAGUAAAGAGGGGUAGCUGUACACACCAAUUUUGCCGAGGCCCAUUUUAACCUAAACCUACCCCAACCCAAACAAAGGCUAAACCUACCCAACAGCCCAAAACUAAACAGAUCAUAACCCACUUACAUCAGCCCACUACCUAAACAAAUUGUGGCAGAAAUCAGAAAACCCUAGCCCUCCUAGCCACCAUUUCUGUCCCAUCGCCCAUGCCAGUCGGCCACCUACUCGACUGCCUUGUCUCCCACUUGCACCUGCAAAUUAAACAGAGAAUAGACAAGUAUUAAUAAAAAAAAAGAUGUAAAUUGGCUUUAAAAAAGGCCAAGCCAAAUCCAUUUGUAAGUUCAGUAUUUUUUUUAAUGAAAAGCACUCGAUCUUUCUUAAAAUCAAGAGAAAAAUAGUGACUUUAACAACACUAAAGUAGAGGAAUAGUCUCAAAUCAGAGAACUAAAUACCAAAAAAAUCAAAACCGAAAAACCUAAGGUGACUCUUUUUUUUUCCUUUCUUUUCUUUCUAUUUUUGAAUCUAGUCCCUUACAUAUUUACACAUAUUAAAAGCCUAUCAAAAAAUACCAAAAAAAGGGGUACCUUUUGCACGCGGUGGCUGGCGACAGUGGCCGACGGUGACAUACUACAGCCUGCUCGCCGAAUUUUGGCUCUGACUAGAAGGCGAGAGAGAGGGAGUGAGAGAGCUUCUAAGAUUUUUUUUAAAUGAUGGCAAAAUGAGUUUUUUUGUCACAAAUAAGCCUUUUAUAUUGUAAGAAAAAUGACGUCGUUUCACUUGGGGGCUAUAGCACCCAAAACGGUGCCGUUUGGCAUGGCUGACCCGUGACUCGACCCGAUCGCCCCUGGGAUCCGCGUGUUUCUGCGGAGAGGGGAUAAUUGCGCACUAAGUCAUCCUUUUUUACACAGGCAUUCAAUUACGCAUUGCUUGUUUUAUUUCAUUUUAGAAUUUAGCCCUGUAAUUUGAGCAUGUGUGCAUUUUGGUCUGUGCCUCAACGCAGCGUUUUGGGAUCUAGAAUAUUUCCAGAUUUGAUCCCUGUGCGUUAACACACGUUGCGCGUUGGUCCUUCUUUCGAAUUUCAUUAGUUUAUUUUAUUUAUAAAUUAUCCUUUUAUUUUUAUUCAAUUUUAAUUUAGUCUUCUAUUUAAUAUAAUUUACCAUUUUAAAAUCCAUUUAAUAUUUUUAUAUAUUAGUUUAUUUUGAUAAUUUUGCUUUGUUUUAUUUGAACAAUUAUUGUGAAGUUUCUUCUAUUAUAUUAUUUACACAUUUUGUAAUGACUCAUUUAAAUAUUUUUUGUAUAUAUUUGUACAUAUAUUAUUUUAAUGGCUAAAUUGUUGUUUUAAAGUUCCUUUUGUGCUUAUAAAAUUAUUGUUUUGAAAUUCUUUAUAUUGUAUUAUUAUAUUAUAUAGUAUCUCAUUCAAACAUUUUUGUAUAUAUUUGUGCGUAUAUAGCAAAAUUAAUUUGAUCAUGUAUGUAUUUCCUUUUUAUUUUAAAUUUAUUUAUAUAUAUAUAAUUUCCAAAUCUAAUACGUUCCUAAACUUAUAUUUCAUUAUACAUUUUACUAUCUUUGUAUAUUUUAUACAUAAUUCAAAUUCUCCUUUAUUGUAUGUAAAUUGUGAAUUUUAAACCAAUAUUCUUUAACACUUCGUAUAUUACUCGAUUUAAAAAUAUUCAUUCUAUAACAUAUAUUUUAAAUGAUUACAUAUGUAUCUCUAGUUUUUUUUAUCAAAUCGUUUCGUGUGUUAUAUAUUACGUGUUUAUCAUUAUAUUAAUUUUGUUUUAUACCAUAUUGUUCUUUUAAUUUUCAUUUUGUUUUGUAUAUCUCGUAUUGAUUAUGUUAUAUUGGGCUUUGUAUAUUAUUGUGGCAUAUUAUUGUGUGUAUUGUUUUGUUUGUUUUGUUGAGAUGUAUUGUUAUAUUAUUAUUUUUGUUCUGUAUUGUUAUAUCAAUUAUUCCCUGUACAUGAUGGAAAUUGGGUUAUAUAUUUUUAAGUUAGUUAUAUUUAAUUGUUUAUUUUAUUAGUUGAUUAUAUAAGGCUACAUUAUCUUCAUUCAUCAAGUAUUAUGUCUUAUGCGUGUAUUGUAUCAUGAUCAUUGUUUUCCUUUUGGUUUACGAAAUGUUGUUUUAUAAGGUCCAACUCUUCAAGAUUAAUUCUUCCAUUUUAUUUUAAACCAAAAUCAAUGCGUUUUAAGCUGGCUUUACAAUUGUUCGUUUGAAAAUUCCUUAAGACGAAGGCAAUAUUUGAUGCUCGGAAAUUCGGAGAAUCGUGCCCUAUCGUGCUGGGUUUCGAUUUCCCGUUUGUUCAAAAUAAUCGAAUAUUCAUUUAGAACUUCACUCGUUUUUUCUAAAUUCUGAAACAAGGCAAUGUUUGAUAUUUUGAAAUUCGGGAAAUCGUGCUCUAUCAUGCUGGGUUUCGAUUUCUCGUUUGUUCAAAAUAAUCGAAUAUUCCUUUAGAAUUUCAUUCGUUUUCUUUAAAUUCUAAAACAAACCAAUGUUCAAUGUUUGGAAGUUCGAGGAAUCGUGCCCUACUGUGCUGGGUUUCGGUUUUUCGUUGGACUAAAUAAUUGGACAUCCUUUUGUAAUUUUCAAUGUAUAAAUUUUUGGAAGCCAAAAAUUUAUUGUGUUCUCAAGGGAAUGAAGUAUCGUGUCUUAUCGUGUUGGAUAUGAUGCUGCAUUCCUUUGAAACAAGAGAAUUUUGACGACCAACUUGAGCUAUUCAAAUUUUUUAAAGAAUCAUAUUUCAAAAAUAGCUUCAAAUCUCAGACAUAAGGACAGUACUUAAUCAAUUUGGUACCAAUUUUGGGCGUGGUGAGAGUGCUAAUCCUUCCUCACACGUAACCGGCUCCUGAACCCGUUUUCUCAAAUUUACGUAGGCCAAAAUUGAUUUAAAUGAAAUAAAAUGUUUUAUCAGGUGAACCAAUCACACCUAAACAAAAGAUUGGUGGCGACUCCAUGUUUUGUUUUCAAAAAGUCGAUCCCCGUUUUUAGAACAAAAAUGGUUUCGACAAUUGAGUUCUAAUCAAAUUCUAAUUAAUGAUGGGGUAAUUAGAAUUUGAUUAGAACUAAUAUGCCAAGGUUAUAAAUAUUAGGGUUAAGGUCCCCAAAUUAUACACGAAAUAUCUUUUCUAAUAUCCCAUCAUUAGGAAAGAGAGAGUAAAUAUUCUCUGAAUUUCUUGUGUGCUAAUUUGAAAGAUCAAAUUCCCGAUAUCAGGAAAAAUUUCAAGGAAUUCAUGGAUUCAGGUACAUUUUCGCAUCUAGUUUUAUUCUUGAUGAUUUGAUAUGAUAAAUCCUAGUUUAUUCAAUUUUAUUUUAGAUUUAUUUUACAAAUCUAAUAUAUUGAAGAUGGAAUGCUCGUUUCGAGGUUGUUCUUGCUCAAAUUCAAGUUGAAUAACUUGAAGCAAUUUCCAAGAUCAUCAAGAAUAGGCCCAUUAAAAUUAUUUGAUGUCAAGUCAAGUUAUUCUAGUUUUGAAAGAAUAUAAACGUUUUAGAAUGCCUGAAAAAACUAAAAGUCAUGUGUUUACACAGUUUAGGGUGCAAUCCCGUCUAGCUCCUGUGGGUCACUCUGAUUUUCCAGUUUUUUCUCAUUUUUCACUCAUUUUGCUCCCAAAUACUCUCCUAAGUAUAAAAACAUGAAUUUAAAAGAUUGUGAGCAUAAAAUUCACUAUUUACAUCGAAUAGUCACCCAAAAAUGCAUUAGAAAUGAGGCUAAAACAUGUUACUUUUAGCACAUAUCAAUGCUAUUUUUCUCAUUAUAUUUAUAGGUAGUUAUUUCCAACUCUUUGAAACUGAAGAGUUUAGCUUUAUCCAGACCACCUUCAUUUAAAGACAGUUUUUUUUUUUUAAAUAAUCCACCAUUUCUUUCAAAGAGUUUUUGUUUGAGUUUAAUGUACUUUCUUCUCUGCAGUAUGUUAUAAAGCUACCAUACCCGACAAUUAGAAACAAAAGCCCUUAAGCGAAUCCCCGCAUGAGAUCCAAAUAAAUAUGUAACUUAAAUGAGUAGCUCCUAAAAUCGUUUAUGUUACCAUUUAAACUACUAUUUGAAAUAAAAAUUAAUUGGACAUGUCUCUUGCUAUUUGAUGUUGUGUAUCUUAUAAAAAAAUAUUGUUUUUAAAGAUGUUGCAAUGCCCUGUUUGAGAACUUAGAUUUGAAAAGUUGGACUUAAAUUUUAAGUAUUAUGUAAAUGCAGACAAAUUAAUUCAGAUUUUAUCUAAUUUAUAUUAGAAAAGAUAAAAAUAAAAAUUUAUCAAAUUCAAAAAUAUUUUAAAGAUUUUGAUGAAUUAUACGAUUGCGUAAAUAAUUAUCAUCCAGGGAGAUGUUGAGAACUUCCAAAAGGGUGCUGCUUAAUAAUGCUUUGGGGGUGUUAAAGUGGUAUUCCAACGAAUGAAAAAGUGGCUGCUAAUGUACCAAAAGGGUAUGGGAUGCUUAUGUUUCCGCAGCUGCUUUGACAUCCAGGUUUUGCUUGGGCUGCUACUGAAGUUGCCAUAAUUGUUACCAUAACUGCAAACACAGCAAGCUCCUUAAACAUACAACCAAACCCCAUCACCGCUCCUAUUUUUUCCCCCCACUCUCUCGGCACAUGUAAAUCUAGAAUAACUUAUAGGAACAGCACGCACGUACCAAGAUUCAAUGCCAUUUUAAGUUGUAGAAUACUAUAGCCGGUACAUGAUUCUUUAUCGCUGUGUUGACUCGUUCUUUUCCCUUUAAAACUUUUCAUUUUUUUUUUAUUUAAAAACUUUUCUUCGAUAUUCAUAAAUAAAAAAAAAGGGCUUAAAUGAAGCUUACAGCAAUUUAAAUUCACCCUUCGAUGGAUAAACAAUGCAUAAAUAAUUGCUUUUAUUUCAUUUAAAAAGCUACAAUUCACUCCAGUAACUUGUUUUGCACUGCAGAUUUAAGUGAUGUACUUGAAUAUGUGUAGUCAACUCAGCCCCAAGUCUUCGUCGUUUUAGUCUGAAAUUUAUUAUUUCGUUCCUCUUUUUUUUUUUAUAAUAAAUAGGGAUAAUGUUUGAUUGGUGGUGAGAGUAUUAAGUCUCGCCAUCAAUCUAUUAUUACUAUUUCAAUAAAUUAUAUUAAAUAUGGAUAAGUUUAUUUAAAUUUUAUAUGUUAAAAAAUCAUUUAAAAAAUGUGAAAAAAAGUAAUUAAAGCAUUCUAUUAAAUUUGCAUUCAAUUGAACCCUUAUCGUUAAUUAAAAUAAUAAGUUAAACUUCUCUAUUAACGGAAUCUGUAGUUAAUCAUGUUGAUCGUUAAAAUAAAUUGGCGUAUCAAUCAAAAUGUAACACACGACAACUUCUAGCCUAAUCUAAUAAUUUUCAUAAAUAUUGAUUAAAUUUUAUAAAAUAUAAAAAAAUAUUAAAUAUUUAAAAUUAUUAAAAUUGACACAAAUUUAAAAAUUAUAAAAACUUAUAAAUAUUAUAAAAAUUCUAAUAAAUUAUAAAACAAUAAAAAUUAUAAAAAGUGAUUUAAACCUCUAAAACCAUAAUAUAUACAUGACAUCACACCAACAGUUGUAUAAUAGGAAUAAUCAUUAGAUUGUUGGGGUCAUUUUCAUAUUAAAUAAAAUGUUGUCAAUAUUUCACAAAUAAAACGAUAAUGGUUAGACCCUCUCCUUUUUAUUGAUGAAUUAAUGUUUUUAUUGAUAAAUAAAAAAGGUUAAAGUUCGAUGAAAUAGAGACUCAAUCAGAACAAAAAAUAAAAUCAGAGGUAAGAAAGACAAAGAAAUAAGUGUAUAAUAACCAAAUUAAAAUUCGCGCCACAUCGUAGGGACCCACAAGGAAAUUAUGCCCUACCACCAAAACGGUGCUGUUCCAAUAUACACAUUUAAAUGGCUCAAGGACCAGAUCGAAACAAAAAUUAAAUUUUCAGGCCAAAUUAAAAAUAAAAGAAAAAUAUAAAUGGGACGAGAUUGCAUAGCAAUGAAAAUGCGGAAGGACCUAGGGAGCAAAUUGCCCCUUUAUUAAAAACACGUGGAUCCUCCCUGGGUCGGGUCAAGGCGCGGGUCGAGGGGCCAAACGAUGUCGUUUGGACGUCUAAAAUCCGACCCUAAACGGUGCCGUUUUGUAACUGUUAAAUAUGACUCCUAUUUUCAGUCAAAUUUGAAAAAUAAUCUUUCAGUUAAACUCUAUUUACUUGUUUCAAUCAAACACUAAUUAGUUUAGAUUAUUUUAUUAUUAUUUGACCUAUAAAUUUAGCCUAUAAAUAGGCUCUUUUACAACCUUAGAAAAAUAUACCCAUUAGAGAUUAGAACUCAUAACACAUUUAGAGAGUUUUGUAUUUACGUUUUGAGGGUUCUUUGUUUUCGGGUUUUCAGGGUUUAGUCUUUAUCUCCAUCUUUUAUACUCUUCGUUCUUUUGCCAUUUAGUAAAAUUAUCUUUGCCUGUGGUUUUUUAUCCUCUUUGAAGGGGUUUUUUCACGUUAAAUUUGUGUGUUCAAUUUUUUAAUUUAUUCCGCUAUUUUUCUUGUUCGUUGCUUAAUCAACAAUAACUCUUAUAUUUAGUGAUUUUUAUAAUUUGUAAGUUUUUUCUGAUUAUUUUAUUUUUUGUAAAUAUUUUGUAUUAUAAAAUAUUAAAUUAAACCAAAAGUUAUCACGGAUCAUCAUCUAAUUGGCAUGUCAAUUUAUUUGAUUAUAAUUAAAAUUAAUUAAUUUUUUUAUUUUCUCAAAUUCUUCCUGUAUAUCAAUAUAACAAAAAUUUUCUAAACUCUUUUAAAUUUAAAAUUAUUAUUUUCCAAAUUUAUUAAUUUUCAGUCAUCAAAUAUUAUCCCGUAAAUAAUCACUUUAUACCUCGAAUGUUUAAAUAUUACGUACAAUUGCCGAGCAAAUAAAAAAGUAGUAGUUUCAUGAUUAGUUAUUAAUCUAUAAUUUUCAACUUCACUAUGAGAUGAAAUUUUUUCCUUGCAAAUUCCAAAUUAAAGUAUAUGAAAACAUACAUUGAAACUUUCAAGUCUUUAUUCCCACUUCCAUUUUGGCAACCUUUCAACAUACAUGGAAAAAUAAGAGUUCGAAUUGUAUUGACAGAGAAGCCAUCUUUGUUGUCUUAUACACAAAACAAGCCAUGGUUUUGAUUGUCUUUUGAUGUUGAUUGUAAUAAAAUUUUUUAAAAAAAAAUUUGAAUAUUUUAAGUCAUUAUGUUACUCUCAGGCUUCAACAUCAUGUGGAAUAAAAUGCAACCGAUUUUAUACUUUUCCACGCCAUUAUGAAUCCACCAUUCUUCACGGCAUGAGGGUUAUUAGAGAGUAAAGGGUAGUGUGGCCCAACACCUUACGUCUCCUUUCCCCCAACAAACACGCCUUUCGUUCUAUUCCUUUUUCGAGGGAAUAAUAUACUACCAAUUUUUAUUACUUAUGUUUUGGUAAAAAUACUACGGAGAUCCCUUGUUAGGAGGCAAAUUGCAUUUUAUUUUUUCUACUCAAAAAUUGAGUAAAUUAAAUCUAAUAUAUUAGAUUAAAAGGUAAAAUGGUCCUUUCUAUUCAAAAUUCUAUCCACUUGUACUGUUAAAUGUUGAUGUGGUUGACAAAAUAACUAGACAAUAGCAUAUGCGUGCCAUGUGUAUAUCAUGUUGACGUACAUGGACUAAUUUUUAAUAGCAAAAAUGGAUGAAAUUUUCAACAAAAACACUAGUUUGCUCUUUGAUCUAAUUUAUAGGGAUUAAUUUGCCUAUUAUUUGAAUAAAGAAAGUAAAAUAUAAUCUUAGUAUAAAGACCGGUAUGAUACUUUUACCAAAUUUUUUUAAUGGCCUAUAUGAAUAAUUAUUAAGUUCUAUUUAUUUUUAUUUUAAGAAAUAAUAAUUCACUUCAUCAUAAAAGUUUAGUGGAUGAGAGAUAUAAUAAAGACCACUAAAUUAGUAGUAUCAGAUAACCACAAAAAAUGCACCAUAGUAAUCAACCAUUAAAAUAAACAGCUAAGAAACACUCAAAACUAAAAUUACUAAUACAACCGGUCCUUUAAUUAAGAUAAAACAAAGUGAACUAUCGUUACCGUCACCACUAUUGGAAAACUCCAAAUAGAAUUUAUUUAUAGACAUAUUUUCACUGUAACACCUAGUAGAACUUAUUCGCCAAGAAAUCAUUACGAAAGCAGGUUACUAAAACCAACGGAAAGAGAAAAACCAAAAGAUGUCACAAUGAAAAUGGGUAGAAAGAUGUGAUUAUCAACUUUUAUAUCUAAUGAAUAGUAAUUUAUAAAUUUAUACAUGUGAUGUCACGUAAUUUAUUGCACGCCACUUUUUAUAUGCAAUUAUCAAGAAUGUAUAUAAUUAUCCUUUUAUUAGUGAUAUAUAAUUAUAUAAAAAUGUAUAUUGCAAUUAUUCAUAAUUGAUCAUCAGAGGUGGUGUGUGGUGUGUGAGACAGUGCAGUUGUCAGUAACAAUGGCUUUUCUUGAUCCUUCAAUUUUAUGGACAAAUUAAGGUCAGAGCCAUCACUAGGAUAGAAACAGAAUAGAAACUUAGAGAUCUUGUACUAAACUGGAUUCCAACAUAAGUGGAUGAACAUCUGAUUCUGAUGUAGAUGUCAUGCUGCAAUUCGGAUAAUGUUCUGUUGAGAAUGAAGUGAAAUCCCAACUCUCAGCCGAUUUUCUUAUAACGACCUCAACUUGUUUAAGCUGAUCUAUGGGGAUGCAGUCACAUUGUCGAGUUCUAAGUCUCUCGAGUUCUAUGGCCACUUCUUUCAUUGUUGGUCUAUAUCUCCCAUCUAAGUUCAAGCAUCUUUUCGCAAGUUGAGCAACUGCUACUACUUCAUCCUUUUGACCAUCCUUCCCAAUUUCAGCAUCAACAAUAUCCAGCAGCUGGUUUUCUUCCAUGGACGACAUAAAAUACGAGACUAAUCCUCUCUUUUCUUGCAAUCCAAAUGUCGAGAUUGCCAUUUUUCCCGUUAAGAGCUCAACAAUAACCACUCCAAAACUAUAAACAUCACUCUUUUCAGUAAAUUGACUUGACUGGAAAUAUUCGGGAUCUAAGUAUCCAAAAGUCCCAAGCACUUGAGUCGUCAAGUGAGUUUGAUCAAUACUGAUUGAUCUAGAUGUUCCGAAGUCUGAUACUUUCGCUCGAAACUUUUCAUCUAGUAGUAUGUUACUAGACUUGAUAUCUCGGUGAUAAAUGGGGAUGGAUGCAGAUGAGUGCAAGUAAGAAAUCGCACUAGCAACUUCAGCAAUAAUGCGUAACCGUAUAUCCCACGACCUCGGGUACUCUUCAUUUUGAUCAUGGAUGAGAUGGGAAAGGGUUCCAUUGGGGAUGAAUUCAUAGACAAGGAGGGGCACUUCGGUCUCCAAGCAACAACCUAAUAGCUUGAUAAUAUUUCUAUGAUCAAUUUGAGAAAGAAUAAAUAUCUCAUUGAUAAAUUGUUCAAGAUACCCUUCGUUUACGGUCUUGGACUUCUUUACUGCAACAAUUCUCCCAUCAGACAACAUUCCUUUGUAAACCAUGCCUUGGCCACCACAACCCAAGAUUCUAUUCCCAUUAAAUUGAUCAGUAGCUAUUUCCAAUUCUUUAGAACUGAAGAGUUUAGCUUUAUCCAGGCCACCUUGAUUUGAAGACAUCUUUUUUUGAAACAAUAACCCACCAUUUCUUUCAAAGAGUUUUUGUUUGAGUUUAAUAUACUUUCUUCUCUGCAGUCUCUUAUAAAACCACCAGAACCCAGCAAUUAGAAACAGCAACCCUAUACUUAAGCCAAUACCUACAUGAAAUCCAAAUAAAUUGUAACUUAAAUGUUAGCUCUUAAAAUUGUUAAUCUUACCACUUAAGCUACGAUUUUGAAAUAAAAUUUAGCUGGACAUAACUCUUGCUAUCUGAUAAAAUUUGGAUUUAAAUUUUAAUUAUUAUUUAAAUAGUAAGAAUGAGAUGCUUAUUAUAUAGAAUAAUUAGUUGAGAUGUAAUCUAAUUUAUAUUAGGAAAAUAAAAGAAUAUAUAAUUUAUUGUAUUGAUAAAAUAAAUUAAUUGAGUUUUAGAUAAAUAUUUUUGUUUUAACAUUUAAACUUUUUAAGUUAUAACAGAUCUAAUACAAUCAAUCAUUUUAAGCAUGAAACUAAAUAAUUAAUUUAAAUCUAAGUAAUUAAUUUUGUUAACUGGUUAUGCUUAUUGAGUCCUUUGUAACAAUUUUUGAGGUAAAAGUCUAUCAAGACUCCCUACACUACCUUAUAAAAUCUAGUUUAGUCACUCUAUUAAAAAUUACUCCAUAUCGAUCUUUAUACAUUAAAUUUUUAUUCAAAACUCCAUUAUAAUUUGUGAUUAAAUUACCGAAAAAUUCGACAAAACCUAACCACCUCAAAAGAAAAAAAUCAUGCAGUAAAAUAACUCACGCUAAAUAUAGUAUAAUAAAUAUUGACUCUGGAUUGAAAGGAAAAAGCCUCUUGUCUAAAAUAUAAAGAAAGUAAUUGGCAUGUGCAAACCUAGUGUAACGACAAGAAUGGGAAAACUCUCACGGUCCUGCGGCUUGAAUAUAGGACGGCAACCUGUUCCAUUUUUCCGGCCAUCACCCUCGAACCCUUCGGGGCAUGAACAAUUGUAGCUUCCAGGUGUAUUAUGACAUGUGCCAAAUUCAUCGCAAGGCUUCUGUGUCUCACAUUCAUCAAUAUCUACAAUUUUCCAACAUUUUAAACUAAAAUAAUAUACGUAUAUAAUUUGGCACGAAGUUGAAGUAAGGAUAGAUAAUUUUAUCGAAAUGAAUCUACAAUGGAGAAGAAGUUGAAACCUUUACCUCGGCAGCCGUAUGAGAGGUAAGGAUUACCCUGGAAACCAGGAUUACACUUGCACAAAUAUCCAGGGCCAAUUUCUGGAACUGUACAAUCACUAUUUUGCUUGCAAGCAUAAUUUUUUGGAUCCAUUUUGGCUUGUUCACAGGUUUGAUUCCCGAUUGUCCAAUCAAGAAUAACCGGGUAAUUAUUUUUGCCGAAAUUUGUGUCCCAAAGAUCUGAUGCGUGGAACUUAUAGGCUCCAUCUUCAACAAGAAAUCCAUAGCUGCAAGGAUUGAAGCUCAACACGUGGGAGUG